UCUGACUCUGGCGAACUGAGGGAGAGGAUUGAACCCUCCAGACGGAGACGCUUGAGAUGGCAAGAGCCCACUUUGACUAAUUCAUUACGAAAAUAAUCGACAUCUUGCUCUUGCAAUUCACUUAACUCAAGGUCUUCAAUUCUCUGCAGUUGCACGAUCAGCGAAUCCUUCAAGCAAAUCUCGUUAUUUAGCCAGAGUCUGAAUUCACGACACCAAAUGUUGGUGCUCUCCCAAUAGCCAUGAUCUCCAAUGCGUAUGCCGUACCUUUCCAGCUUCUCCAAGAGCAGGCCUCUGGGCAGAGUGCUGACGUCAUAGACGUGUAAUUCCAAAGAGGUCAAGUUGGGCAAAUGCUUCAACUCCUCAAGGCUUGCAUUCUUAACCCCUUCUACCUCCACCUCCCAUUUAUCAAAGCUUUUAUCUAUAUAUAGUUCUUCUAAAUGGGAUAAUUUUGACAGUAUAUUUGGUGGAAUAACUAUUAGACACCAACAAUCCCUCAAAUCAAGCAGCUUUAGCCAAGUCAAUUCACCUACUUCUACCGGCAACUUCUUAAUUGUAGAACCUCUUAAGCAAAGGAUUUCUAGUUUCUUCAAGGCUCCCACAACACUUAUAUCAACCAAGCUGCAGUCACACAAACUCAGUGUUCGAAGGUUUGACAGGAGACCAAGUGAUGAAGGCAGUGACCGUAGAUUCAUGUCAGUCAAGUUGACAACUCUGACCUGUAUCAUCCUCUCGAAAAAGUUGUUUGGAAUUGUUUCCCACAAAUCAGCACGUAUAAAAAGAAGUUCGAGUUGAGGACAUUCCAGUACUUCAGGAAACAAAUUAGUCUCGAUAUCAUGUAAGACGAUUGAAGUGCAAUGCUUUAUUGCACUUCCGUCUAACCAUUCCCUGCAACCAUCAACCUGCUCAUUUGUAGCAGUAAACACAUUUCGUUCAGUAGAUGCAAUUGAUAUGGCGACAUCGCGAACUACAUCAUGCAUAGAAAACAACUCUUCAUUCUCGCUUUCAUGGUCAAGCAACAUACAAGAAGCUUUGAGUGUGCGCACCAAUGUAUGUACUCGAUUUCGUGCUUCUUCAAUCUUAUUCACACCUUGAAAUAAACCCAAUCCCAUACCACACAUUAACAAGUCAUCAAUAUAUGCUAUGGCUGUAUAUCCUAUUAGCAAAAAGAUGUUCUUGAGAUCAUCCCUUCCUAGUUUAUUGUAGCUCAACUCGAUAGCUUUAAAUGCGGCUGGCUGUACAUCCUUAAAAUUCGAUGAAGGCCUUCUUAGCUGUUCCAAUGCAUCCUUCCAUUCACGUAUGCUCUUGCUCCUUAAUGCCCUUGCAACCGUCACAAUGGAAACUGGUAGACCUGCACAUUCCUUUGCCACAUCCCUUGCUACCUCUUUCAAUUUAUUACCUUCAACAUAAUCACCUGCCAUCUUCGUGAAUAGACUCCAAGCUUCAUCUUCUUUUAAAAAUCCAACUGGGAAAUUUUUUCGAGACUCCAUCUCUCCAGACAAUACUUCUUCACUCCUUGCCGUGAACAGCACUUUACAUCCCAUGUGAUCAUCUCCGUGAGGAAUUCCGACAUCCAACAAAUCAAGAUUUCCCCAAAUAUUAUCCAAGAUUACAAGGAUCCUCUUCUCUUUCUUCAGUCGAUCAUAAAGUCUUCUUGCCCUACCCGAUUCACUCUCCUCAUCAAAUUUUAGACCUAGUUUAUCUGCGAUUUCUCCUUGAAUCUUUCUUACGUCUCGACUCUCAGACACCUCAGAAAAAACCACCUGAUCGAAAAGCUUGUCACACUCUGCUUUUCUAGCAACUUCUUUAGCUAGUGUCGUCUUUCCGAUUCCGCCCAUUCCAUAAAUCAAAAGCAUGUUGACAUUGGGAUUUUUUAAAGCAUCAAUUAUUUCAUUCAGAAUGGACGUUCUUGAUUCAAAGGCCUCGAAGUCUUUGUUAGGCAUAAGCAAGGUAUCCUCCGGAAUGAUGCUGUAGGAAAUACUAUUAACUGGUCUAGCGUCCAGGACUUUGACAACAGCCUCCUUCUGCCUCUCUGCUUCCUUGCUAAGUCGAGGGCGGGUCUUCAAAUUAGGACAUAACCCCUUGAAACAACGCUUAUUUGCAGUGGCUUCAUCUUCUGUAAAUUUAUCUGCCUCUUCAAUGACACUGUUAGCCGUUGCAAGCCAUUUCUCAACGUUCUCUUCAAUCUCUUCUCCUUUUCUUUUAGCCUCAUCAACCCGGUGCUCUAGAGUAACCCUCUCAGACUUCAGAUUGUCAACUUCAGUCUUGAGAUUCUGCAAGUUACUUGUGUACUUACUCUUGCGCAAAUAGCAAAUUCGGCGAUAUGCGGCAGGAGCCACGCACUUUACAACUUCUAAAACAAUAGUAAGAAUGAUUUCAGCCAUCUUCAGUCCUUUGUCCUUGUCUCUCUAUCUCUCUUUUUCUGAAUUUUGGAAAAACAAUUCAACAAGCGACCACAACAAGAUGGAACAAAUAAAAAGGAAAAAAAAUACAAAGAGUGGAUGGAGAAUAAAACAGAGACAGCGGCACAGCUGGACACAACUAGAUAGAGAACAGAGGAAAACCAAAUAACAAGACUUCAGAUUACAACAAACAGAGGCCAAGUAUUAUUGUUGAGAUCAGAAGAUGGAAAAUUCAAAAGAGUUGAUGGCAGAUGCUGAAUAACAGAACAACAAUGAACGCAAUAAACAGAAGCAAAGUGUGUUUGUGAUCGACAGACGGAAGUAAGGAGAGCGGUUGUUGAUUGAAAAUGAAUGAAUGCAAAGAAAGACUGAUGUUGAAAAUUGAUGUCAAUAGCGAAGGAAUAAUUGAACUUUCGCUGAAUUAUUGUUUGUGGCUUCUUUUACUUUUUAUUUGUGGGUCAUGUCUCUUGGAACUAAUCAUCUUAGGUUAUGCCUUAUAGCUUUAAGGCCGGUAAACCGGUGUCCGUUGGAUUAGCAUAUAGAAAUCCAACAGUGGAUAUAUGUACUUGCAGAAUAAAAUUCAAGAGCAAAGGGAGUGCCGGGCUGCAGUUUCUUAAGGAGAUUUAUAUAUCCUCCUCAAAAAUAAAUGUUUUAAGGUAGAUAUUUAGACUAUUUCAUCAUAAAAUAAAUGUAAUUAAUUUUCAAUAAAUAUCUUAUAUAAAUAUUUAUUUAUUUUUUUAAUUACUAAUGACCUUUGAAUAUACAUAUAUACAUAUUACUAAUUCAAAAAAUAAAUUGUGAUUAUUUGUUAAUGCAUGUGAUUACUUGUGAUGGUAAACAAAGUAGAUAUGGUAUAUUUUGAAGUUAAAUUAAAAAAAAAAAAACAGAGCUUUUACCAUUACUUGCCUUAUCAUCUUUUAAAUUAGAGUUAUUAUUCUUUUAUUUUUCAAGUUGCCAACUCAUCGCAUUCUCUUUUAUUGAAUUUGAAGGUUAAUGAUUAUAAAUUUGUGUAAAAAUUUGAAGUCAAAAUUUUAAAUUAAAAUAAUCUUUAAGUUAUUGAAAAAUAAUAACUUAGUAAAACAAAUAUUAUAUCCUAUACUUUAUUGCUACAAAAUUACGAAACCUUUUAGUUUCAAAAAAAAAAUUUAUGAAACCUUAUAUUAUAUUAUGUUUCCAUAUUUCUCCUUUAUAGUGAAGACUCAUACUUCUCUAAUAAAUGCUAAAGAAUUGGCUUAAUUUUUUUAACCAGCAUGGUAGACCCUUAAGCUAUAUAUACUAUAAUGUCCCUCUUCUCUCACAACAGAUUAAACCAAUCUGAUCUCAGAGUGAGUUGAUACCAUGACUUUGCAUCAUUCGUGAUCAAAGGAGCAUCAUUACUAACUAAUACAUGCUCGAUCAAUAGGCAUGAUAAUAAAUUUUUUAUCUACAAACACUAUUUUUCAAAAUAUUAUAUCUUUAGACUUAACUAAAUAUUUUUUAACUAUGUAGAUAUAGUUUGUUUGAUCUCUUUUAAAUAGUGGAGAUUACAAACAAACAGAUGCGAAUUAGUAGUGAUGUUGAGUUCAGAAGAUUGAAGUUAAGAAAAUUAAGGGUUUCUUGAUCUAGAGAAAUUUCAAAUGAGUGAAGCGUCCUCGAAAUCGGAAGACGAAAAUAAGGAAAGGGUAAGGGUGUAUUUUCGAUGUGAUUCUAUUAGGAGAUCUUUGAAGUAGGGGUGGGCAAAUCGGGUUUCGGUUUGGGUUGUUCAGAUUUCGGUUUCGGUUUCAACCAAUCGAGUUGGAGAAUUGAACCCAAUCAGGUUGAAAACGCCAACCCCAACUGAACCGAACUGAAUUUAGUUCAGGUUCAUAAUUCUGAUCGGACUGGGUUGGUAAUUCAGGUUAAAAUUUCGGUUCGGGUUAAUUCGGGUUAGAAUAAUUCAAUCUAAAAUUUUUGGUUAGUUCGGUUUAAAAUGGGUUGGAACAAUUUAAUCCAAAAAUUCUACCAACAACCACUUAAAAUCCAAAAAUCUCAAUUCCAAACAUCCUUAACAACAAAUAUCAACUACAAACCACCCUUAACAACAUUUCAACAAUAACAAUAACAAUAAUAACAACAAUAACAAUAACAAUAACAAUAAUAACAACAACAACAAUAAUAAUAAUAACAACAACUAUGAAUCAGCAAUUCAGCAUAUUGCCAUAUUCUAAAUUUAAAAAAAAAACACAAAUUAAUUAAUUAACAAUCUCCAAUUUAAUUUAUAAUAACAGUAAAAAUCCUCUCCAAUUUAAUUAAUAAUAGUCUCCAAUUGUUCAAUUACCAGUCAACAGCAACAAACCCUCUCCAAUUUGUCACGAACAGCCUCUAAUUGUUCAAUUAUUAGUCAACAACAAAAAAACUCACUCCAAAUAAUUGAACAAUUGUUAAUUAAUUAAUUAAAAAUAUUGAAUUUAAUUAAUAAAAACACCCAGGAGCAAGUUAGCAAUAUUCCCACUCCAAAAUCCAAAUAUCAGUAUAAACUAAAGGCAUAUUUGGUACAUUGUAUUAUAGAGUAUUAAAAUAAUGUUCACAUUAAAAUAAUAACAAACCUAUGUUUGGAACAAAAUUACAAAGUAUUAGGGUGGGAGGCUAAAAUGCGUGAGUUGACGCAUUAGCUUUGCUUUUUUUUUUUUUUUCAUUUUGCUUUUUUGACUUUUCUGUAUGCUUUAUUAUAUUAUAAUGCUAAAAUAAUAAAUAAAUAUAGUUUUUAAUUUAAUAUAAUAUUUUUAUUUUAUUUGUUUUUACAUUAUAAUUAUUAAUAUAAAUUAAUAAAUAAUUUAUCAUUCAAUAAUAGUAUUUUUUAUUUUUACAUUAUAAUUUAUUAAUAAAUUUAUAAUUUAUUAUAACUAAUAAAAAUAUUUAAAUUUGAAUAAUAUUAAUUUAAAAUUAAUAAUAAUAUAAAUAAUAACAUAAAAUAUUAAUGCAAUUUGAAUAUAUUAAAUCAAUAUAAAACAUUAAUAUAAUAUAAUAUUUAAUUUAAAUUAAUUAAAAAAUAUUACAGUACAAUAUAGCACCAAACAUUGUACAACAUUAUUAUAAUAUAGUGUUAAUACAAUACAGCAUAAUACAAUACACCAAUAUUAAAAUAAUGCAAUACAAUAUAAUAUAAUAUAGUGUGCCAAAUUCUAAAACUAUAUUUGAUUGAUGUAUUAAAGCUCUUCAUUACAUUAAAUUUAUACAGGCCCAUGUUUGAUAGAUAAAAGGCUACAACAACACUAUAUUGUUGGGCCAAGAUAAUGAGGCAACUGCUGCUACCUUUUUUUUUUUUUGUCCUUUAACAUUUUUCACUUUUCACGUGCUUUUGCCUUUUGCUUUGACUUUCCUUUGUUUUAACUUUUGUUUUUGUUUAUUAAUAAAAUAAUAAUAAAUAAAUAUAAUUUUUUUAAUUUAAUAAAAUAUUUUUUACAUUAUAAUUAUUAAUAAAUUUAUAAUUUAUUAUAACUAAUAAUAAAUAUUUAAAUAUGAAUAAAUUUCAAUAAAUAAUAUUUAAAAUUAAUAAUAGUAUAAAUAAUAAUAUAAAAUAUUAAUAAAAUUUAAAUAUAUUAAUAUAAUCUUUUAAUUUAAAUUAAUCACAAAAAAAAUUAAUACAGUAUAAUAUAAUAUCCAACAUUGUAUAGUAUUAUUAUAAUACAGUGUUAAUGCAAUACAUCAUAAUACAAUACACCAACAUUAAAAUAAUGUAAUACAACAUAAUACAAUACAAUAUGCCAAACGCACCCUAAGUGUCAAACCUUGAUCGGUGGGAAGCUACAGCGUCGGCAAAGCGUGACCGUGUGGGACUGAGUGAGACCGUCGAUCGAGGGUGUGAGAAGGGAGAAGAGGGAGCAAGGAGGUGUAACGUGGUGUGUGUGAGUUUAUAUAUAUAUAUAAUUUUUAAAAGCUAAAACUUAAAAAAAAAAAUUUAACCCAAUCCAAACGCCCACCUCAGAUUACUUCCGUGUUAAGAGCUGGAUCCCACACUCUUGAGCCUUUUUCGUCCCAGCAAUUAUAAAAAUAAGGGUCCGCCUAUGUUGCCACUGUUGUACCUAGGGAUGGCAAUUUUCGGGUCCGAGUCCGGGUUUGGCUGUUCCGGAUUCGGACCCAGACACAAAAUUCUCAUAACUGGACCCGCAUUAAACCCGGAUUUUUUUAAUCCGGGUCCGGUCCGGGUUCAACCCGAAAAAAUCCGGGUUUACGGAUUCCGGGUUUUGAACCCAGAUUGCUUUAUUAUUUUUUUUUUUUGAGAGAUCAUAUGGCUUAAUUUAACAGGGCACAAGGGAUGGUGGUUUAAUGUUUUAAUGUUUUCCCCAACAACACAUUACAUAAUUCUUCCUAGAAUUGGUUCAACAAAAUUUGAUGGAUAAAAGGCAAAAAAAGAACAUAUAACACAUCCAAAACCACCAGACUACUAGAACCAAAUUGUUUAACUUUGGUUCAUCAAAAUUUGCUGGACACAGGGCAAAAAAACAGAACAUAUAACACAUCCAGGUUCUAAAACAAAUACAACACAAAUACACAAUAUAAAAUCUAAAAUUCAAAGUUUUAAAGUAAUAAACAUCCACAAAUACAAAUCCAUAACAUAAUUCUACAACUUAAAACUCAAAUUUUCAGCCACUAGUGCUAAAGACUAAACUCUGAAUCAUCCAUUUCAUUAGACUGUUGCUCACUCAUCCAACUUUCAUUAAUCAAAUGCUCUGCAGAAAGUAUUGCUUCCUCUGGAAUUCCAUCUACAAAAAAUGUGUAAAUCAUAAACAUAAUGAACAAGACAACCAAUUAGUGAUAAAUUAUUAAUAAGAACAAUACAACAAAUAAUUUGAUUCUAAUAAAUAAAAUUUUCAUACCUUUUAAGUUUUGUUCAAGCCAAAACUAAUUUUGAGUGCACACCAAUGCCUCUACUGUGGAUGGGUGAAGUCUACUGCGAUGAGGGCUCAAAUGUCUACCUCCAGUGCUAAAAGCGGACUCCGAAGCAACUGUUGAUACAGGAAUGGCCAAAAAGUCCCUUGCAAUCUUUGCAAGUAUAGGAUAUUUGCCUUGAUUAUUCUUCCACCAUGAUAAAAUGUCAAAUUGACUAGUUGAAGGCAAAGUACUCUCCUCAAGAUAAAACUCUAAUUCUGAUUUGGAAUGAGUAUUUUGUGUGUUUUCAUUUCUAAAUAAUGCCCACUCAUCAGCCAUUUCAUCCAAAUCUAAAUCUAACAUAUUAGAGUCCCCUCCUGCAGCAGCUUGAGAAUUGGCACCAUUAACCCCCCACUUGAAUUUGAUAGAUGAUUUACUUCAUACUCAUGUACUAAAUCAACAAAUAGCUUACGCACUCUUUCAACUUCGGAUUCAGCUCUUUCCCCAUAUAUUUUAGGAAAUAAAAAGUUAAUCAGUAACAUUUUACGCCUAAGAUCUAACAUAGUCCCCACUGCAAGAACUCCAUGAAUAACAUCCCAAUACUUUUCAUACUUUGCAAUCAUCCUAGUAGCCAUAUUUUUUAUCCCCUCAAUUGGUGAUUGCAACCAUGCAUUCAUUGACAAUCUAAUUUCACAAAUCUUGGCAAAAAAUAAAUUAGAUGUCAGAUAUCGUGUCCCCGAAAAAAGUUCUGUCAACUUAUAAAAGCUUUUUAGAUACUCACACAUAAGCUUUGACAAAUUCCACUCUGACUCACUAGGUAAAGAUGUAUAAUUUCUCUCACGUUCCUUUAAACGAUCAAAUACAUCUUUAUACAGCAAUGCAGUACUAAGCAUCAAGUAAGUAGAGUUCCAUCUAGUUUUACAAUCAAGUACUAAGUUUUUGGUUUCCUUAAUACCUAAUUGUUUUUUUGCAUUCUCAAAAUUUUCAACUCUAGCUGGUGUUGCUGUCCAAUAAUGAACACUAUCUCUAAUUUUCUCAACUCCCUUUUGUAUCACUGAAAAACCAUCUCUAACUAUCAAGUUCAAUAUAUGAACACAACAACGCAUGUGAAAGAAUUUGCCACCCAUAAUCAUUGAACUAGUAGAAAAUUUCCCCAACAACAAGGCAAUCACAGAAUCAUUUGCAGCACAAUUAUCAGCAGUUACAGAGGACAAUUUUCUAUCUAUAUUCCAAUCUAUCAAACAAUCAUAUAACUCAUUACACAUUACCUCAGCACUAUGUGGAGCUGGCACAUAUAUAAACCUAACAAUGUGAAAAAAUAGUUAAAAUAUUAGACAGGACAUUAAUUUAUGCUUAAACCAAAAAAAAGGUUUCAAGAAUAUUACCUCAUAAUACGACUUCGCAACACCCAUGAGCUAUCAAUGUAAUGUGCCGUAAUAACCAUGUAUCCUUUUUUUUUUUGUUACUAGCAGUCCACAUAUCAGUAGUAAUUGCGAUUAUACUCUCACAAGCUUCCAAAAUACCCAUUGUCUUUUUCUUUUCAACAUCAUAAAUUCUCAAAAUUUCAGCUUUGAUGGUGUUUAUACUAAUAGUCUCAAUAGAAGGUUGGAGUAGCUUCAACAAGUCAUAAAACCCAACAUACUCAACAAAUGCCAAGGGGAGCUCAUGUAGUACAAUCAUUCUAGCUACAAAAAGCUUUACUGUAGUCAUAUCCCAUUUUGAUUCGGAACUAAAAUUACUAAGUGAAGUGCUUCCAUCAACUUUAGAAGAAAAAGAUAGGUGCAUUUGUUGUACAUUCUUAAAUGACCUUCUAGGACAGCGUUUAGCAUGGUUUAUUAAGUGAUUAGUACCCCUCGAAUAAUGUCCUUGCAUAACUAACCCACAGUAAUUGCAAAUUGCCUGAACUUCCUCACCCAACUUAACUUUUUUGAAAUGAUUCCAAGCAUCAGAGACUAUUCUACCACCACCAUCUCAUUUUUGUGAAGUGACAUGAUUAGUAUUACCCCUACGGCCACGGCCACUCCCCUGAACUGCUGCUGUUGAAUUUGGUUAUAAUUCAAUAGCUGUAUCAUUAUUAUUUUCUGAUUCUGUCCUAACUCUCACACAAACACUUUCAUCACUUUUUUCAGAGGCAUCCAAGUCGAUUCUUUGUUCAUUUUCCAUAUCAAUUUUUCACUUUACAAAAAUUAUGUCAAGAUAUAAUUAAUUCCAACAACUUCUUCCAAUUUAUAUGCUAUGUUUAACCGUAAAAGCUAUAAAUAAUAUUUUAGAGAUACCAUUUCUAUUCUUUAACAGCAACAAUAAAAAAUAAUUCAAAAAAUAAACUAUAAAUAAUAAAAUUGAAGCAUAACAAAGUAUAGAUUCUAAAAAUCACAGAGUUUAGCUAUUAAAGUCACAAAGUAUAGAUAUUAAAAUUACAAACAAAGCAAAACAACACAUAGAGCACAGAACACGGUCUAAUUAAAUUGUGAAGACAGUCACAGUGAGUAUCCUAACCGAAUUUCGUUAAUCUAUAUGAAGAGAACAGUUAAUGCCACAAGAUGACUUCUUCUAUCGCUGUUUGGGCCAGCCAAGAACCCACAACCAGUUAAAGCCUUAAGCUGUGCUAGACUGCUAGGUGGCUAAGCAAAAGAACUAGGAUAAAAUAAGGGUCUGCCUAGCGCAAGUCAGCGGUAGAAAUGUUAUUUAUGCAAAUUUCUUAAAUUUGACGUUAUAUCUCCUAAACAAUUCUUAGACCGGGAGUGAAGAUAUUUGCACAUAUUUGCAGAUAUCCUAAAAAUUUCUUACUGCAUUGGCAAAUUAUUCUAAAUUUCUAAUCGAGGAAAAAGAUCAGGAGUGUACAAUACUAACUGGAAAGAGUCAUUAAACUUCAAGCAACUCAAUAUACACAAGUAGUAAAAGCACAGGACAAGGUCGAACCCGAUUUCAGUGAGAGAAAGCAAAAGCAAGCCAAACAAAGUAUUAAUGCUAGUCAGGCUCAGAACUACCAUUCAUGCAGCUAGCCAUAGGCAGCAGCCCUUUGGCUAGUUAUACUUCAAAUUCAAUUCUAAGCUUACUCACUAACCAACUCUUAAUGCACAAAACCAACAAUACGCUUUAGCAGAAAAAAUGGAAACUGUUCUGUUUUAGACAAUAGUUUCUCCUUGUGCUAGAAAAACAAAGAACAAAAAAAGGCAAAUAAUUCAGAAAAACAAAAAGUUUAUAAUUAGCCAAGUGCUCUCAUAUGUCAUAUACAAAGAAAACCAUGUCUGAGGGAAAAUCAUGAAAUACUAGUUAUACAACCCAAGAGGGGGGUGAAUUAGAAUUCUAAAAAAUUAUUCAAUUUUUAAUUUAAAGCUCAAUGUAGAUAUGAAACAAAUUCAAAGCAAUAACAAAUAAGUUAACCACAAUAAAAAGGAUAAAGGAAGAGAGAUUCAAACACUGAGAUUUUUACGUGGUUCAGCCAACCUUGCCUACGUCCACGCCUCCAAGCUUUCCGAGCUUGAGGAUUCCACUAAGCAAGCCUCCAAGGUUUCAAAUGCUUACACUUGACUUCGAAGGUGUCAAUGACCUUUACAACAAGAGAUUAUCCCAAUCUCUUAACCCAAAUGUAUCCCAACACUUACAAUCACUCAAAGAUAAAAUAUUAUAAACUUGUUUUGCCUCUCACAAUAUUUAAGAUUACAAAAUAAUACCCAAUAUGUGAAUAGAUGAAGCAAGAAUGUAUUUAAAGCUUAAUGAAGAUUUUAUUCUCAAGUAUAAGCUCAGUAGUAGUGUUGUGAUCAAUCCUUGUUUAAGUUUGAAUGAGCUCAUUUAUAGCUGCAGCUGAAAACUAGCCGUUAUUGACUUCCUGCACACUGUCGGAUCGCCAUUAGCUAGAUGUCGGAUCGCCGUUUGACUGGUCAAUAUGACCGUUGAGCUGAUUUUUCAAAUUAUCGGAUCGCCGUUAUCUAGAUGUCGGAUCACCGUUUAGGUCUAGAGGCUAACCUUCAGUUCUGUUUGAUCUCAGCGAGCCGUUUAUUAAACUUGUCGGAUCACUGUUUAGGUCCAGAGACUAAUCUUUAUUUCUGUUUGAUAUCGGCGAGCCGUUUAUUAAACUUGUCGAAUCGCCGUUUUCCACAAAAACUGCUGCAGUGAACUAUUUUGCAAGACAACUGUUUUGUUUCUAAAUCUUUAUAAAAAUACUUUAUGAAUCAAUCUUAAUCAUGUUUGUUGAGCUUUUAAAAGAUUAAUCAAUCUUAAUCAUGUUUGUUAUCAUCAAAAUCAAUAGGGAAUUAUUUAUGUUAACAAUCUCCCCCUUUUUUAUGAUGACAAACUUUUCAAGAAAAUACUUGUGUAAUUUUGCUCCCCCUAAGUGAGAUUUUGAAAGACUUGUUAACUUCCCUUAAAUAAGUGUUCAUUUAAUUUUAAUCUCAAACAAAAUUUUAAACAAGACAGACAGAUUGAUUGGAUAAAUAAUUUAUGCCAAUACCAAUUACCAAUUACCAAUUAUCUCCCCUUUCAUCAUAAAAAAAAAAUAAGCUUGAGGAAUGACUUAUGUUUGGAAAAAUUUUGGCAGAAUCUCCCCUGAAAUAUGAGCAUAUCCUCAACAAUACAUAGAGUUAAAAAGAAAAACACUUCUAUAUAAAUAUGCCACCAUAUCAACCAACCUCCAUACCAACAAUUAAACACUUCCAUAAUUAGUAAGACAAACAAUAUAGUACCAAAACCAACUCAACCAGAAAUCAGGUGCACAUGUCCAAUAAAAAAUGUCAUAAAAACAUCAUAAGCAUAAGCAAAAGACAAAUGACAUCAUAAGCAGAAACAAAAGACAUGCAAUGAGAAAUGUCUGUGCGAAGAUCAGAGGAGCAUAAAAACUAAGAUGGGGGCUGUGAAGAGGAGCUGCCGGGGUCAUAACCAAAGUAGCCGAGAAUACGACGCUGGCCCGCAAGUAACUCCAUCUGCUGAUCUGAAAUUUGUUCCCGAAAGGUUGCAAAAUCCGAUUGAAGUUGCUGCUGCUGCUGGGACAGAGCAUCCACUCUGUCGAGAAGCUAUUGAAAGCGAUCCUCAGGAACAGCCGAUGCUGUAGGAGGGACGGCAGUCUUGGCAGGCUCGUCAUCCUGAGAUGAAGCUGCUGCUGGUGCAGUAGGUGCUACUGGUGCUGCUGCUCUGCGAGGGACACGCGGUCUAGCCCCAAGGCGAAAAUCAGGUAACUCAUCCUCGGAGUAGACGUCAUUUAACAUACGAUCAUCCUCUGGUGCAAGCAGUGUGUCUUCGUUCUUAGAGGAUAUGGUCUUUUCUAAUUUCCCACGCUUCUUAAAGAAUCCGAUUGAAGAAAUAAUUUCUCGUCCGAGCUUACGUGUCUCGAGAUAAACAGGCUCGACGAUAGGAACUCGAAAGUGUUUCAAGAUCCUAGUAAUGAUGCUACCAUAAGGAAGGGAUCGGUUGGAGACUUUAGGAGUGGACAACAUAUGACACAGGAUAGUGUAUGAUAAACUCACAUGCCGUCUACGGAUGAGGGAAUCUAAUAGACCAAUAUCAAGUCUAGUUACCUCAUCAGUGUGACCCUGUCUAGGAGUGACCAUGUGUUGGAGAAUGAUAUGAAGUAUUCGAACCUGAAAAAGGAGAAGUUGAGACCUAAAGAACAAAGAACAGAUGUCAUCGAAAAGAUCCCGACAACGACAAAUGUUCCGUACACCAUCCACAUGAUGGAAUUCACUAAAUGAGAUUUCUUUCCUAGCGGUGUACAGAUCUAACCCUCCAUAAGAGAUUCCUAGAAUACUACACAAUUCGGAUUCAUUAAAGGCAAUGCGAAUUCCUCCUACAGAUGUAUAAAGCUCGACACGACGAGUAGAAGAGAAUUCUAUGUUUGAAUAAAAGACACGGACUAGAUUUUCAUAAAUCGGUUCUUCGAUACUUAAUGCUUGCUUCUAAUGACUAAGCAUUUGAGUAAUGGAAUGACCACAAAUAGUAAUAUCCGAAAACUCUGAAAUGUUAAGAGAAAAAGAGGGAGUUACGGGUUUACCCAUGAAUUUUUCACGAAAUUGUUGAGCAGAGGUGUCAUCGGAAAAAUGGAGACUCUCGAAGUCUUGAGGGGGAGACCUGGGGGGACUAGAACGUCGCGGAGCAGUGUGCUUGGUUCGAGCACGCCUUUGUGGUCGUUCCGCCAUGGAUGAGUUGGGAGGAAAAUAGAUUGGUGGAAAUGAAGUUUGAGAGAUGAGACAGUGAUUGUGGGUGGAAAUGUAGUUGGAAAAGGAAGAAAUUUGGGUCAAAUUGAACAAAUGAGGUUCGGCUGGUUCUAAGGUUUCAAGAUGAGAUUUUUCAAAUUUUGAAGAAAAAGAAGGAUUUUAAUCGGUUAAAAAGUGGUAGAGAUGAUAAAGAUGGUUUGUAAUGCUGCAAUUUGGUGAAAAAUGACAAGAAAAAUGAUGGAUUUGAGAGGGGAGAACGGGUGCAGUCGCGGGUUGGAGUGAGAGAGAAAGAGAGAGAGAAAACGAAAUGAGGAGGAAGACGAAGGACUGUUCAAUUAAUGCGUCAUAACGGUGAGCCGUUAUAGAGAAAACGGCGAGCCGACAGAGUCCAGAGAGUUCUCUAAAAAUUUUCAUCAUACCGGCGAGCCGUUUAUAGACAUAACGGCAAGCCGAUAAGGUCCAGAGUGUCCCCUCAAAAUUUUGUAUCAGGACGGCGAACCGAUAGUUAGUUAUCGGCGAACCGAUAGCGUCCAGAAUACUUCCCAUUGUUUCUACCCCAAAACGGUUAGCCGUUUAUUGAAAUAACGGCAAUAUGUUUUCUAUAACUUAUGAUUUCGCACAUUUAUUUUGAUAUUUCGCUACUAUUAAUACAUUUCAAGAUCAUUUUAUUGAUCCAAAAUGAUUUAAGUGCCAGUUCAAUGCAUAAUUCGUGAACAUAUAUAUGUAUUGUAACAAUUAAUUCAUACAUUUUCAAAUAUACAUACACACCACAUGUAUAUUACGAUUGAGCAUUUCAUAGAUAGUAAAGUAUCAAGUCAUAAAUCAAUCAAUGAUAAUAGACUCAAUAGCAUGAAUAAAGAUGUUAAUGUGAAAAUUUCAUCAUCCCAAGUUCAUGUCGAAUUUUUGAAAAUUGUUCUUCGCAAAGAGGUUUUGUAAAAAUAUCGGCAAGUUGUUUUUCCGUAGAAAUAAACUCUAAUGCAAUAUCUCUCUUUUGAACAUGAUCUCUCAAGAAAUGAUGUCUUAUUUCUAUAUGCUUGGUUAGAGAGUGUUGAAUGUGAUUCUUUGAAAGAUUUAUAUCACUAGUAUUAUCACACUUAAUAUGAAUUUAUUCUAGGUUAAUACCAUAGUCUUUAAGUGUUUGUUUCAUCCAAAGAGCUUGUGCACAAUAGCUUCCUGCAGCUAUAUAUUCAGCCUCGGUAGUUGAGAGUGCAACAGAAUUUUGUUUCUUUCUAAACCAUGAAACAAGUGAGUGACCUAGGAUAUGGCAAGUUCCACUAGUGCUUUUUCUAUCAACUUUAUAACCAGCAAAGUCCGCAUCUAAAUAGCAUGUUAAAUCUAUAUGAGUUCCUCUAGGAUACCAAAAGCCAAUAUCUAUGGUUCCACUCAAAUAACGAAAUUUUUUUUUAACAGCAAGCAAAUGAGAUUCUUGGGACAUGAUUGAAAUCUUGCACACAAACAUACACUAAACAUGAUAUCGGGUCUACUUGUAGUCAAAUAAAGUAAAGAUCCGAUCAUACCUCGAUACAUUUUGAUAUCCACUUCUUUGUCCUUUUCAUCUUUGUCGAGCUUGGUUGUUGUACUCAUUGGUGUAUUUUUGGUCUUUGAGUCGUCAAUGCCGAAUCGUUUGAGUAGAUCUCUUACAUACUUGGCUUGAUUUAUGAAUAUUCCUUCCUCAUUUUGUUUUAUUUGCAGCCCAAUGAAGUACUUUAGCUCUCCCAUCAUACUCAUUUCAAAUUCAUUGCUCAUACGAGACGAAAACUCUUUGUACAACAAUUCAUUAGUAGAACAAAAAAUAAUAUCAUCAACAUAAAUUUGAACAACAAGUCUGUCUUUGUUCUUAUGUUUAACAAAGAGAGUGGUAUCCGCUUUACCCAUGGAAAAAUCAUUUUCUAACAGGAAAUUUUUAAGCCUAUCGUACCAUGCUCUAGGUGCUUGUUUUAAUCCAUACAAAGCUUUAAACAACUUAUACACAUGAUUUGGAAAUUUUUCAUUUUCAAAACCAGGGGGUUGUUUUACAUACACUUCUUCCAUAAUAUAACCAUUUAAGAAAGCACUUUUCACAUCCAUUUGAAAUCAAAUGAAAUCUUUAUGACAAGCAAAUGCCAACAACAUUCUAAUUGAUUCUAGUCUAGCUACGGGUGCAAAAGUUUCAUUAAAAUCAAUUCAUUCUUCUUGGUUGUAACCUUGAGCCACUAAUCUAGCUUUAUUUCUUACAACCACACCGGAUUCAUCCAUCUUAUUUCUAAAUACCAUUUAGUACCUAUGACAGAUUGAUGUUCCGGUUUAGGAACUAAUUCUCACACAUUAUUUCUUUCAAAUUGAUUUAACUCCUCUUGUAUUGCCAUAAUCCAAGAUUCAUCAUUUUCCGCAUCCGCAAAGGAUUUGGAUUCAAUUUGAGAGAUAAAUGCAUUAUGCUCACAAGUAUUCUUAAGAGAUGAUAUAGUUGUAACACCUCGUGAGAGAUCUCCUAAAAUUACAUCUUUAUGAUGAGAAGAGACAUACCUCCACUCCUUGGGGAGUGUUUGAGAAAUACCUUCUUGUUGUUCUAGCUCCGUAUUUGUUUGUUCUUCUUGUCUAUCCUCUUGAUUUUCUUGUGGUGCAUUCUCUUGAUUCUCUUUUGAUGAUUCUUUUUGUAACUCUCCAUCAGCAUCAUCAUUAGCAACUCCUUUCUCCGCAGAGGAGGGGUUAGAUUCAUCAAACGUAACAUGUAUGGAUUCUUCCACAACUAAAGUUCUUUUAUUAUAAAUUCUAUAAACUUUGCUUGAGUUUGAAUACCCGAGAAAGAUGCCAACAUCAGAUUUUGGAUCAAAUUUACUAAGAUUAUCUUUUGUGUUUAAAAUAAAACAUUUGCAUCCAAAAACUUUGAAAUAACCAAUGUUGGGUUUUCUAUCUUUCCAAAGCUCAUAGGGAGUUUUAUUGAGAUGAGGUCUAAUCAACACCUGAUUUAAAACAUAGCAAGCGGUGUUGACGGCUUCGGCUAAAAAAUAUUUAGGUAAUGCAUUUUCAUUUAACAUGGUCCUAUCCAUUUCUUGAAUAGACCGAUUCUUUCUCUCAACAACUUCAUUUUGUUGUGGAGUCCUAGGUGAUGAAAAUUGAUGCUCAAUGCCAAGAUUAUUGCAAAAAUUCUCAAAUGUAUAAUUUUCAAAUUCUCCUCCAUGAUCACUCCUAAUUCAUAUAAUACCAUACCCUUUUUUCAUUUUGUAAUUUCUUAUAAAGUACUUUAAAAGCAUCAAGAGCAUCAUCCUUAUUGGAUAAGAAUAGUACCCAUGUAUAUCUAGAAUAAUCAUCCACUAUCACAAAUGCAUAAUAUUUGCCAUUUAGACUAGCAUAUCUAGAUGGCCCAAAUAGAUCUAUGUGAAGGAGUUCAAGUGGUUUUGAAGUAGAAAUAUGGUUUUUAUUUUUGAAAGAAGUUUUGAUUUGUUUUCCAAAUUGACAAGCUUCACAAAUCUUAUCCUUUUGAAAAAUAAUUUUCGGAAGACCUUUAACUAAAUCAUUUUUCGAAAUUUUUGAAAUCAAAUCCAUACUUGCAUGUCCUAACCUUCUAUGCCAUAGCCAACUAUCAUCAUGUAAUGCGGAAAAACAUUUAUCAAUAGUAGAUGCACAUUCUAUGUCAACGAUAUAAACAUUACCACAUCUAUUACCAAUAAAAAAAAUUUUGCCAUCACAUGAGUUCUCAAUAACACAACUAAAUUUAUCAAAGAUAAUUUUAUAACCUUUGUCACAUAAUUGACUAAUGCUAAUUAAGUUGUGUUUCAAGUUCUCAACCAAACAUACAUUCUCAAUUAGAGUUGAAGAGACUUUACCAACAUUUCCAAUUCCAAGAAUUUUUCAUUUUGAGUUGUCUCCAAAUGAUACGUCUCCACCAUCUUCAAUUUUGGUGAAGCUUGAGAACCAUGCAUAGUUUCCGGUCAUGUGCCUUGAACAACCGCUGUCCAAAUACCAUUUAUUUUUCUUCUUCUUUAAGCCCUACAAAGAAAAUCUUAAGUUUUAGGUACCCAAAACUUUUUGGGUCCUUGAGAGUUAGCAACGGUUCCUUUUGGAACCCAAAUACAUUUGACACCAUAAUAUGCAUUCCUUUUCACGGGAUAUCUAUAUUUCAUGUGACCAUUUUGAUUACAAUAAUGACAGACAAUCUUAUGAUCACUUAUGGAGGUAGCUUUAACAAAAUAAUUCUUAUAAUACUUUUGCUUCAAGUUAGGCUUAUAUCCAAGUCCUCCUUUAUCAAAAACACAUUUUUGUGAGUUAAGCAUAUUAUCCAACAUCUUUUGCCCAUUUGUAAAUUUCAAAACAAUUUUAUUCAACUCAUUGCUCUUUUUCUUGAGCAUUUCGUUUUCAUUUUUCAAAUCAUCUAUGUGUGAUUCUAAAUGCUCAUGUAAGAUACUAGGUUUCUCAUUUGAUAAUACAAUUUCAUUAUGCAAUGUUUUGUUCUCUACUUCUAGGCAUGCAAUUUUUGCAUUUAAAGAUUCAUUUUCAUUUUUAACUUUUGCCAUUUCCUUUUUAAGACAUACAUUCUUUUUACCAAUCUUCAUCAACUCAUUAUGCAAUUCUUUAAAAGCAUCAUACAAUUCAUCAUAGGUGGGAUCACUUACCUCAUUGAGAUUAUCAUCCUCUCCUAUUGCCAUAAGCGCUAGGUUUGAUACUUCUUGCAAUCCUUCGUCAUCACUUGAAUCUUCCUCGCUGUCAUCAUACGUUGCAACCAUGGCUUUCUUCUUGAGUUUGUUGAUAAGUGGGCACUCCGAUCUUAUAUGGCCAGACUUCUUGCACUCAUAGCAUGUGAUCAUCUCUUUCUUCUCCCUUUGGUUCUUGAAGUUUCUGAAUUUUCUUCGCUCUCCAGUUUUCUUAAAAAACUUUCUGAAUCUCCUUGCUAGCAUGACUAACUCUUCAUCAUCCGGUUCACUACCUCCAUCACUCUCAUAUUUUGAAGUUUUGAGAGCAAUGCUUUUCUUCUUCUCCUCAUCACAUUUUUCUGCUGCCAAGUCUUCUUCAUAUGAAAUAAGAGAACCAAUUAAAUCAUCAAGAGGUAAAGUAUUUAAAUUUUUGGCCUCUUCAAUGGCAGUUCUUUUAGGUCUCCAUUCUUUUGGAAGUGACCUAAUGAUUUUCUUAACUUUCUCAUUAUUUUAGAAGGUCUUCCCUGAGGCACCUAGAGUGUUCACUAUGUCCGUGAAUCUAGUAUACAUAUAAUACACAUUUUCAUUUUGUUCCAUUUGGAACAACUCAUAUUGACGAGUGUAUCUACUAAUUUUAGACUCUUUAACUUGAUUUGUCCCUUCAUAAACAACUUCAAGUUUAUUCCAUAUUUCUUGUGCACUUUCACAACUAGAUACUCUAUGGAAUUCUUUCUUAUCAAGGGCACAAAAUAAAGCAUUCAAAGCCUUGGAGUUUAGAGACAUUUUUCUCUUUUCUAACUCACUCCAUUGACUUGAUGGUUUAUGAAUAUCAUCUCCUACUUCAUCUUUAAACAUAGGCAUGAAUGGACCAUCAUAAACAACUUCCUAAAAUUCAUAAUCUAAGGCUUGCAAAUAGAUUCUCAUCCUAGUUUUCCAAUAAGCAUAGUCAUUACCAUCAAAGAACGGUGGUCUAGUUGUAGAUUGCCCUUCUCUAAAGGUUGAGUCAUUUAGGGUUGCCAUGGAUCUUUUGCUCUAGACGAUUAAGUCCUAACAAGAGAACAAGGCUCUGAUACCAAAUGAAAUACUAGUUAUGCAACCCAAGAGGGGGGUGAAUUGGAAUUCUAAAAAAUUAUUCAAUUUUUAAUUUAAAGCUUAAUGUAGAUAUGAAACAAAUUCAAAGCAAUAACAAAUAAGUUAACCACAAUAAAAAGGAUAAAGGAAGAGAGAUUCAAACACUGAGAUUUUUACGCGGUUCGGCCAACCUUGCCUACGUCCACGCCUCCAAGCUUUCCGAGCUUGAGGAUUCCACUAAGCAAGCCUCCAAGGCUUCAAAUGCUUACACUUGACUUCGAAGGUGUCAAUGACCUUUACAACAAGAGAUUAUCCCAAUCUCUUAACCCAAGUGUAUCCCAACACUUACAAUCACUCAAAGAUAAAAGAUUAAAAACUUGUUUUGCCUCUCACAAUAUUUAAGAUGACAAAAUAAUACCCAAUAUGUGAAUAGAUGAAGUAAGAAUGUAUUUAAAGCUUAAUGAAGAUUGUAUUAUCAAGUAUAAGCUCAGUAGUCGUGUUGUGAUUAAUCCUUGUUUAAGUUUGAAUGAGCUCAUUUAUAGCUGCAGCUGAAAACUAGCCAUUAUUGACUUUCUGCACACUGUCGGAUCGCCGUUAGCUAGAUGUCAGAUCGUCGUUUGACUGGUUAAUAUGACCGUUGGGCUAAUUUUUCAAAUUGUCGGAUUACCGUUAUCUAGAUGUCGGAUCACCGUUUAGGUCCAGAGGCUAACCUUCAGUUCUGUUUGAUCUCGGCGAGCCGUUUAUUAAACUUGUCGGAUCACCGUUUAGGUCCAGAGGCUAACCUUUAAUUCUGAUUGAUCUCGGCGAGCCGUUUAUCAAAAUUUUUGGUUCGCCGUUUAGGUCCAGAGACUAAUCUUUAUUUCUGUUUGGUAUCGGUGAGCCGUUUAUUAAACUUGUCGGAUCGCCGUUUUCCACAAAAACUGCUGCAUUGAACUAUUUUGCAAGACAAUUGUUUUGUAUGUAAAUCUUUAUAAAAAUACUUUAUGAAACUUGUCAAAAUAGAUGAAAAUUAUGUUGAGCUUUUAAAAGAUUAAUCAAUCUUAAUCAUGUUUGUUAUCAUCAAAAUCAAUAAGGAAUUAUUUAUGUUAACAAAUCACAUUGUGCCAGAAGCAAUACAAGCUCAAAGCAUAACAGCACGAAAAUUGCAAAGAGGGAAAAUCAAAGUGUAAUAGAGCAUAAAUUGUAAAGAGAAAAGCCGAGACUCACAAAUAUUCACAGUGGCAGCUGAAGUAUAUGCUGAUGAACACAGAACACAGCCGCGACGGAGUGAGAGAUCAGACGAGUGAUGCUGAUGAGUGAUGAAACGAACAAAGCCUCACCGUGAAGGUGAUGACAAGCCACGCCGCAAAGGAUCUGAUCUGAUCUGAAGAAGAGAUUACAUGAGAGUUGCAGAGAGAGUGAGAGAGAUUAAGUGACGAUGGAGGACUGAGGAAUGAGUCACGGCUCACGGGUGAGAGAGAUUGAGAGAGGAACAAAUUACGGAUGAGACUUGAGAGAUUGAGAGGAGAAAUUACAGAUUUACAGUAAUUGUUUUUAAGUUAAAAGAGAAAUUUCGAGAGAGGAUCAGAGGAACGAGAGAGAUCUAUGGUUCACUUUUGUUUUUUUUUUAAUUUUUCUAUUUAUAUUUACGGAUUUACGGAUCAAAAUUAAUAUUAAAAUAAAUAAUAUUCGAGUCUGGGUUCCGAAUUUGGGGGUUCACCUGAAGCUAGAUCCGGACCCGAAAAAUGCGGGUUGUCAAAAACUGAUCCGGAUUCGGAUAAAAACUAUUUCGGUGCGGGUCGAACCUGGACCAGAAUUUUUGGAUUCAAUCCGAGUCCGAUCCGGGUUCGGGUUUGGUUGCCAUCCCUAGUUGUACCUUACCACAACCCUUGUCUUUUAUCAAAUAGUUAAUGUAAAAUUUCAUUGAACCCUUUAUACUUUAUUUUAUUUAUAAUUAUUUUGUAAGUAUUGAAAAGAAAAAAUUAUCCUCAAAUUUUAUCUUCAAUAUAUUUUUUUCCCGUUUCUUCUUCUGCUCUCUCACUUUCUCUCUGUAAUGGGUUUAAUGAUGGCUUCAAUAUUGGUCAAGAUUGCUGACCGAUUUGUGGAUAAUUAGUUGUAGGUCAUUGAUUGUUUGUGUGAUGGUUCUCGUGGUGGAAAAUAUAGGCAUCAAAACAAAAUCCUCAAUUUGAUCUGAGAAGCCGAAGUGAGAGUGAGAGAAAGCGAAAUGGCGAUGGCAAGGUGAGCUCAAGCCUUGCUUAUCCAGAGUGAUUAUGUGUUGCAGCUUCAAAUUGUGGCUUCGAUGGAUCUCCGAUUUCCUCUGUCUGUCAUGGUGGGGUUGUGGUGCAGCUGACGUGAUGUUGUUUCGAGAGAGGAAAGAUAAGGCUGACAUGGGUCAAAGUUGUCGGUCGUGGUGCGACUGUGCUAUCUUGCCGACGUGGAGCAGUGUGGUGGCAACCGGUAACAGGUAGCUUCACAAUAUGGGUAUUUGGGUUGAGAGCAGACUGGAGAGAUGAAGCCAUAAUGGUUUCUUUUGAAUUUGAUUUUGGAUUGAUUUUGUUUGGAUGUCACGUGUGUGGGUAUUUGGGUUAUUUUCAUUUAGUGUUGGUUUUUUUUUAAUUAUAAGUUAUGAAUAGAUCGAUUUUGUAAUUAACCACUAGAAUCCCUACUCGUAUUGUUGAAAAUUUUGUUGAUGAUGAGUUUUUUUUUUUAAACCAACAAAUACUUCAAUUCCAUUCAAGAUGGAAACUCUACUCAGUAUCAGUAACUGGGCACAAAAUGGAAAAUCUCAAAAAAAAGGGAUAAGAUUUUAAUAUUCCACAAGCUAAAACAAAGGUACCAAAAUCAGUUGCAUAUCUUCUUUCAAAUCAUUAAUGACCCAAUUCCCAGGUAAUUCAGAGGUAGAAUAUCUACUUGCUGCGCUUGGCUGCACGCUUCCCUUGGCCUUUCUCGGGAGGUCCCUUUCCACAACGUUUCAACAUUUCAAGCUUGGGUAAGCGCUCUUGUUCUUGGCGGGCCAUGACGAGAACUUACCAUCAAUGAGCUUCUUCCACAAAAUCUUGUUGGGUGAUCUCUGGCCAGUGGGAUUAAGUACAUACCCAAAUAUCUUAGCCCUCACCUCAGUUAGCCUUGUGGUCACUAUUGUGGCCAAAAUGUUCUUAAGCCUCUCUCAUGUAGCCAUCAUCACUCGCAACUCUACCUGAUUAGCUCUGUUGAUAAUGAGUUAACUUUGUCAAUGAUCAGUGAUGAGAGAUGAGUUAAUCUUAAUUUCUACAAAAUUUUUUAAUGCUAAUCUAAGGAUAUUUUUGUCUUUUCAUUAAUAUUAAUGUGUUAUGAUUAUUAAUGUAGCGUGGUUGAAAAUAAAAACUCAUUUAAUACUUAUAAAUAAAUAAAUAAAUAAAGUGUAAGGUGAUAAAUUAAAUUUUGAUAAUGUAGGUAAGUAUAAAGUAUUAUAAUAUUUUAUGAUAAAUUAUAAAUAAAAUAGAGUGUAAGGGAUUCAAUGAAAUUUUACAUUAAUUAAUUCACAAAAGACAAAGACUGUGGUAAGGUACAACCGUGGCAACAUAGGCAGACCCUAAAAACAAAUCAUUAUUUUUUUUUUUGAAAGGAAACUUCCAUUAAAUCGAAGAGGAAAAUAGAUACAUCAAUUGUGAAGGGUAAGAACCCAUCCAAACAACAUUUUCACAUUUCUCUAAUGCUAACUUAGCUAGAAAGUGGGCAAUGACAUUACGAGAUCUAUGAGUAUAAUUAAUGCUAACUAGCUCAAAGUUCCUCAUUAAGUUUUGAAUCUCCGAAAUUAUCCAAAAGAUCUCAGACUUGCCGCCUUGCUUGUUGUUAACUAACUUGACUACGCUUUGAGCGUCUGAUUCAACAAUUAAAGCCUUUGCACUUGCAUUCCUAGCAAUCUGUAAUCCCCAUUCCAAGGCUUCUGCUUCAGCAAAGGAAACAUCUCCAUAAAAUUUCGAAAUCUUGAUUGCAGCUGCUAUGACAUUCCCCCGAUCAUCUCGGAUUAUAGCUCCCAGCCCUGCAAGAUGCUUUUCUGAGCUUGUAGCAGCAUCCACAUUGACUUUAACAGAUCCACUUUGGGGGGGAUUCCAAAUCUGCUGAGUCUGCACCUGCUGACUUUCCUUUCGAGCUUGCUCUGGUUUUUGAACUCUUUUGUAAGCCUCCAUUACUGCUUCAGCUUUAGCAACCAGAGUCUAGGGGUUCUCUCUUUUUCCUUUAAAAAGCAUCUCAUUUCUUGCAUUCCACACCAUCCAACAAAUCAUAACCAUUAGUUCUAAAUCAGCUUUGUUUCUUCUGCUGUACAUUUCAUGCAGCAAACUCAAAAAAUCCUGCCCAGCAGUUUGCAUGAUGUCAUUCUCUAAUAGAGUGAGUCUCCAUAUUUUCCUUGCAGCUUUACACUCUACCAAUGCAUGAAACACAUUCUCCACUCCGAGCUUGCAUACUUGGCAGGUAGGCUCUUGGAUAACUUUUCUCUUCCAUAAAUUUUCAGCAGAUGAGAGAAUAUUCUUGGCUGCCCUCCAAGCAAAAAUUCUGAUUUUCUCAGGUAAAGCAAGAGUCCAUAUGAUAUUCCAUUGAUUUUUUCCUGACAUUGAACUUGAAGGCAUGGCUGGAAGUUUAAGACUAAGGGCUGUUUGAUUGCCACUCUUGACCGAGUAGAGACCUUUCUUGUCAUAAUGACAGGUGAUUGUAUCUUCUUUUGGGCUUCAAGGCAAAGGGAUUUCAAUAAUUUUAUCAGCAUCCAUUCUAUUGAAAUGCCUGUAUAUCAGGCUCUCAUUCCACUGGUUUUCUUCAUUUAUCAGCUCAGCAACCAAUGUAUCUUCUGGCAAAGAUGGCCUAACUAUUGGCUUGAAGGUUGACAGCUUCAGGAUCCAGUUAUCUUUGUGAAUUUGGAUUUUUUGGCCAUCUCCAAUUCUCCACCUUGCACCAGAACUGAGAUUCUGUCUUCCUCAUAGGAUGCUUCUCCAUACAAAUGAUAGUGUGGACCCGAGCUUAGCCUUCAUGAAGUCUUUAUUUUGGAAAUACCUAGCUUGUAGAACCUUUGCCACUAAUGAAUCCGAGAAUUGUAAUAUCAUCCACCCUUGCUUAGCCACUAGAGCUUGGUUGAAACUUGAAAAGUCUCGGAAACCCAUGCCUCUUUUACAUUUGGCCUGACUCAGCUUCUCCCACUUCGACCAGUGGAUGCUUCUUUUGUCGCUCUUUGAUCCCCACUAAAAGUCAGCCACAGUUUUUUGGAUAUCAUUGCAAACACUCAUUGGGAUCUUGAAUACACUCAUGGCAUAGGCUGGAAUGGCUUGCGCUGCAGCUUUGAUUAAAACGUCUUUGCCCCCACAUGAGAAGAAUUUGUGCUGCCAGCUGGAGAUUUUGUUAAAGACUUUCAGUUUGAUGUCAUUAAAGAAGUUGCUCAUUUUUCUUCCUAUCAUAGCUGGUAAGUCUAGAUACUUCUCGUGCCUUGAGCCAAUAUUAAGCUGAAAAAUCUGUCCAAUUACAGUGGCUCGAUCAUGCUGGACAUUGCCACUCAGGAACAGAGAUGAUUUCUCAAAAUUAAAAAUUUGCCCGAAAGCUGCUGAGUAGCAAUCAAGUAUCUUUUUCAGGUUCCCACAAUCGGCCAUUGAAGCUCGGCUAAAUAUAAGGCUAUCAUCAACGAACAAGAGGUGGGAAAUGUUCAACUCCUUUCUAAAAGACAGCCCAUGGAUGAGUUUCUGUUGUUCGGCCUGCAGCAACAAAGAGGAAAAGACCUCUGCACAAGUAAUAAACAAGUAAGGGGACAGGGGGCACCCUUGCCGUAAACCUCUCUGGGGCUUUAUUAAUCCUCUGACCGAGCCAUUUAUAAUCAAAGAGAAAGAAACAUAGCUUAUACACUUCAUGACCAAGCAAAUCCAGUUUUGAGAAAACCUCAUACAUUUCAUAGUUUGCUCAAUAAAACUCCAUUCCAAUCUGUCGUAAGCCUUACUAACAUCAAGUUUCAAUGCCACUAACCCAUUUUUUCUCCCUUUGCAGUGCCUUAUUUUAUGUAAACAUUCAUAUCCUACAAUAACAUUGUCGGUUAUCAAUCUAUCAGGUAUAAAAGCACUUUGAAUUGGAGAGAUGAUUUGGUGCAGAAUUUGUUUGAAUCUGUUGGCAACUGACUUAGCCAUUAUCCUAUAGAUAACAUUGCAAAGGCUGAUAAGCCUAAAGUCUGUAACUUUUCUAGGUUUCCCCUUCUUAGGAAUCAUGGCUAUGUAAUUAUAAUUAAGGGGGGCUAGAGUACCUUGAUUGUUUAAGAUGUGAAGACAGGUAGUAAGAACUCCCUCUUUGACCUCAUUCCAGUGCUUUUGGUAAAAAGCUGUUGGUAGCCCAUCGGGCCCCGGUGCCUUGGUUGGGCACAUUUGAUUUAAGGCUUCAGUCACUUCCUCCGCUUUAAAAGGUUUCUCUAACGACUCAUUCAUGUCCUCGGAUACUCUCGGGGUGAUACCUUUUAGCGCUGCUUUCAUCUGGUUUUGACUUGGCUUGGUUGUUGUAAAUAGCUUUGUGAAAUAGUUGCAGAAUUCAGCCUCCACAUCUCUGGCUUUCUUUAACCAAUCCCCUGAGCUAUUUUCAAUCCCCCAAAUUCUGUUCUUUUUCUUUCUAUUCGACACUUUAUGAUGGAAGAACUUUGUGUUCUUGUCCCCUUCCUUGAGCCAAUCUGCUCUUGAGCGUUGCUUCUAGUAAAUCUCCUCAUCAAUGAUGAUAUUUAUAAUCUGAUUUUCCACCAUUUUAAUCUUUUCUCCAGAUUCGUACUGCACCCCUCUCUGCUUCCAUCCUUGAAGCUGCUUUUGUAACUGCUCUAGCUGUUUUUCCCUUCCUUUGAAUUCCCUCUUGCUCUAGUUUAGAAGUCUAGCCAUUGAUUCUUUAGCAAUCUUUCGAAACAAAUAAACUGGAUUGCCACUCUGCCAAUUGCUAUUCAAGCUCCAUUCCUCGUUAACUAUCUCCUUACAAGCCUCAUACGGACUCCACAUAUCCUCAUAAUGAAUUCGUGAGGAUUGUCUCCUACUCGCAGCCAUUUCCUCUCCCCUCUCUUGAACCAUCAUCAGCACUGGACAAUGGUCUGAGGUCCAUGUGUUCAGGUUGAUUACUGCAUCAUUGACAAAAAUAUCACACCAGGCUCUGUUGCAAACAAAACGGUCCAACCUUUCCUCUAUAAAUCUCUGUCCAAACCUCCCAUUACUCCAAGUAAAAGGGUAACCCUUAUACCCUACAUAUGCUAAUUCACAAUCUCUCAAAGCCUGCCUGAAGCUAUUAAUUAAGUUGACAUUUCUCUCAUUGCCUCCGCUCUUCUCAUGAGGAUGCAGAAUUUCAUUGAAGUCUUCGAAACAUAACCAAGGACUAGGAGACAAACCUACCAACCUUCUCAAAAGUGACCAUGUAUGUUGUUUCUGCCCCAUUUCCGGAUGCCCGUACACCCCUGUGCAUCACAUUUGCCUCCCAUUGGCCAUCUGAACUUCAGCAUCUAUGUGAUGCUUGCUGAACGAUUUAAUUUGUACACAAGUUUCUUCAUUCAAAGCAAAGAUAAACCCCCUCCCCUUCCACUACAGCUCACGGCAAAACAAUUAUCAAAUUUUAACUUUUUUCCAGUCACAUUCAUUUGCGUGGUUGACAGCUUGGUUUCACACAAAAAUACCAGUUGAUGACCAUGCAUAUGGAGGAUUUGUUUAAGUACUAGAAACGCUCGGGGAUUCCCCAAACCCCAAACGUUCCAUGAGAUGAUCUUCAUGGCUUUCGGCGGGGCUGGCUUCCAGCCUCCGCCGAUAUCUCUGCUAUGGUUGAAUCCAUGUCCACCAUAUUUUCCAACAUCAAUGGUUCCCAGCUCAAUUUAACUUUUGCCGCUGGAGAAUGGUGCCCCUGCUUCUUUGUUUCUGAUUUAAUUGGACUAGAGAGCUUUGCUUUCUUUUUCGGGCUUUGUCCCAUUGCCUCUCUACUUGUUCGUUUAUGAGCUCCCAGCCCCAUUUUGGAUUCUCUUCCAUUUGGCUCUCUAGCUCGUCUCUUCCAUUUUCUUUUUGUGGGCCUUGCUUGAGUAAUUUCCGGCCCAUUAUCUAUUUUAGCUUCCUCCAUUUCUUUCAAAUUUGUCUUGAACUUUUCCCUCUCUUUCUCCAUCCCAUCUCCUGCCAAUAUUCCCCCUUCUCUAGGAAUUAUUUCAUUGCUGAUAUUCCCACCUUGCUUUUUGCCGCCCAUUUGCUUUUCUUUCAUCGAUUCUACCACUCCUUUCAUUAAAUUCUGCUCACCUACUCCUUCCACCUCAUCAAUCUUGGUAGUCUCCAUGGUUUGACCCGUUUUUUCGCUUAUGGGUUCUGACCCACUUGUUCUAAUCGGGUUGUCCUGGCUUUGUUGUUGUUGUUGCCGGUGGAUUCUGUUAUGCUCUGAACUUUCUUAUUUUUCUUUUGAUCUACUCCCUUCAUAAUUCCAUCUCUCAUUGUUGCGAUUCUUCCUUGAACGACCUCCUACGAUAAUUGCUUUCAUCCACCCACCGUAUGGUAGUUGCUCUUUUUGCUGUCCCUGAAAUUUGGCACACUCUUUGUAUUGAUGCCCAAUGAUGCCACAACAAUAACAGAAAUCUAGUAGUCGCUCAUAGACCACUAGCAUUGGAAUGUCUGAUUCACCUUCUUGUUUAAGGAAGAGUAUUUUCUUCAACGGCAGUGUUAUAUUGAUUAAUACCCUUAUUCUCGCAAAUUCGCCAAGGCAUUCUCCAUUUUCAUCUGUCUCAAUCUCCUCCACUGCCCUAAUCAUUCCUCCCAAUUCUUGGAGCAAUUCUUUCUCCAUGCAUACAAUCGGGACGUUGCGAAUCUGUAUCCAAAAGGUUGUGUGGAUAAAGUAUUGCUUUGUCAGCUCCCCUAUUCCUUUUGGUUCAGUAAGAACAAUUAAUGCUCUAUCAAAAUGCCAAGGACCUCCUGUUAAUACUCUUUUUUUAUCCGCUUCUUCUGUAAAUUUAAACAUAAAGCAAUUGUUCCCUAAGCUUUCAAUUUUAACCUCUUUUACAGUUCGCCACACUUGCUGCAAUGCACUCUUAAAUCCCUCCUUGUUGACUGCUCUUGUGAGGAGGACUUUGCCCACUAAGCAUCUUGCCAACAUUUUCCCCCUUGUGGCUUUCAUGUUCACCUCUAGUGACAUAUUGGUUUUGUCUUCCUCUCUUAUAGUUAUUGCGUUGCAUUUACGGAUUAGCUCGUCUGUAUCCAUGGCACCACAGGCUACAUGAUAUGGAUACAAUAGUGCCCCAUGUAUGACCCCUUGCCUUCUCUGCUCUCCCCAACUCUGAUUAGUAUAAUACUCAAACAAUCACCGAGAAUAAGGAAACGCUAAAGCUAAAAGAAAAACUUAACCCUGAAAGCACUCACUUCGGAGUGACCAUUGAGUCAUUAAGACCCUUUAAAGCUUCCAUUCCAGCUUCUCUGUCAUAGAGAGAGCGUUUGAAAGAAUAUUGUGCAAUUUAGUAACAAAAACAAAUCAUUAUUGAGUGUGAACAGACUUAUUGAUCACCCAAUUUUCAAACUUGUCAUCCUUAUUGAAUAUGCAUUCCCUUUUAAAAAAUUUUAAAAAAGGUACAAAUAAUGAAACAAAGUUUUGUUCCUUCAACAGUUGAUAGAGUUACGCAGCUUCAACUUGCAAGUGCUGUCGGCAUUUUCAAACUUGUAAGACCCUUCAACUUGCUUUCCUAGAUAGCUAUAAUUAAUAAUGACAACAGUCUCCCUUAUAGUGGCUAGUGAGCAACUUGUUUCGUGAAAUUAACGGUAUCUUCUCUCACAUUUUUUAAAAAAUUGAAUUAUAUAACCCACCAAAACUAUAAAGAAUUGUUAGUUUUUCUUCAUUAAAAUUAAUAUAUUGCUCCUCAUAUUGCAAAAUCAAAAUUCAGAAUAAGAAUGAUUGAUACUGUUUAUUUAUUAAAAUGAAAAUAAAAUAUAUGAAGCCUACAUAUUUUUGAAAUUAGAAAACAAGAACUUUAUUUUCCAUGGGGAGUGUUGGGAAUCAAGUUCUCAUUAUUUAAACUCUCAAUUGUACCUCACCGAAAUUUCAUAAUUUCACUUUUGUUCGCAAUUAAAAUAUUAUUAUAGUUAUUAUUCUUAUUUUUAUAGUUGUUGUUGUUGAUGAUGAUGAUGAUGAUGAUGAUGAUACAAGAUAAUAAAAUUAAUGAUAAUUAAACCAAUUUGAAUUUAGAGUGAGUGAGUACUAGGGGUGUUCAGAAUCCAAUCCGAUUCGCUCAAUCCGUCCGAUCUGCUCAAUCUGAUUCGUAUAAAUCCAAUCCGUGGAUUGGUGGAUUGGAUAUGGAUUGAAAAUUUAAAAAUCCGCAGUCGAUGGAUUGGAUAUGGAUUUACUUAUGUAAAUCCGCAGAAACCGUGAAUCCGCAAAAUAUAUAUAUAUAUAUAUAUAAUUAAAAAAUUAUUAUAAAUUUAAUUUUAAAAAAAUUAUAAAUGUGACAUUACAUAGUUACAUAAGCACUAUAACAUAUCUUAGCCAUUACUCAAUAAUAAUAUAAAAUGAAAAAUAAUUAAAUAAUCAAAUAUACAAAUAUAACUUGUAAAAAUUAUAAAACAAAAUAAAAGUAAAGUCACACGCACUAGCAAAAGCAAAGUAACAUAACGCCAAGUCACCAACAAUUUACAAAGUCACUCAAAAGCAAAGUAACAUGACGUUAAGUCACCAAUAAUUUGCAAACAAAAAACCCUAAGCUUCCCCGCCGUCACACACACUAGCAACACUCAAUACUGGUUGGAUACACUCUCGACACGGAUUUGAAGGACAUCGGCCGCGCGAUUCCGGCGAGAGCAAUCCAAUUUCUUUCCCAAGUCCAUUGAGCCACUUCACAUUCACUGGUUCCAGCUGAAUAAUUUCACUAUCACAACCUUCAAGAUCGCCACCCGUACAGCUUCUCCUGGUUCCCAUCGUGGACGGCUCCGUAAUCACCACUUUUCGACAGGCGCAACAGCCCUGGUGAAGGAUCAGACUGUGUUUGGUUUCCGAAACUUCACCAUUUCAAUUAAUUGUGGCUCUAUUUGAACAAUUAAUUUCGGUGUUAUAUUAACGUAUUAUUGUAACUUUAUUUGAACAAUUAAAUUUGGUGUGUUAUAUUUUGAAACUUUGAACGUAUUAUUAUAGCUUUAUUUGAAUAAUUAGUCUCGAUGUGUUAUAUUUUCAAACUUUAAAUGUAUUAUUUUAGCUUUAUUUAAAUAAUUUAUUUAUUUAAAUUUUAUUCAAUUUUAAAUUUAAUUGGUAGCAAAAUUAUUUUUAUAUUAUAUAUUUUUUUAUUUCAUUAGUUGGAGAGAACUAAAAAUUUUUAAUUCGAAAACUAAUGCGCAAAAUGGUGGAUUGGAUAUGGAUUUAGUCAAAUCCGCAUUCGAUCCGCAGACGUAUGGAUUGGAUAUGGAUUAAGUCAAAUCCGCAUCCGAUCCGCAGAUGUAUGGAUUGGAUUUGGAUUGAAUUUUAUCAAUCUGUGGAUUGGAUUGGAUUGGAUUGGAUUGAAAAAUUAUAAUCCGCAAAAUCAUGGAUCGGAUAUGGAUUGAUGUCCAAUCCGUUAAAUCCGAUCCGCGAACACCCCUAGUGAGUACCAUGAGUUCGCAUCAUUUGAUAUCAAAUGAGCAUCAUUACUAACUAAUAUAGGUUCGAUCGAAUUCAUCAUACGAAGUAUAUUAUCGGCUGUAGGUAUGGAAAUAAUUUUGUAUCCACAAACACUAUUUUUCAAAAUAUUUUAAGACUUAACUUAGCAUUUUUUAACCAUACAUGUAUAGGUUGUUUGACCUAUUUUAAAUAAUGGAGAUUACAACAAAUGAACAGAUGUGGAUUAGUAGUGUUGUUGAGUUCAAAAGAUUGAAGUUAAGAAAAGGGUUUCUUGAUCCAGAGAAAAUUCAAAAGAGCGAAGUGUCUUCGAGAUCAGAAGACGAAAUAAGGAAAGGGUAAGGUUUAUACUUUCAAAAUGAAUAUGUUGACAGAUCUUUGAAGAUUAUUUUCAUUAACAGUUGGAUCCCACACUUGAGUCUUUGUAGUCUCAGUCAGUCAGCUAUAAAGAUAAAUUAAUUUUGAGCGUGAAAGGGCUCAAUUGAUCACCAAAUUUUCGAACUUAUGAUCCUUAUUGAAUCUGCAUUCCCAUUUGAAAAACAAAAAAAAGAUUAACAUUAAUUUAACUUCAUCUAGAUUCCCAUUUGAAUCUGCAUUCUCAUUCCGUUCUUUGGGAAUGCGCAUAAUCAAACAAAAUCAUGUCCGCAUUUUCAAACUUGUGACCCUUCAAGCUUUCUAUAACAGCUAUAAUGAAUAAUUACAACAGUGCUACGUAAUAGUGAGCAACUUGUUUGAUGAAAUUAACAGCUUCUGUUCUCUCAUGUAUUUUUAAAAAAUUGAAUUAUCAAAGUUUUUAUUUCAAAAUUAGUGCUAUAGUUCAUUAACUUUUCAAAUUUUCUUUUUUCUUUCCACACAACAAAUUGAUUUUCCCUCCAAAAAAUGUAUUAAAUUGUUUAAUAUUGUAACUUCAAAAACUUAUAAUGAAUUUUUAAAGAGAUAAAUAGAGAAUGUCAAUCUCCCAUCUACUCAAAAUUAAUAUAUAUCAUUAACUCCUGAUUAUUUUUAUAACAACUAAUAACUUUCUGGGUAGCAUAAUUUUACAGUAUCAUCCUUGUUUGUAAGUAUAUUUUUAUUCACAUUUAUUAUAAAUUAAUUAAAUCAUAUCAAUGAAAAUUGAAAUAAAAAUUGAAGUACUAAAAAAAAUGUUUUGGUGUGAAUAAAAAAUUGAAAAUAAAAAUAUUUUUCUUAUAUUUUUUAUUUUUAAAUGUUUUUCUUUUAAUAAAUAUAUAUUUUAUAUUCUCAAAUUGAAUUAUUGAGUAAAUGACUCAUUUAUUCACUUUUUCUUUUAAUUUUUGUUAUUAGGAGGAUUUUUAGAUAUAAUGAAAAUUGUAAGGUAGUAAGUAAUAUAUAAUAAUUUUAAUAGAGAAAAAUAAAAAAUCUGUUAUUUUAAAAUAUAAAGAGAAAAAUAAUUAAUUUCAAAACAUUUUAGAAGAUAUUUCAAUAUGCGGUGGACCACAAACUCGAGUCUUUGUCAUCUCAGUCAACUAAAAGGACAUAUGCUAUAAUGUCCCUCUUCCCUCACAUAUUAAACCAAUGUGAUCUCAGAGUGAGUUUGCAUCGAAGGAGUAUCCUUACUAACUAAUAUAGGCUCGAUCAAUAGAGAUGACAAUAAUUUUUUUUAUCUACGAACAUUAUUUUUUCAAAAUAUUAUAUCUUUAGACUUAACUAAAUAUUUUUUUCACCAUGUAUGUAUAGUUUGUUUGAUCUCUUUUAAAUAGUGGAGAUCACAACAAAACAAAUGCGAAUUAGUAGUGAUGGUGAGUUCAGAAGAUUGAAGUUAAGAAAAUUAAGGGUUUCUUGAUCCGGAGAAAUUUCAAAAGAAUGAAGCGUCUUCGAAAUCAAAAGACAAAAAUAAAGAAAGGGUAAUGGUGUAAUUUUGAAAGUGAAUUUAUUGAGAGAUCUUUGAAGAUUUACUUCCGUUAAGACUUAGAUCCCGCACUCCUAAGCCUUUGUCGGCCCAAUCACUCAACUGUAAAGACAUUUUCUUGUUGAGUGUGAACAGACAUAUUGAUCACUAAAUUUUCAAACUUGUGAUCCUCGUUGAAUCUGAUUCCCCUUUGAAAAAUUAAAAAAAAGUGCAAAUAAUGAAACAAAAUUUUGUUCCUUAACAGCAAGUGUUGUCGGCAUUUUCAGACUUGUAACAAGGGAAUGCGGUCCUCUCCUGAACCCGAAUCUCAUUCCCUGUGACAAGACCCUUGUUACCCUUCAACUCGCUUUCUAAGAUAGCUAUAAUUAAUCGUGACAACAUUACUCUCAGUGAGCAAAAGUUAACAGCAUCUUCUCCCCAUUUUUUAAAAAAUGUAUUAUAUAACCCACCAAAACUAUAAAGAGUCUUUUCUUAUUAAAAUUAAUAAAUUACUCUUUAUAUUAAAUAAUUAAAAUUAAAAUUAAAAUUUAAAAUGAAAAUGAUUUAUUUAUUAAAAUAUAAAUAAAAUAUAUAAAGUUCAUAUGUUUUUUAAAUUAAAAAAUAAGAACUUAAUUUCAUUCCUUAAAUUCUCAAAUUUACCUCACAAAAAUUUCGUAAGCUCACUUUUGUCCUUAAUUAAAAUAUGAUUAUGUUAUUAUUAUGGUUAUUAUUCUUAUUUUUGUAAUAGUUGAUGUUGUUGUUGAUGAUGAUGAUAAUACAUAUAAUAAAAUUAAUAAUAAUAAAAAUAAUAACUAUAAUUUUAACAACAGCAAUAAUAAUCAUUAAUAUUAUUGUUGUUGUUGUUGUUGUUCUUCUUCUUCUUCUUCUUCUUCUUCUUCUUCUUCUUCUUCUUCUUCUUCUUCUUCUUCUUCUUCUUCUUCUUCUUCUUCUUCUUCUUCUUCUUGUUAUUAUUAUUAUUAUUAUUAUUAUUAUUAUUACUAUCCUAUUAUAAUAAUAUUAUUAAAUAAUUAUUUUGAAUAAUAAUAAUCACAAUUAUUAUAACAAACGACAAAAAUCAACUAAAGUAAUUUUAAUAACUUGUAAGAAUUCAUUUUUAUUCAUGGAUAUGUGAUUAUUUGUUAAUGUAUGCAAUUAAUUGUGAUGGUAAACAAAGAAUAUAUGGUAUAUUUUCAAGUUAAAAAAGAAAAACAAAACAAAGUUUUUACCAUUUCUUGCCUUAUCAUCUUUUAAAUUAGAGUUAUUAUUCUUUUUAUUUUUCAAGUUGCCAACUCAUCCGCAUUCUCUUUUAUUGAAUUUGAAGAUCGAUGAUCAUAAAUUUGUGUAAAAAUUUUAAGUAAAAAUUUUAAAUUAAAAUAAUCUUUUAAGUUAUUGGGAAAUAAUAACUUAGUAUAACAAAUAUUAUAUCCUAUACUUUAUUGCUACAAAACUACAAAACCAUAUAUUAUAUUAUGUUUCCAUAUUUCUCUUUUAUAGUGAAGACUCAUACUUCUUCUCUACUAAAUGCUAAAGUAUUGGCUUAAACUUUUUAAUCAGCACAAUAGACCCUAAGCUAUAUAUGUUAUAAUGUCCCUCUUCGCUCACGGAUUAAACCAAUCAGUAGCCUUCUCUCAUAUAGAAAAACUUUUUGCAUAAGACAAAUUAUUAUGUUAUCGGAAAAAUUACAGUAGACGUAAGCUAUAUAUGUUAUAAUGUUCAGAAGAUUGAAGUUAAGAAAAUUAAGGAAAGGGUAAGGAUGUAUUUUCAAAGUGAAUUAUUAAGAGAUCUUUGAAGAUUACUUCCGUCAAGAGUUGGGUCCCAUAGUUUUACCUUUUGCUCGUUCACGUGAAAGUCAGUUUAGAAUUUUUAUCUUAUUUCACAAAGCUAAUUUUUUUUAUCACAAGCAGGAGAGAAACGGCAUUUCUUAGCAGUAGUUCAUCACUGUAGUAGCGAGCGAGUGAGGAACAAAAUUACCAACAAUUAUCAAAAAUAAUUAUACAAAAAAGAUCACAUGCUAUAAUUAAUCAUGACAAUUGACAACAUUACUCCCACCGAGCAAAAGUUAACAGCAUCUUCUCCCACAUUUUUUUAAAAAAAAUUGUAUUAUAUAACCCACCAAAAGUAUAAGGAGUCUUUCCUUAUUAAAAUUAAUAAAUUACUCUUUAUACAGAGAAAUUAAAAUUUAAAAUGAGAAUGAUUGAUGAUGUUCAUUUAUUAAAAUAAAAAUAAAAUUUAUGAAGUCUAUAUAUUUUUAGAAUUAAAGAAUAACAACUUAAUUUUUUAGGGGGAGUGUUGAAAAUCAAAUUCUUAUUCCUUAAAUUCUCAAUUUUACCUUAAAAAAAUUAUAAGUUCACUUUUAUCCUUAAUUAAAAUAUUAUUAUGAUUAUUAUUCUUAUUUUUGUAACAGUUGCAGUUGUUGUUGUUGAUGAUGAUGAUAAUAGUUGAUAAUAAAAUUAAUAAUAAUAAUGAAAAUAAUAACUAUAAUUUUAACAGCUACAAUAAUAAUCAUUAAUAUUAUCGUUGUUGUUGUUGUUGUUAUUAUUAUUAUUAUUAUUAUUAUUAUUAUUAUUAUUAUUAUUAUUUUAAAUAAUAAUAAUCACAAUUAUUAUAACAAACAACGACAAUAAUUAACUAAUGUCAUUUUACUAACUUAUAACAAUUCAUUUUUUUAUUCCAAGACAAACUAACCAUAUCAAUAAUAAUACAGGUCAUUUCAAUUCUAAUUCUUACAGGUAAAGUAAAUAAUUUAUUCUGAUUCUCAUUUUUCAUUUUGAUUUUAUUCUAUUCCGAUUCCAUUUGAUUCUGAUUCCAGCCAAUUCUAAUUACCGAUUAGAAAAUGCAUUGUUACUACUUUAACAAUAACUAAUGAUUCUCCUCACAAUUCUUAUAGGGUUAUCCUUAUUUUAAAAUAUUUUUUAUUCGUAUUUAUUAUUAAUUAAUUAAAUUAUAUCAAUGAAAAUCAAAUAAAAAUUUAAGUAAUAAAAAUGAGAAAAUAUAUGUUUCGGUUUGAAUAAAAAAUUAUAAUAAAAUAUUUUUCUUACAUAUUUUAAAUAUUUUUAUUAUAAUAAAUAUUUUUUUUAUUCUCAAAAUAAAUUAUCAAGUAAACGAUUCAUUAACUCAUUUUUUUCCUUUAAAUUUUUGUUAUUAAGAAGAUUUUUGGGUAUUGACCGUGAAGGGCUCAACUGAUCGCUAAUUUUGCAGCAAUUGCCUUUUCUUUUUCUUUUUUUUAAUUGUUUUGAAAAAAUAUCCAGACUCAUUCUGCAAAGUAUCUGAGGCCAAAGCGCCGAAAGUUAGCAGUUAGUACACCCACAUGUGCUUUUCUUUACAAAAUCUAAAGUUAGCGUGGGUGUCUAUAACUUAAAUUUAAUAUAAUUUAUAAUUAGUAAAAUUCUUUGAUUGACCCAUUAAAUUUUAUUAUUCUAUUACUUAUUUUUAUAUUAAAAAUUUAGUAAUGUAGAAAAAUUCUUAAAAGUUAGAGCGCUGCUAUUCACCCCGAUUUUUAACCCCGAAAAGCGCCCCGAAUUUAAAACGCACCGUUUUGAUUAAAUUGAAAACGGUGCGUUUAACCCAUGUUUCUUCCUUUCCUUUCUUUUGCCAAACCACAGAAACGGACCUUUGCUUCCUUUUCGUUUAAUCCUAUCAUCUUGUGGUCACUGCCGCUGCUGCUUUCUUCAAGACCGAGCUCUCUGCCGCUGCUGCUUCCUUCAAAACCUAACGGCCCGUCCGCAGAGCCCAAUUCAAAGCCGUUCGAUCAAUCGACGAUCCGACACCGAGGCCCAUCAACUGGCGCGUCUGCCUCAGCUUCUUCUUCGUCCUCUCCGGCGUACACGGAAGAGCAAAUCGCGAUCGUGAGACAAAUUAAGAAACGAAAGAUUAUUGCGUGCGUUGAUGGCUCUGAUGGGUUUAAUUUACGUGCGUUGAUUCAGUUGUUGCUUGUGAUUUUGAUAAUUCUCUUGCAGUUUUUGCGUCUUCUAAUCCAAUUUAUGCCAUGUCGAGGUCUUACCCUUAUGAGUACAAGUUUACAACAGAAAGAGGGGUGAAUUUUUAUAUGAAGUCUAGCAAAUUUGAGUAGGACUAUCCGGUGGGUAGUGUUCAGAGAGUAAGGCUCGAAAAGCAAGUUGAAAAGGAUUACUUUACUAUUCUUGCACAGAAUUGCCGGUUAGAGAUUCAACGGCAGCAGUGGGGUUUUAUAAAGGAGACUCCCCAUUGUGACAUGUGGCAGACGUUUCAAUAUUCACCAGCUUGGUAAAUCUGACAAUAAUUUUGUAGUAAUCUACAUAAAGGUUGCUUGAUUGUGCUGCUAUGAUAUUCAUUAUUCAGAUAGGAGUAGCAAUCGUGUUACUGAAAUCUGGUUCAAUGAAACAAGCUGAAGCAAAACUGAAGUAAUUUUCUCCCACAUUCAAUUAAUGCAUCUUCAAAUCUUUCAUAAAGUUGAUCAUUUCCUCGGGAAAUGGAACAUUGCUCUUGUGUAAUGAAGUUUUAAGCAUUGCUGUAAAUGGUUUGUAUAUGAGAAAUUAUUUGUUUUAAUGCCAUAAUUUAUGUGCUGAUUGAUCUUUGAAGAAAUUUUGAGCGCGAUUAACUGUCUCUAGGGUCUGUUGUUGCCCAUGAUGCUCCAACAGCUGGAUGUCUAAUUAUGCAUUAUGAACCUUAACUAUCAGUUUCUAGAGCUGAUGUUCAACUAGCUAUUUGAUGAUGUUUUAGGAAGAUGUAUUUUGGCUGUUUGAGUUUCUAGAGCUGAUGUUAUGUUAGAAAUUAUAUUUAUUUUAAUUGUUGCUGCAGCAACAUAAAUAUAAACUGUUGAUUAACUUGAAUAUCCCAUUUGGAACCAAACAAUGACAAAAAUAAAAUAAUACAUCAAAACACAAGUUAGCAGAUGUUGAUUAACUUGAUACAAAUGCUCACGGUUGAGUAAUUUUAGAUACAAAUACUGAUGGUUCAGCUUACAAAUUAAAAUGAAACAACUCAAGAUUUAUAAAUUUAAAAUCAAACUGCUCAUGAUUCAGCUUACAAUCAUUAAAUAUAGGAACAAUAAUAUACAAACAAAUACUUACGGGUUUUGCAAUGUAGGAAUUCAGCACUCUAACUUUCACGAAUAAGUUGGCGUUUUGCAGUUUGGAAGCUCUGUACUUGGAGUUUUUACAUUUGCAGUUUACAGUUUGCAGUUUCAGUCUGCAAAGCGGAGUGUUGUGGUUCAAGCUUGUGCAAAUAGAAGAAGAAAGAAAAUGUUCACGUGCUGCACGGGUGGAACUAAAUGGGAAAGCAAUCAAAGCAAAAAAGCAAAAAAGCAAAAAAGCAAAGAAGCAAUCAACGCAAAAGGAAAACAGUCAAAGCAAAAAAGAAAUCAAAGCAAAACGCACCGUUUUGACAAUAUUUGGGGUACGGUUUCGGGGUUUAAAAUCGGGGUAAGUAGCUUGCUCUUUCCCUAAAAGUUAAGGAAAAUGAUGUUUGCCCCGGGUCAAACCCCGAAAAUGAAACGCACCGUUUUUAUUAACCCGCAAAACGCACCGUUUUGCCAAGCCCAUUUUCUUUAUCGAUUAAGUGCAGCACAGCCAUUCGAAGUCCUCAAUCCACAAUCAGUAAUAAAUUAUGAUUCUUUUCAAAUCGGAAGGGAGCCCUCCAGAAGGUCAAUUCCAUGAUAUAAUUAGAUGGAUGGAAGAUAUGACAAAGCGGCAAAAAAAUGUGGAGAAGGAAUCAGUUGCAGCUCUACUUUGGGUGAUAUGGAACGCUAGGAAUAAGUGGCUUUUUGAAGGGAAACAAGAGGCUCCAGCCAGAUUAGUAGCAAGAGCUGAAUCAGUUGUGGAGUCUUUUAAAAAUGCCAGCCAGUAUGAUGGGUUAAGGCCAAAUCAGAAAAGGGAGGGUAAGGAAAACCACAGGCAUUCUCUUCCAAAUGGGUGGCUAAAGGUAAAUGUAGAUGCUGCAGUGAACGUUGAGAAACAUGUAGCUGGGCUGGGGGUGGUAAUAACAGACGGGAACCAAAAUUGUAUAAUUGCUGCCAUUAACACUUCUAGAUACUUUGGCAACGUGGCAAUGGCCGAAGCUGCAGCUGUGAAAUGGGGAUUGCAGGUUGCUUUGAGAGUGGGGGGAACCUCUGUGUUGCUUGAAUCGGACUGUCAUGAAGUAGUAGAGAUUAUAAAUAACAGAGACAGUAGUAUGAUGGAAAUCUUUUGGGUGAUCUCUGAAAUUCUGGAAAUUAAGAAGAGUUUUCAGAAUUUCAAGGCUCAACACACACAUAGAUCUUGAGGGGUUUUGCAGUUGGGGUUAUGUAGUUGGGUUGUGUGGUGAAGUGAAAAAUCGAAAGCGAAAGAUGAUUUUUCUGUUUCUUUAUUACAGGAGAAAGAUGAGUUUGAUAAAGAGCUGGAAUGCUCAAGCAAAACGACGUUGUUUUAAGAAAAAUUGAAACGACCCAAAAAACUAAUAAAACGGCGUCGUUUUAUUAAAGCUUCGGGGCUUGACCCGGGGUUUGACCCGGGGCAUCUAUCAGCGCCCAAAAGUUAAUGGAGAAGGAAAAGAAAAAGAAAAAGUGUAAAUGAACUGUAUUCACCUAAGUUUCAAACAUGUGGUUCAAUCUGAAUUUGCUUUUUUCAAAAGUAAAUACAAAAGAAAAUAUAAAGAAAAAGAAAUUAAACGAGACAAAAAUUUGUGGCGUGGGUCAUUCAUAUCUUUUGCCAUUUCUUUUGUAGAGGUACAUAGGGUAGAUAUUUUGAAGUGAAAAGCAGAGCUUUUAUUGUUAUUUGCCUUAUCAUCUUUUAAAAUUAGAGUUAUUAUUCUUUUAUUUUUAAGUAGCCAACGGAUGGUAGCCAACUCAUCCGUGUUCUCUAUUAUUGAAUUUAAAGAUCAAUAAUUUAUGUUAAUAAAUAUUUUGUUAACUAUCAAAGUUUUUAUUUCAAAAUUACUGUUAUAAUUCAUUAAAAUUUCAAUUUUUCCUUUUUCUAUUCACACAACAGAUUGAUUUGCCCUCCAAAAAAAUGUAUUAGAUCGUUUAAUAUUGUAACAUCAAGAAACUUAUAAUAAAUUUUUAAAGAGAUAAAUAGAGAAUGUCAGUCUCGCAUCUACUUAAAAUUAAUAAAUAUACCACUAACUCCUUAUUAUUUUUAUAAUAACUAAUAACUUUCUUAACAAUAUAUUUUUAUAGUAUUAUCCUUGUUUGUAAGUACAUUUUUAUUCAUAUUUAUUAUAAAUUAAUUAAAUCAUAUCAAUAAAAAUUAAAAUAACACAAUAUGUUUUGGAGUGAAUAAAAGAUUGAAAAUAAAAAUAUUUUUCUUAUAUUUUUUGUUAUUUUUAAAUGUUUUUCUUAUAAUAAAUGUACAUUUUAUAUUCUUAAGAUGAAUUUUGAGUAAAUGACUCAUUUACUCACUUUUUCUUUAAAUUUUUUUGUUACUAGGAGGAUUUUUAGAUAUAAUGAAAAUUGUAAGGUAGUAAGUAAUAUGGCCAAAACUACAUUGCGUCAGGGGUUUGGUGCCCCACUCGUUUGUCUGUUAGCAAGGUCAGCGUUGGAUUUGAUCUGACGGCUGCAGAAGAGACACAAAUAUAAAGGGUAGUAACCUGAGGCAAAGGUAACAAGCCAGUCACCUGCAGAAAAUAAGUGUAUGAUAAAAUAACACAUGCAAUGAAUUUUGUAUUUUUUUUUUUUAGAAGACACAUGUAAUGAACUUGCUGGAAGCGUACAUGCAAGUAAUGGUUGGAAACAACCUACUGAAACCGUGCAAGUAUUGGUUGGGCUAAGAUUGACAUGAAAUUUCCCAAAUAGUGUCCGAAACAUUUGCAAAUAGUUAAUUCAAAGCGUCAAUAAAUGCUGGAAAAAAUACAUAUUUUUUAUUUUUUUUAUUAAGAAUACAUUUUUUUUGAUAAAAAAAUAAAUUAUUAAUGGUACAUAGCAACAAAUAUACCCAAAACAAUUAUCCAUAUAUUUGAAAAACAUUUGUUAACAAUACAUAUUUUUAGUAGUACACAUAUUAUAACAUAAACAAAUUGAGUUGUAUCAUGGACAGCCAUAAACUAUGAACAAAGAUUACGAUCUAAACUCCACAUGCAUGUUUAAUUUGUAGAUUCCAUUUUUUUCAUAAUGUGUUUCCCACCAUGGGAUAACAAGGGUUAUUCAGGCAAAACACUACGGCAAUUCAUUAUCAUAGACAGGAAAAAGACAAUGGCAAAGAUCAAUGAUUUAACACACAAGAAUGAGUGAAUAACAACAGCAAGUGAGAACCAUGCAGAAUCCUUUUUAUUAGAGAUCCUUUCUUAAAUCUUAAAUAAGAACAUUAAAUAAGCUUGAAAAAUAUUGGUAACUGGCCCAAUACACAUCCAUCUAACGGAAAACAGCGGACAGUUUGACGCAUGUGUGGAGCACUUGAGGAAACAGAGCAUCCACGGAAUGCCUAAAUUUGAAAAAAAAAAAAAUUGCAUUUGACGAAAAGGACUUUGAGCGUUCAAAUACAAAGUGUCGAUUAACCUUACAAGAUACAUCAACCAUCACAUAUGCUCAACAUGCAAUACCAAAUUAAAUUACCCAUCUCCAGGGUUGGAUUUGUCUUCAAUCAGAUGAAUGCUGGAGAGAAUAUAAUUGAAAGAAUGGCAUCAUCUACCAUGCAAGCUAAGGCUCCUUACAGAUGCUCAACAUGACACCACAAAAGAAAAUACAAUAUCAAAGACACAUCACCAACAUAUAUGCAAACUACCAAUUCUCACAGCAUGCAGUGCAACAACUCAUAAAAUAUGAAAUUUAACAUCAUCUAAGCAUUUUCUCAAGCUUAUUUCUCAUUAAAGAACUUAACUGAAAGUAGUAAACAUAGAGACAUAUAACAGCUUUAUAAGUACAGACCACAAAGUAGAACUUUGUUCGAAUGAUAAUGAUCAUAAUCCACAUUAUAAACGCAGUGAAAUCAUCAAAUGAAAUAAGAACACAGUACACAAUUACACAAAUAUUAGGCUUAAUUAAUUAUUUAGAUUAAAACACCAACUCACACAACUUCCUUGUUGGAAUCUUCUCAUAUCCCAUCUUCUUAGGGCUCAGAUCAUCAUCGUGAUCAUCAACAUCAGUGAAUUCCUCAUACGAAUUGCGAGAAUCGUGACGAUUAGCAAAGAGGCUCCACACCAAAUACAUGGUAACGGCAGUAAGCGAAUCACACCCAACGCCGAAAAGCAAAGCGACUGGUCCGGUCGCAUAGAGAGGAGAAGUCGUGCUCGAAGGGCAAAACACGACGUUUUGGCUCAUGGAUGAGGUGCUGCUCCCGAUCAUCGAUUGAAGGGAGAAUUGGACAAUCGAAGAAGAUUAAGGGACGGUGGGGACUGAAUUGGCGAAUUUCGGUGAAGAUUGUGACGAAUCCAACGGGGUUCUCGGAGUUUGGGUUAGGGUUACGGGGAUUGAAAUGGAUCGAGUAAGAGGAAAUGAAGAGGGUUUUGCAUGGCCUUCCGGAGGCUGAAAUUGAGAGGACACCAUGAAUAUUGUGAGAGCUAAGAGGAGAUGCUGAGUCGAUGACGCCAUUGAUUCGUACCACAUAGCUUCGAUUGGAAAUGAAGCCUCUAAUAGCUUUAGCCGGUUACCCAUUUUUCAAGUGUUAAAUCUCAACCGUUGACUGCCUUUCUUUAUGAUUUCAAGGGUCAUUCACAAAAGGACAAAGGUCAAUAUGCGGUGGACCACACCCUUGAGUUUUCCUCGUCGUCUCAGUCAACUAAAAGGACAAAAUAUUGAGUCUUUAAGGACUCAACUGAUUGUUAAUUUCACAGCAAUUACCUUUUUUCUUUCUUUUUUUUCUAAUUAUUUUGAAAUGGUAGGUAGCAAUUGCUUACAUCAAAAUAUCUAAACUCACUCGGCAAAGUAUCCGAGGCCAAAAUGCCAAAAGAUGGGACACCCACAUGUGCAUCUAAUUACAAAGUCUAAAGUUAAUGAAAAGAAAAAGAAAAAGAAAAAGUAUAAAUGAACGGUAUUCACCUCACUUUCAAACAUCUAGUUCAACAUGAAUUUCCUUUUACCAAAAGUAAAUUUCCUCUCGAAUUGUCCUCAUUACAUCAAACGAAUGAUGACGACGCUCUGUCCGUUUCUGGCUCUCUGCUUUUCUCUCUCACAUCACGAGACACCUCGUUUCUAACUGGGGUACCACCAUCAUAUUUAACUGUUAGGUCUUCCUACUAUGCACCUGAUGUAUGCAUGAUUCCUUAUGACAUGACAUACAGCCAAUUAAAUUCUGACAUGUUUGCAAUAAAGACUGUUAAACCGGUUGAAUUCACAAGAUCUCUUGUUUGUGUGUUUAUGUUCCAAGUUGUGUACUCUGUGUUAUGAGUUCUCUAAUUAGUCUGAUAUUAUCGCAACUGUUGCUCAAUAAUGUUAUAGGUUUUAUAAUAUAUGUCACCGGUACGAUCGCUGUCUCAAGUGGUAAACUUUGAGGCACAAAUUUAGAACGAAAAGUUCCUAAUAAAAUAAAUUAUUUAAUUAAUUAAAUAAGAAUAAAAUGAAUUUGUGAAAAAAAUUUAAAUUUAAUUUUGAAUUAUUUUGACCAAAAUUUAAGUUUUUUUUUAAUUUGUUUAAGAAAAUGCGUUGUAAUUGUCUUGUUUUAAUUGGAAAAUCAAUGAAAAAAUUAUGUAAAAGAAAAAAAAAAAAAAGCAAAACGGUUUGUUUUGGAUGGAGGCCAUAGAUUCCAAUAUUUCCUUCACGAAAACUACAAAAAAUUAUCAAAGGCAUCAAUUUCUACACUCUCACGGAGCAAUACUCUUAACCCAGAAGAAAGUGUAUAAACCAACCCCAAUUAGUCCAUCAAUGUCGUCAACCUCAUACAGCAUAAAAAAAAUCUGUGUCCAUUAAACCGCCAUUUAAACCGUCUUGAUUGAGCCAUUAGACUAUUCGUGUCAUCUUCCCAUCUCGUUGUAGUAUUUUGCCGUUCAAAUCUAGCUAUCAAUUGGGGAAAAUGGGGACCAAUCUGCAAGUCUUUAAAAUAGAAAGAAACUUUUAUUGGGCACUAUGUUCACGGUGGACCCAGCAGCAUUAAUAUUUAAGAUGGAGUUAUUUGUAUUUUAAAAAUUAUUUUAAACAUUCUAAUUUUAAUAAGAAUAUAUAUUAUAAAAAUAUUUAUCAUAUAAGUUAUUGGACAAUAUAUUAUAAGUCAACAUUAUAUAAUUACUUUGAACACUUAUAUAGCACAAUCCUAAUUCAAUUUAUUAUUCUCAUGACUUAAAUAUAAAAAUUUUUAUUUCCAACAUCUUAAUUAAUAUGUAGAUGAAUAAUAAGGAAAUUAACUUUGAGAAAAAAUUAAAUACAAAAUAUGUGUAAAGCUUUUAAAAAAUAAAAUAAAACAAAAGUAUUGCACAAGAUUUUGGGGGGGGGGGGGGGGGGGGGUUUGGCCAUUCUUCUUCUCCUCCUCUCUCUCUCUUUUGUUUGGGUAGUAUUUAUGGAACAUUUUCUAUUGUUAUGUUCUCAUCGCAAGUUAUUUUAGGUGUAAAAUUCAAUAUUGAAAAUAAAUUAAAUAAAAAAAUAGUAACUAAAAUUAUGUUAAAUUAUUUUUUUAUAAAUUAAUUUUUAAUUAUAUUAUUGUGAGUAUAUGCUAAAUCUCUUAAAAAUAGAGUGUUGAAUAAUUUUAUUAGUUUUUUAAAUAAAUAAAGUUAAGUAACUUAAAAAGUUUAAGUAAGGAUAUUUUUAAAUUUUAAACAGUAUACAAAGUAAAAUUUAAUUUUUUUAUAAUUAAGCUAUGAGCGUGCAAAGUAAUAUUUAGAAUACUAAUAAUCCUACCUUAAUCUUUAUCAUCACAUUAUUUUCCAUAAAAAGUUUACAAUUACCUCUUUAUUGGAUAAUUUUGUUCCCUCUCUUACCUUAUGUUCCCUUACAUUCUCAUUUCUGCAUCACCAUUUAAAUUAUAAUCAUAACGUUAAUCUUUAUCUAUCACAUAUUUUGCCAAAUUUAUUCGCACCGCAAAGCUCUUUCCUUUUUUUUUCCCCGUUAAGUUUGCUAUAAUGUACGUGAAGAAUUUAAAGAGAUCUUUCGUGUCCUUACCCUUUUUUUCGGGUGCACUUUUGCUGCUUUUUUACGUUUCUCCAGAAUUCACUUCAACAUGACUGGCGCAUUUUCUUCUUUCUCGCUGCAACAUCAACUAGGCCACCACCUCUUGCCUCUCCCGGUUCCCCUCAAUUUUCGUAUUCAAUGUCCACCGUUGAUUGUACAUUUAUUAAAAUUCUGUGGUUAUUAUUUUUUUGCAUAUAUUUAAUUCCACACGGUCUAUCGAUAGAGCAGGUGCAUCGUAGUUGUGGCCUUAACCCUGUUAUUGGUAACUCAAUAGCUAAUUCUAAUGUUUCAUCAAGCAGUUUAGAGAUAACCUCUCUCGCUGAACACCCUGGAGUAACGCAAUCCAGUUUUCCAGUGCAAUCAUCAGACAGUUGAACAGCUUCUGAAUUCCCUUUGCUUUUCUUGUUUUCUUUUCCAUGAAAAGGGAGCUCAGGCUUCAAUAUAUCUGGGGAUUGAGUACUAAUGAUAAAGACAACAUACGGUAGAGGACACAAAUUGUUAUCAAAGAAUGAUGCACUUUUCAACUGAGUACAGUAAAGCAGUACAGUAAAGCGAGAAUGGGUAAUUAGUUUUACCUGCUAAGCGAAAAUCUAGACUCCUGAAGGUAACCGAUCUUGGGUGAAGCAAAUAAAGAAGAAGGCGAAGUAAAAUUCACUGAGUUGAAUGAGCGAUCAUUGCGUAUGGACUUGAUUUGUUCAAUGGGUGAAAGACCGCUGAUAUAAUUAAAGACUGGAGAAUCCUGUACGUUGACAAGCAUCAUUUUUAAUCGAACAGAGAGUCUUAAAAACCUUGUCAGUGGCAAAUGAUCACGACAAGAAAUCUGAAGUAGAAACAGCAUAGCUCAACAAAUCACUAAGAGAAUAAGACCAAUAACCAAGCAGAUAAAAGAAAAGCAAAAUAACCCAUCUCAAAAUCACCACAUGCACAAUUUAAGGGGUUUGUGACAUGGGUUUAAACAUGAUUUAACAAGUGCCACCUGUGAAUUGUCAGAGAUUGUAUUUUCAUACACGUGUCAAAUUUUCAAAUCCAACAAAUUGUUAUCUUUCUAAAGAGGCUAAUAUUAUUAUUAUCUAUGCAUAGCAUGCUAUAAACAAUUCAUAUUACUAGGGCCUUUGUUUUCUGUGCACAACAUAUGGACAGAGGAACAAAUCCCUGAGCUAAAAUCAUCAUAUUCCAAAAUAUUCUAUUAAAUCAACACCACAAAACGCGAACGCUAAACAGAAUUGGAGCAAUUUACCAAAGCUAUUUGUCACGCAAAGCACUAGUACCUCAGAACCCAAUUUGCAAAAAAGCACCAAAAAUGAAAAAUAACAAAUGCCCAGAUGAAAAAUCAGGAAAAAAAAAUGCUCAAAUCCAAAUUACAACCCCAUAAGUUGAGUCGUUCUCUUCGAACUGAAUUAAAAAAGAUUAAAAAAAUAAAAUAGGGAGAUUGACCUCAAACUUUGGAAACAGAAGCGACAGCGAUCUGUUUCUUGUCUGGAGUGUCCAUUUCUAUAAUCUACUUUGUCCGUUUUCAGUCGCUCUGCUACAGAGCUUCUUCCCUCUGAAGCUGAAGCUCACACACUCUGCAAAACGAAAGCAUUUCUUUUUGAUUGAGAGGCGGGAAGGCGGGAAAAUGAGAGAAAUUUGCAUUUGUUUUCUCUUGGUUUGGUCAUACCUGUGCGGGCCCCAGCUUGACAAGCGGUAUUUUUACUAUUUGUAUAAUUUGCAUGACGCGUGUCACGCAAUGACGAUAAAAUAUAUAUAUAUAUAUAUAUAUUGUUAAUUUUUCACUUAACAUUGAAAUAUCAUAUAAUUUUUCCAAUUUUAUGGUUAUUUUCUCGCCCUUAUGCCACAUUCUUUUGAUCAAAUAAUACAGUAAAACUUUUCUAUAAUCGUAAUAUUAGAGCCAAAUUAACUUUGUUUCUGUAAAGAGGCUAUAGCUUAAUAAAGGUAAAAUUAUAAAAAUUAUUAUUUUGACUCAGUUAUCUUUAGUGCAAGUGAUAUAAAGUACAAAUAUAUGAUAAUUAAUUAAUGAACUAUGUCAAAUACAAUAUGCUGACAAUUAGGGGUGGGCAAAAUCGGGUUCGGGUCGGGUUCGGGUCAACCCGAUCGGGUUUCGGGUUGUUCGGGUUAGACAAGGAGCAAUCCGAACAUAACCCGAAUUAAUGAUCCGACCCGAACCGACCCGAACUAUCUUCGGGUCGGUUCGGGUCGGGUCAUUAAUUCGGGUUAUGUUCGGGUUGGAUUUAAAAUGGGUAGGAUUGAGUUCGGGUCAAUUUGGGUCAGUUCGGGUCAAUUCGGGUCGGUUGAAAUCGGGUCAGUUCGGGUCAAUUCGGGUCAGUUCGGGUCAGUUCGGGUCAAUUCGGGUCGGUUGAAAUCAGGUCAGUUCGGGUCAAUUCGGGUCAGUACGUUUUUUUUUUUUUUUUUUUUUAAGAACCCGAUCGGGUAUUCGGAUCGGGUCGGGUUUGACCCGAACCGAUCACAACCCGAUCGGGUUUGUAAAUUUCAAACCGAUCGGGUUUCGAUCCCGACCCGAUCCGACCCGAACCCGAAAUUUAUCGGGUCUGGUUGGGUCGGGUCGGGUCGGGUCGGAUCGGGUAAAAUGCCCACCCCUACUGACAAUGAUAAAAAAGAUAGAUAAUUUCAAGAAACUAAUGCAUAUAUUUAUGUAGUGUUGGGAUUAUACAAAAUUAUCUUAAAAGUGUAAAGAGUAAAGUAAUAUUCUGAUUAAUUUAAAAAAAAUUAUUUUAUCUUAAUCUUUAAUGCAACAUAGCUUUUUUUUUUUUUUUCUUAGCAACAAAGCAUUGUUCCAAAUAAUUAUUAUUGGAUUCAAAUCAUGUCCUAGGCAUUUUUUCUUCUAGUCGUCUUAAACUUUUAAGGAUUUAUUGGCAUGUGUCAAUCAUUAAUGAAAUUAAAUAACUAAGACUUUGUUUUAAUUAACGUUUACAUAAAUAGACAUCAAAACUCACGUGUGAUUCUUAUCAAAUUUUUUCCUGCAAAUUCUUUUCCUCUCAACUAUUCAUAUUUUGACAUUAAUUUCCAGCAAAUUAUUAAAAAAAAGAAGCGUAAAAUGGAGAAAAGUGAUUGACAACAAGGUUUGCAUCUUAAUUUCAAAAUUUCCCUUUCUUUGCUAUUUUUGUGGGUUCUACAAUUGUUGUUUUCACUCUCAGACAUGGCAAGUCCUUUGACAAAUGUUUCCCCGUUAGCAGAUUUAUCAUAAUGCAUCUCUCUGCAUCCCCACCUAAGAUGGAACCUGUUCUCACAAGAACAGACUCCAAGGUUGGGAAAAUCAAUUGAUCAUCGGAGAAAACAAACAGGAUUAACAAAUCACUACAAUGGUGUGAACCCGUAUAUACAAACGUACCUGCCCCCUUUGUCUGUGAUAUAUUUUCUUAUUGGCCCACUCAAAUAAACAUCCGGAGAAUCCUUGAGCAUCUGCAAUAGGGAAGCCUCGGUCUUAGUUGCAAACAGUGCAAAUAUAGUAUGCAUACAACGAGCAAUGAUGUUAUCACAAUCAAUAAACCCAAGGGCAAACGCAACAGGAUCUUACAUUCUUUGGAUACUCAUCCAUGUACCACCCUUGGACAAAAACCAAUCAGAGAAGCUUAUCUGUAAGAAGAAAUGAAGUUUGAGGUAAAAUAAAAAUUUGUAGGAACAGGGAUUGAAAUUCAACAAACAAGAAAAUAUGUUGUUUGUUGAAAUUCAACAAACAACAAACAAGGCUCCAUCAGGAUCAAGAAGUGCCUUUACAACAGGACUCACCGCAAGAGCAAUAGCAUUUCUUGAUUUAUCAUAAGUCUGCACUUGAGCAAUAUACGAGGCAAAGUACAUCAAAAGAGAAUCCAAAAGAGGCAAGAAGCUUCAACAUGAAAAAAGGGAGUACUGCCUCGUCAUACUGCUUUGCAAUCACAGUGCAAAAGAUAACAUCAACAAAAUCAAAAUCGAGCAUAAAUCUGUAUGCACUACCUUAAGCUGAUUUGUAGACAAAAAUGCACGAAUCCCAUGUAAUGGAGCUCCAAUCGGAAACCGGAAAUCAAGUUCUGGAGUUGAAAAUCAAAAUCAUGAAUCAAAUCAGAGUUAUUAUUGAAUUAGACAAUCCAUAAACCAAUAGAAGGUGAUGUCAAACCAUCAAGCAUAACUAUUAGUUGUUUUAAGUGAUCAAGAAAUAACUAUACCACCAAUUUCCCCACCCUUAUUUACAAAUUUAUGAGUAUGAUCCUUCAUGAGUAAAUUUUCGUCCGCACCGACCUGUCGACAUCCAUGAAAAACUAUCAGAUCAUAAACACAGGUUCCAGUUAAAGAGGAUCUAUGAUUCUGAUCCAUCAUGUUAUUUGAACAACAUUUUCGGAUUUUCUUACAACCCUAAGCUAUUAUCAGUUAUCAUCGCUACAAAUGAUAUGGUCAAGAGGAAUGAUAGUUCUUGUUUCAAGAAUCUCAAAUCGUAAUUCUUUUGCAUGGCUUCUGUGCUUUUAUAAUCAUUCAAACACGCAUAUCCACAACUAAGCAAGCUUUACCUUUUUUGUCAAUCGGAACAGAUUAUUGUAGCAUCCAAAGAAAACGUGCAGGCUGAUUUCAAUAUGGUUUCCACGUUUACGGACAAAUGAAGCCACUUUACCACCAAUAAAAGACCUCAACUCAUAUAUAUCCACCUGGAAGAAAGGAAAAGUUAAAAAAAAAGGAAUAAAAAUUCUUCUAAUUUCUUUCACCAUCAACAAAAUCAGAAAAACACAUACUAAUUCAAAAUGAAAUAAAGUUUGUGAAUUGAAAUAAUGCCAACUCCUAAGAAAAAUUAUGACUGCUGAUAUUUUUUCCAAAAUGCUGAUAAAAGCUUCUGCUAUUUACUUUGAAAAAAUUGAGGUUAGAAGCCUAUUUACUUGAAAUUUUGAGUUUAGGCAAGAGGAUGAAUGGUAAAAGUGAAACAUUUUAGGGAAAAAUGUACGUCAGAGGCCAAUGAAAGCAUUCAGAAGAUUGAAAUCUAAAUGAGCAAAACCCCGUGGCCUUGAUCCAACAAAUCCACUGCUGUUGACAUGCCUGCAAGCCCAGCUCCAAUAAUAGCGACUUUCAGCUUUGGUCCUCUAUAAUGUUCCGGUUCUGGUAGAAACAAACCCUUGGGAGCUGCCAAGUAUACCAUCCAAUUAUCCACAGCGAUCAUGGAAAUAUAUAUGUGUUUAAAGGUACUAAAUUCCUAAACAUGAAAUGUAUCCAAAGAGAGACACAAAGCAGAAUUGUGAAAGCAUUUCAAUUCCCAAUAAAUUUUAAGAAUACAAAAUACUCGGUCUGUUCCUCAAUUCCUUUAAUAAAAUUUCCACUAGAGGCUACGGAAGCCACUCAAUAACACUCCAAAGCCAGAUUUUAAACGUUAUCUUUAUCUUUAACUCCAAUCCAUAAACAAUUCUGCCACAAAUUCAAUCCAAAAUUGUUCAAGUGCACCGCCAAUUCUCCGUCAAUUCCCUCAAAAAUUCAUAAUUGGCAAACACUACAAACCAAAAAGAGCUUCCAGCAAUAAACGCAUAAAAAUCCACCAAGCAACAGAAAACAAAAUACCCAGAAACCAGAAAAGCCAAAAGAUCAAUGCUUGGCAAACAAGCAAAUCAAAUAAAACAAAAAGAAGAGGAAUUUACCCUUAACGCUCAUAUCAGAAACAUUAGUGUCCAAAGAAGCCCGUACACGGAAUCUUGGACCCUUCACUUGAACCCGAGACCAUGUAACGCCAGUAACUGAAGUUGCAGGAAACAGAACUGGAGAACCCAUAUUGCAAAUCCUGAGCUGAAAUCAAAGAAAUUCAAUUGGAACUCAAUUCAGCUCAACCGAGCGGAGCUCUCUUUUGCUUCAAUAACAAAGUGUUUUUCUUUCAUAUCAACAAAGAUUUGUCAACAUCAACAAAAUUUAACUAAGAAACUAAAAUAAUGCGGUAUCUUUGAGUUUAAGAAUCUAACAAGAUGCUAAGGAAGAGAGUUUUGUCAGGGAACUGUUUCGGAGAGGUUGGCCAAGUGCUUCUUUGUUAUUUUUUUUUUUUCUUUUUUUGCCCUUUUCAUUAAUACACAACAGUAGUACUCGCGAAGAGCACAAAAUGUUGGUGACUUUGUCACUAAGGAUACGAAAGUGGAGUGACCAGAGCAACCAACUAAAUUUUCUUUGGGUGAUUAAUUAAUUUAUUAUCAAAUAAUUUUAUUUAUUUAUUUAAACGACAUCCUUAUCUUUGUACAAGGCUGAUGAAAGACGACGAUGUUGCGUUGUCACAUAUUUUUGGGCCGACCGUUUCUUGUUUCGGCUUAAAUGAGGCUUUUGUAAUUUUGUGCUGUUUUUUUACUGAGUAUUUUGUGCUAAAUUACGCCAAAGAAAAAGUGUAAUUGUUAAAAGAUCUGCUGACACUCAUAACCUCUUAAGCGGAAUUUAUAAUGUGACAGUAUUGAUAUCUAAGUUCAUAAUAUCUAUAGGAGUGAUAAAACGAAUAAAUGAAUCGAACCGUAAAUGAAUUUAGUCAAAAUUUAAUGGAUUCGAAUUCGAUGUAUUAUCAAGCGAAUCAUAAUUUAAUAUUCAAAUUCAAUUCAUUUAUUAAAUGGAUAUCCAUUUAAUUCGUUUAUUGUAAAAAAUUUAAACAAAUUGAAUUAAAUUUGGAUUCGUUUACAAUUUGUUUAAUUUAUUUAUGCAAAAUUAAUAAUAAAUCAAUCAAAUGUGGAUUUGUUUAAAUAAUAAUAAUAAUAAUUAAUAACAAAAAUAAAGUAAAAUAAAAUAUAAAAAAUCAUAAAAUUAACAACCUACAAAAUACAAACGAAUUAGUGACCCCAAACUCGGAUUCGAUUCAUUUAUUAAUGAAUUGAAUUGAAUUCACCUAUUUGUUAAUGAAUUAUUUUUUUUUAAAUUCAGACCUAUUUAAUUUGAAUCUAAUAAACAAAUCCUAACCUAAAUUGCCACCUCUAAAUAUGAUGGACCUACUUAAAAUAUAUGAAUACCAAAAUGUGUGGGCUAAAAAGUGGUUUACCAUGCAGCAAUAUGAAUUUUAAGCUCUCUUUUCUUAUGUCACCCAAGGCAUUGGCUGGAUGGCCAAACAGCAGAGUUCAAGUCUACAAUAGAGAAUCGAAAUUUUCCUUUGUAAAUGUUCAUAAGUAUUUGCCAUAGAUUUUUAAGUUAUUCUUGAUAGAUCCCCUACCACAUACGCUAUAAUAUUUCUCUGCUUUUAAUUUAAAAAGUAAAUCAUGCAUAAUAACGGACUUGUAAGGAAAUGAAAUUUCUGGUAAUUAACUAACAAAAUAAAAAAAAGAUGGAUUAUGCCAAAGAAGUUAAUAUAGAGUAAGUCGAGUACUUGACAAUCAAAGUAAUUUUACUCGAGGUUGAUUAAGGAUAGUAUGAUACUUUCUCAAGUUUUAUGAGGACAUUCAUGUAACAUUGGACUAUUGACUAUAGUUAGAGAGAAGUCCAAGGAUGUAAGUGAUGAUGAUAGAUUCACAAUUCUUUUGAAGAAAAUAUUUUAUAUAAACUUAAUUAUAUGGUAUAAAAUGAUUGGCCUUAAUAAAAUUAAAAAAUAAUACACGCCUGGGUCAUGCAAUAUUUUCAACCAACUAAUUUACACGCAAAAUUAAACCUCAUGAGUGAGAACAUUAUGGUACAUUUAUUUGCUAGCAAAAUUAAACCUUAUGAGUGAGAACAUUAUCACGGCACAAAAUGCCUGUGAUAAUGAAACAAUGUGCCAUUCUUAAACUAAUAUUAUUAGAAACUAUAAGUGAAAGUUUUCAGAAAACAUGUGAUAAGUUUUUCUCGGAAUUUAUUUUCUCCUUUGUUUUGAUUUACGCGAGAGAUAAUUGUAAAGAUUGUUUUGAUAAGUUUUCAGAAAACAUGUGACGAAUCGUAGUAAAAAAAAUAUAUAUAAUAAUUGAAUGAGAUCCACGGUUCACAAUUGCAAAUUAAAGGUUGGUUUUAUAAUAAAAUCGUUUUGUGCAUACCAAAUUAGAAAAGAUUAUAAGUAAAUUAAGAUUUUCAAAAUUUGACUAGUAUUAUAUUACGUACAUCAAUAUAAUAUAAAUUUCUUAUAUAUAUAUUUUACUCUGUAACCAAUGCUUUCAAAAACUUUGUACUUGUAUGUUUGAACAACUUUUUUCGCUUUCUAUUUAUAUACGAUCUCAUUUAUGUUUACAUAAAUUUUCAUAUGUACCCAAAUUAAGCACUAAAUAAACACACUUUGGUAAGACACAUUAAUUUCUAGUAUCAGACAAUGAUAUUAUAUUGAAUGUAAUGCUUCCAUGAAUUUUAUUACUAUAUACUAAAAUACUCAACGAUCUCCAUUAAAAAAAAAUAUGCAUGAUUAGAAUUAUUAAAGAUCAUUUGAUGAGGAGUUUCAUCAUUAACUGUGUCGAAACACAGCAGCAAUCCACAAUACACUUAACACGAGAGGGGCACACAAGCAUGCAUGAAUCUUCCACCAUUAAACCUGAAAUCGCAAAUAAAAGAAACAAGAUGAGUGUUGUUUUACGGUCUGAAAGCCGAUUCCAAAUAAUAAUAAUAAUAAUAGUAAUAGUAAUAGACCUUUGUUAAUAAUUACUACUAGUUGUCUCUGCCUUUUACAUCUUCCUCCUCUGUAUCAUCGCCCUCUUCCAAUCACACGGCUAGACCAGUAUGUCUCGAGAAUCUCUACUGCCUUCUCAGAGAUCCCGUUGUCGUCAUGACUUCGUAGAUUUUCAAUCUUUUCUAAUCCCUCAGCCUCCUCAACCAACUGGGCAUAUUGAUUAAAAUCUCCAACGGCGGUACCCGUAUUCAUUUCAGCUACCCCGACCUUCAAAAUGUCCUCUAAUCCUUCUAAGCAAACAGUGACGAUCUUUGGAUCAGCGCAUAGAAGCAGAUCACACAAUGGUUUUACACACCCCUCUCUCACAAGGUGCUUGAUUUGCUCAUGAGUGCCAAACUUGGUGGCAUUUGAAAUUGCCCAAGCGGCCUCCUUCUUUGCAUCAAAUUCAGCAUUUUGAAGUAGAUUGACAAUGGGACCAAUUAAGCCGGAAUCAAUUACCGCCUGAAUCUGCUCCCCGUUUCCAGCUGUAAUAUUUGAAAUAGUCCGGCAUGCAUCCUUCUUAAGGCUCUCUUCAUGAUCAUGGAUCAACAGGCCCAAAAAGUAUGGCAGUGGAUCACAGUUAAUUAUAUACUGAGUCUGGAAAUCAUCUCCCAUCACAAUAUUUCCAACAGUCCGCAGGGCAGGGGCAAGCACUGAGGAUGAUGGAUGGCCAAGGAGCUCAACAAGUCGUGGACAGACACCUGCCUCGAUCACAGCUUGAAUUUUGUCAUUCGUACCAUCAGAAAGAUAGGAGAGUGUCCAACAGGCGUCACUCAACACCUCUUCAUCAUCUAAAUGAAUAAGCUGUGCAAGUGCCGGAAGAGCUGCCCUUACCUGAUCAAAUGGUGGUCCUGGCUUGCCCUUGCAUAAAUUAUACAAUGUCCUUGCGGCAAUUCUCAGCAUUGAAAGCUUGGCAUGCUCAUUUAACUCUGCCAGCAAUGGAAUCAAAGCUCCUUCACUAAGCACAAGAUCACGGCAUCCAGAUGAGUCACCAGCAACAUUUCCCAAUGCCCAAACAGCCUGCUCGCGGACAUCAUCACUUGGGGAAGCAAGCAGCUUCACAAAUAUUGGAACGGCACCGUGGUCAAUCACCACCUUAAUGUUCUCUGAAGUUCCAGAAGCAAUGUUUGAAAGAGCCCAAGCAGCCUCAUACUGAAGUUGCGGAUAGUCUUCCCUCAUAAGAAACUCAACAAAGCGCUGGACAACGCCAGAUUGUAUGACUUUAUCAAUUUGUGGACUCCUCGCAAUCGAAAGCAGUUUGCUGAACUGAGUAGUUGCUUCCAGCUGUAGGCCGCUGUCAUCUGACCAAACCCCAGCAACCAUCCCGGGUAAACUCGCCUACUUAUUUAUUUUAGGAGCAGGAGCAAGAGGAGGAAAUUAAGUUAGGGAUUUGGAGUGAGAGUGAAAGUGGAGAAAAAGCAAGAGAGGGAAAAAGCUGAUUGUUGAGAAAUAUAUACCUUUCGUAUGGUUGUGUUAAGGUCGUCCUUCCAAGCCCAACAUGCUUUACCCCGCCCCUGCACUUUGUGUAAUUUGGGCGUACUUAAUUUUCCUUCAGAGAAAAUCUUCAUAUCGGGGCAAUCAUCCACCACUAAUCUUUCCAAAGAUGGGAACUUGAAAGCACAAUUGCCAGAGCAGAAGCUUGUUAGUCCUUGUAAGCCUAAAAGCUUCAACUUCUUCAAUUCUCUGAAAGUAAUAACCUCAUCUUUUGCUACAACAUCAUCCACCAGUACUAUUUCUGUUAUCCUAUCGCAUGAUUGUAUCUCCAUAUAUCUAAGUCGCACCAGAGUCUUUGCAAUUGAGGAUGUUAAUACGAUUUUCAAUCGUUUACAACACGAUACCACCAGAUUUGUAAGAUUCUGAAAGGAUGUCGACGGUGGCACUAGAUCGACCAAAUGGUCACACCACUUUACAUGUAGAAUAACCAAGUUGUUCGUAACAGAGGACUCCUGUAUCAAAAUGUGCUCCAGAUGAUAACAAUCAUUUGCUUCUCUCACAUUAACCCCCAUCCCAUUUUCAACCUUCUCUUUCGGCAACCAAGUAUAAGAUCCUCCUCCUAUUUGCAGGACUUUCAUUGUGUGAAGUCUCUGGAGGAAGUCACCAAGUGAUAAAAUAGUCCGCUCAUCAACCAACUCCACGUAAAGAUAUUUUAGUUUGCAAAGCAAGUCUUCAGAAAAUAGAUAUUUAUUUGUUCCUAUGUACUUUGCAUCAACUUUCAACUCUUCCAACAUAGGGAAUACCUGGGAGAUCGAUCAGAACCCAAAAAAGAAAAAAAAUAAAUACAAGAUGAAUCAGUUGAUGAGAAUUAUAAGUUACCACUAAUUUAUAAAAUAUAUUUUAUUCAAUAAAUCUUAACCUUUAAAAAAAUUAGUAAUAAUAGUACGCCUAACAUCUAGAAUAAUUAUGAAUGAAUACUAUACACUAAUCUGUAAGAGAGUUACGUUGCUGACAAUUUGAGUUUUAGUAAGAAACCAAGCGAUGAAGGCAAAGGCAAUAUAACUCUAAACUCUAUGAUAUAAACUCUCACAGUACAUACAUAAGAAUUGAAAAAUUGAUUAUAAAAUUCUUGUACGUACCCUUUCCGUGAAGAUACUAGUAGUUCUUUUGUAUCUCAUCAUGAAUUCAGGACAAUGGAAUAUCCUUAAUUCUUUCAAGGAUGGAAAUUCAAGAAUAUCAAGAUCUCCAGUGCAGAAGCUUGUGAACUUUUUAAGAUCAUACAUCUUCAGAUAUUGCAACUGGGGAAACGUUACAAUAUUAUUCUUCAUUUCUUCUUGGUUGUCCACGACUAUUAACUCUUCCAGGACAGGACAUACACUUAUAUCAAUGCGUUGGAGUCGAACAAAGCUACUAACGGUAGAAGAUGAAAAUAGACAUCUUAAAUUCAUACAGCCGAACAGGGUCAAGUGCGUUAAAUUCUGAAUACCACAAGACUUGACUGUAACUUGGUUCAGCCAAAUCCUCUCAACAUUUAUUGAACCCAACGUCAACUUCUCUAACUCUGGUAAUCGAACCUGCUCGAUCAAAAAAUCAACUCGUUAAUUACAAGCAACAAUGAUUUCUGUUGAUGGACAAAUCAAUAAAAUUACUCUUUCUCUGUUUAUAGUUCUUUUCAGUUUUUCAUACAAACAACCGUUAAUCAAGUUUUCCAAAUUAUUCCUUACUAAAUGUAUAGAUUUAGAGGGCGGCUAAUAUAAUUCAUAUUGCAAAUAUUCUUUGAUUGUAACGAAUUUUGUAAUAUUAAAUUUUGUUUGAUUCGCAAUAGGACCUACCAUCCAGCGCGAGCAGUUCUCGGGGAUUUAACUACUGGCACCUCGAUUAUAUAAAAAUUUGGAAUAUUUUCAAAGGAAAUCAAAUAAUUCCCCCUUGCCAAUAGUAAUUAUCAUUAAUUGCCGCGGGUUCACAUAUAAUUCUAAGAAAUUAGGCGAGAAGAGUCUCAUCAACAAUCAAUCAGCAGAUAUCACGUUCGGCAGAUCAUCAUGAUUUCCUCAGAUGCUAGAGAAUCAACGUGAUUUCCGCUCAUGCAGGAGUGGACACAUUAUCUUAGAGCAUCCCUUACUGAGAUCUUUUAAAAAAUUUAUAUUAUAAAGUGAACAACAUAUUUAGUAUAGAUUUAGACGGCGGCUAGUAUAAUUUAUCUGUAUUCUAAUGACGUAUAUUAAAGAAAAUGACUAACCAUAAUUUCAAUCAACUUAUUAGUCUAUAUAUAUAUAUAUAUAUAUAAAAUAUUCAGUGAUUACAACAUAUUUAGUAUUCCAUAACAUGAUGUUUAUAAUAAUAAUUAUUAUUAAUUCACUUAUUGUGUCAAGAACCUUUUCUUUCUCUAAGAAUGAAUUUGUUACACCCUACUAUACUACGGAUGAAAAAUUUAGAAUCAUUGUGAAAUGUGAUUAUUAAUCACUCUUUGCCAUAUUUGCUACCAAACAAGAAUGCAACAAAGAAAAAAAAAACAAAAAUUAUAGAGCAUUAAUAAGACCAUUGACUUAUCAAUAACUGACCUUCUCAGCGAAAAGUGUAUUAGAAAUUUGGACAUUGUCCUCCAAAAUGAUUUCAUGUGACCGCAAAUUAUUUGUUGAUUCCUCCUGUCUCUGCUAACAUUGCAGGUGUAUUGAUUUUAGAGUGUAAGCUUAAUUGUGAGCACAACCUUAAUGCAUAGAUACAAGAUCUUUAAAAAUUAGUACAAUAAACUUAGCACUAAAUCUAAAUUUGAUAUUUUGGAUUCCAUGAUUAAGAUUUUUUUUAAAUGAAAAUUUAAUAGGGUUAAUUUAAAAAUAAAAAUUAAAUAUGAAAAAUUAGACUUGCAAUUAUGGAUUUAAUUUUGAUAAAUAAUGAAUGUUCUCUUAAUAUUUUUUUUAAAAGGUAAAAGUGCGUGCAAAGCCCAAAUUCAUUUUUUUAGUCCCUUACUCUCCCAUGAUUCAAACUUGGGUGGUUGUGGGAGGACUGAAAAUAUAUAAGACCGUUAACUUCACUUUUUUUUUCUUUUUUUUUUUUUUUGUUGAGAGAAAAGAGAAGAAGGAUAUUACAAAGCAUGAAGCUCGUGCAAUAUAAGGACAAUUAUGGUUUUUUCUUUAAAUUAAAAUGGUAAGAUUUUGAAGCUAAAAGAUUAAAAUAUUAAUUAAAUUGCAACCAUUAAAGAUUUUUUUUUUCAAAUGGUUGCUUUGAAAAUGAGAAUAAUAUAAUAUUUGAAGACUUUUCAAAAUUAAUUACUGUGAUAGAUGCACUAGAAAUUUCUAGCUUUAGUCUAAUGUAUAAAUUGACAAAACGAUAUUAGAAUUCCAGGUGAAAAGAACCCUCUCAUACCAUUUUCUUAAAUUAGGAAUGAUCAUACCUCUGACUCUGCCGGACUGAGGGUGAGGUCUGAACCCCACAUCUCGAGACGCUUGAGAUGGGAAGAGCCCACAUUACGAAAAUAAUCGACAUCUUGCUCUUGCAAUCCACGUAAUUCAAGGUCUUCAAUUCUCUGCAGUUGCACGAUCAGCGAAUCCUUCAAGCAAAUGUUGUUAUUUAGCUGGAGACUGAAUUCACGAUACCAAAUGCCGGUGCUCUCCCAAUAGCCAACAUCUCCAAUGCGUAUGAUGUACCUUUCCAGCUUCUCCAAGAGCAGGCCUCUGGGCAGAGUGCUGACGUCAUAGACGUGUAAUUCCAAAGAGGUCAAGUUGGGCAAAUGCUUCAACUCCUCAAGGCUUGCAUUCUUAACCCCUUCUUCCACCUCCACCUCCCAUUUAUCAAAGCUUUCACCUAUAUAUAGUUCUUCUAAACGGGAUAAUUUUGACAGUAUAUUUGGUGGAAUAACUUCUAGUUCCUCACAAUCUCUCAAAUCAAGCAAAUUUAGCCAAGUCAAUUCACCUACUUCUGUUGGCAUCUGCUUAAUAUCGGAGCCUCUUAAGCAAAGGAUUUCUAGAUUCUUCUUCAAGUCUACUACAAAACUUAUAUCAGGCAAGCUGCAGCGACACAAACUCAGUGUUCGAAGGUUUGACAGGAGACCAAGUGAUGAAGGCAGUACCAUGUCAGUCAAGUUUACAACUCUGACCUCGAUCAUGCUCUUGAAAAAGUUGUCUGGAAUUGUUACUCGUGAAGAUUCCCAAGGAUCAUUACUUAGAAAAAGAAGUUCGAGUUGAGGACAUUCCAGUACUUCAGGAAGCAAAUUAGGCUUGAUAUCAUGUAAGACGAUUGAAGUGCAAUGCUUUAUUGCACUUCCGUCUGACCAUUCCCUGCAACCAUCAACCUGCUCAUUUGUAGCAGUAAACACAUUUCGUUCAGUAGAUGCAAUUGAUACGGCGACAUCGCGAACUACAUCAUGCAUAGAAAACAACUCUUUCUCCUGGCUUAUAUGGUCAAGCAACAUACAAGAAGCUUUGAGUGUGCGCACCAAUGUAUGUACUCGAUUUCGUGCUACUUCAAUCUUAUUCACACCUUGAAAUAAACCCAAUCCCAUACCACACAUUAACAAGUCAUCAAUAGAUGAUAUGGCUGUAUAUCCUAUUAGCAAAAAGAUGUUCUUGAGAUCAUCCCUUCCUAGUUUAUUGUAGCUCAACUCGAUAGCUUUAAAUGCGGCUGGCUGUACAUCCUUAAAAUUCGAUGAAGAAGGCCUUCUUAGCUGUUCCAAUGCAUCCUUCCAUUCACGUAUGCUGUUGCUCCUUAAUGCCCUUGCAACCGUCACAAUGGAAACUGGUAGACCUGCACAUUCCUCUGCCACAUUCCUUGCCACCUCUUCCAAUUCACUACCUUCAACAUAAUCACCUGCCAUCUUCUUGAAUAGACUCCAAGCUUCUUCUUCGUUUAAAACACCAACUGGGAAAUUUGUUCGACAAUCCAUCUUCUCAGACAAUACAUUUAGACUUCUGGCCGUCAACAAUACUUUACAACCAUCUCCAAGAGGAAUUCGGACAUUCCCCAAAUUAAGAUUCUCCCAAAUGUUGUCUAAAACUAUCAGGAUCUUCUUCACUUUUUUUAUACCUUCACAUAACCUGCCUGCCCUUCCUUCAUCACUUUCCUCAUGCAACUUCAGGCCUAAUUUAUCUGCAAUUACUCCUUGAAUCUUUCGUAUGUCUUGAUUCUGAGACACCUCAACAAAAACCACCUGAUCAAAGAGUUUGUCACUCUUGACUUUCCUAGCAACUUCUUCGGCCAGCGUCGUCUUUCCGAUUCCGCCCAUUCCAUAGAUCCCAAGCAUGUUGACAUCGCGAUCUUCUAGUGCACUGAGUAUACUCAUCAAAGUGGACAUUCUUGAUUCAAAGGGCUCGUAGUCUUUGCUAGGGAUAAGCCGAAUAUCCUCUGGAGCAGUACGGUAGGAAAUUCUAUCAAAUCUUCGAUCUUCUCGGACUUUGACAACAGCCUCCUUCUUCCUCUCUGCUUCCUUGCUAAGUCGACGGCGGGUCUUCAAAUUAGGACACAACCCCUUGAAACAACGUUUAGUUGCAGCGGCUUCAUCUUCUGUAAAUUUAUCUGCCUCUUCAAUGACUUUGUUGGCCCCUUCAAGCCAACUCCUAACGUUCUCUUCAAUUUCUUCCCCGUUUCGUUCAGCCUCAUCAACCUGGUGCUCUGUACGCACCCUCUCAGACUUUAGUUUCUCAACUUCAGUCUUGAGAUUCUGUAAGUUGCUCGUGUACUUACUCUCACGCAAAUAGCUAAUUUGGCGAUAUGCGGGAGGAGCCAAGCACUUCACAACUUCUACAACAAUAGUAAGAAUGAAAUCAGCCAUCUUCAGUCCUUUGUCCCUGUCUCUCGAUCUCUCUUUUUCUGAAUUUUUGAAAAACAAUUGACUAUUUAGGAAGCACACUGAGUGAUUGAACACAAGUGACUACAACAAGAUGGAACAAAAUAAAAAGGAAAAAAAUACAAAGAGUGGAUGGAGAAUAAAACAGAGACAGCGGCACAGCUGGACACAACUAGAUAGAGAACAGAGGAAAACCAAAUAACAAGACUGAAGAUUACAACAAACAGAGGCCAAGUAUUGUUGAGAUCAGAAGAUGGAAAAUUCAAAAGAGUUGAUGGCAGAUGCUGAAUAACAGAACAACAAUGAACGCAAUAAACAGAAGCAAAGUGUGUUUGCGAUCGACAGACGGAAGUAAGGAAAGCGGUUGUUGAUUGAAAAUGAAUGAAUGCAAAGAAAGACUGAUGUUGAAAAUUGAUGUCAAUAGCGAAGGAAUAAUUGAACUUUCGCUGAAUUAUUGUUUGUGGCCUUCUUUUACUUUUUAUUUGUGGGUCAUGUCUUUUGGAACUAAUCAUCUUAGCUUAUGCCUUACAGCUUUAAGGCCAGUAACCGGUGUCCGUUGGAUAAGCAUAUAGAAAUCCAACGGUGGAUAUAUAUCCUUGCAGAACAAAAUUCAACAGCAACACCCCAACUUUAAAUAUGAUUAUCUGUUGGGGAGUGCUGGGCUGCAGUUUCUUAAGGAGAUUUAUAUAUCCUCCUCAAAAAUAAAUGUUUUAAGAUAGAUAUUUAGACUAUUUCAUCAUAAAAUAAAUGUAAUUAAUUUUUUUUAUAAAUAUUUAUUUAUUUUUUUAAUUACUAAUGACCUUUGAAUAUACAUAUCACUAAUUCAAAAAAUAAAUUGUGAUUAUUUGUUAAUGUAUGCGAUUACUUGUGAUGGUAAACUUUUGAAGUUAAAUUAAAAAAAAAAAACAGAGCUUUUACCAUUACUUGCUUUAUCAUCUUUUAAAUUAGAAUUAUUAUUCUUUUAUUUUUUUCAAGUUGCCAACUCAUCCGCAUUCUUUUUUAUUGAAUUUGAAGAUCAAUGAUUAUAAAUUUGUGUAAAAAUUUUAAGCCAAAAUUUUAAAUUAAAAUAAUCAUUAACUUAUUGGAAAAUAAUAACUUGGUAUAACAAAUAUUAUAUCCUAUACUUUAUUGCUACAAGAUUACAAAACCUUAUAUUAUAUUAUGUUUCCAUAUUUCUCCUUUAUAGUAAAGACUCAUACUUCUUCUCUAGUAGAUGUUAAAGUAUUGGCUUAAACUUUUUAACCAGCACAGUAGACUAUUAAGCUAUAUAUGCUAUAAUGUCCCUCUUUCCUCACAGAUUAAACCAAUCUAAUCUCAGAGUGAGUUGAUACCAUGAGUUUGCAUUUGUCAUCAAAGGAGCAUCAUUAUUAAUUAAUAUAGGUUCGAUCAAUAGGUAUGAUAAUAAAUUUUUUUAUCUACAAAUACUAUUUUUCAAAAUAUUAUAUCUUUAGACUUAACUAAAUAUCUUCUAACCAUAUAUGUACAGUUUGUUUGAUCUCUUUUAAAUAUUGGAGAUUACAACAGAACAGAUGCGAAUUAGCAGUGACGCUGAGUUUAGAAGAUUGAAAUUAAGAAAAUUAAGGAAAGGAUAAGGAUGUAUUUUCAAAGUGAAUUAUUGAGAGAUCUUUGAAGAUUACUUCCGUCAAGAGCUGGGUCCCAUACUCUUUCGCCUUUGUCCUCCAGUCAACCAUAAGACAAAUUAUUAUUGAGUGUAAACGGACUUAUUAACCACCAAAUUUUCAAACUUGUGAUCCUUAUUGAAUCUGCAUUCCCCUUUACAAAAGUAAAAAAAAAAAAGUGCAAAUAACGAAAAAAAAUUUUGUUCCUUGACUGCAAGUGCUGUCGACAUUUUCAGACUUGUAAGACCCUUCUACUUGCAAGAUGCCACUGAAUUUGUCUUUUUUUUUUUUUAAAUUACACUAUACUAUUUUAUAUUUUAUAAAAAAAUUUAAUAGAUAUUAUAAGUUACAAAUUUUUAUAUUUAAUAUUCUCAAAAUAAAUUAUUAAAUAAAUGAUUCAUUUACUAUUUUUUCCUUUAAAUUUUUGUUAUUAAAAAGAUUUUUGGAUAUUGAACGUGAAGGGCUCAACUGAUCGCUAAUUUUGCAGCAAUUGCCCUUUUCUUUCUCCCCCAAUUGUUUUGAAAAAUAUCCAGACUCAUUCAGCGAAGUAUCCGAGGCCAAAGGGCUAAAAGAUGGGACACCCGCAUGUGCUUCUAAUUACAAAAUCUAAAGUUAGGGGGACCAUAACUUACAUUUAAUAUAAUUUAUGAUAGGGGUCCGCCUAUGUUACCACUGUACAAUAAGUUUGGUCUUUUCUGACUCAGUUGUGAUGAGCCCCUUGUACUCGAUAUUAUUUACUAUUUAUUUAUAAGUAUUAUAAAAAUUUUUGCUUACUUAUUAUAUAAAAAUUUAAUUGGUUCCCUUACACUCUUAUUCAUUUACUAUUUUUUUGUAGUAUCAAAAGAAUUUAUAUUUACAACCACGAUACAUUAAUUAUCAUAACACUCUAAUAUUAAUAAAAAGACAAAGACAUCCUUAAAUUAAAACAAAAAAAAUACUUUCUUCUUUUGAGGAAUUACGGUAUCUCAUUUUCCACCACUCAUUAUCAACAAAAUUUUUAAGGAUAUAACCAUUCAUCUUCUUUAUAAUAUCAUCUCGCAAUAAUUAAUACUUUCAUGAAAAAAUAAUUAACAAAAUAAAAAAAUAAAUUCCCAUUGAAUACAUCCCUCUCCACUAUUAAUUUCUCUUCAUCAAUAACCUUUAUCGACAAUUAAAACCACCAUUAGACUCAUCAUAAAGAGAGAGUAAGAGAAAGAAAGAAGAAACGAGAAAAAAUAUAUGAACCUUUUAUAAUUUUAUAGUGCGUUCACUAAACGAGAAUCGAAAUGAGGUGAAAUCAAAACGAGAAAUUAAGGGCCCGUUUGGUAUUGUUUUUGAAUCUGUAUUUUCUGAGAAUAAAAAUGAAAAUGAAAAUGGUGUUUUGCAGUUGCUGUAUUUUGAAUUUAAGUAUGCGUCUGGUAUUAUUUUCUGUAUCCUGUAUUUUAAAACUGAAAACAGUAACAUGCGUUCGGUAGACACAGUCGAAAAUGAUAAAAACAGAGAAUAUGCGUUCGGUAAUACUUUUUUCAAAAACAGUUUUUACUAUUAACCAUUUACAUCAUAUUUAUAGUUAUAAAAUAAUUAUUUAGCUAAUACAUACACAAAUACAACAUAAUAAUUUAAAACAAAAUUAUUAUAAAAAAUUUACAUGAUGAUAAAGUUUUAGAAUUAACAUUAAUUAAAAAAAAUUACAUUGUCAUUGUUUUUACAUCAUAAUUAAGAUAUAUAUUACAACACAUGAUUUAAACAAAAUAAUUAUAAAAAAAAUACAUGAUAGACAUUAUACAUUACGUAUGUAAUUAUGCCACAUAGAAGUUGCAAUUCUAUCUCUUGUAGCACUCAUCUCGGCGACACUUGCUGGAGAUAAAUCAAUAUUAGUAAGUGGCCUACUAGUGUCUCCUUCUUCGAUGGUAACCAAAUCUUGUACAUCAAAGUCCCCAAAUAACCUAUCACUUGCAUUUUCUCGUCGAAUAAAGUUAUGUAAAGCGCAACAUGCAAUUGGAAUUAGACGUUGCUUACGUAAACUAUAAUUAUGCAUAUCCCUUAAAAUUGAAAAUCGCGCUUUUAAAACACCAAAGCAUCGCUCAAUUACAUUACGCAAUGAUGAAUGUCUGUAAUUAAACAAUUCUUGGGGACCUCUAGGUGCUCGACCUGAUCCUCUAUAAUCACGUAAAUGAUAUCUCUCACCUCUAUAUGGUGUCAAAAAUCCUUUCAUAUUUAUGUAUCCAGAAUCCACAACGUAGUAAUAUCCUAAAAUAUAGAAACAAUAAAACAUAACUUAAUUAAAAAAUAAAGGCCAAAGAUAUUAACACACACACACACACACACACAAACAUAUAUAUAUAUAUCUCAAUAUUCUUACCUUCUUCCGGACGUGGAAACCCAGAUUCUGGUCUAUUUAAGGCAUCCAUAAACACCCUUGAGUCAUUGGCGGUACCUUCCCAACCCGUAUAUACAAAUGUGAACAUCAUGUCAAAAGAACAUGCACACAUGAUAUUUUGAGUCACCUGAGUCUUUCUAUCUCGAUAUGAUAUCUGUUUAUGUGCAGGUGACCAUGCAGCAAUGUGGGUUCCAUCAAUUGCACCGAUACACUUCUGUGAAAAUAUGUCAAAAUUAUUAAUUUAUUAACCAAAUGUUAAUGUCACAUAAACUUUGAAGUAACAUGUAUUGAAUUUCUUACCUCAAAAUAUGGAAAAAAAUUUGGAUUGUUACUAAUCUCUGAUGGCGUUUCCCCUUGAGGUUUUGGUUUUAUAAUGUGAUUUGCCAAUUGACAAAGUGCUUUUAAAACACGCUUAAAGUGUGAAAAAACAGUAUCCCCUGAACGUUGAAAACGCUCAGAUACAACCCUCACAACAGCACCAUGGGACAAUACAUACAAGCACAUUGCUACAGCCUCCUUGAUACAAACAUGUCUAUCAUUCUCUAAUAACUGUAGAUGUUCAAGUGUAUAACAUAAUCAAAUAAGUGUAUAAAUAAAACCAAAAAAUAUUAUUUUAAUUUAAUACGAAACUAUUUAAUAUACUACAAAUAUAGUUUUACCUUAAUAUAUUCAGCCCAAACAGCUUCCGAUGCUGUGACCGUAUUUGAAACAUGAUCCCAACCAAACCCGGUAUGAGCUACUAAGUCAGAAAACUCUCGAUGUUUUUUGCGCAACCUAUUAAACUUGGACUUAAGUUGCCCUACAUUGAAUCUUUUUUGGCAUUGUUCUAACAUCUCAUCACUUAUAGUGUUCCAAAUUUUCUUAGUGAAAGUUGAUGUUUGUAAAUCACCCUUUUUAACAUGGUCAUGUACAAUACGAAUAAAAACGGUUUCGGUCCGGCUAGACCAAUCAGCCUUAUCCUCAACAUCAACAUCAUGUGAAUCCAUAUCUUGAAAAAUUAGAAAAAAUAACACAUAUCAAAUAAUGAUCAAAUUCAACAUAACAUAUACAUAUUUCAGCAACAUGUCAUACAUUAAAAACUGAAUGGUACCAAAAAAAAAUAAAAAAUAAAACAUAUAUCAAAUAUUAAUCAAAUUAAAAACACUGCUAUUAAAUUUUUAGAUAUAAACAUACAAUUUUCAGUACAUGCUAUUAAUCCCCCACUAAAUUUCAGUAAUGUAAUCAACAUAAAGGUUGCAUUGCUAUGACUUUUUGCAUUAAUAUUGAUAACUAAAAGCCUUAACUUGCUUUUUGAACUUGGUUAUUUGUUACUCAAUGCAGACAGCUUACAACUUGAAGAUUUGGGAAUCAUUUACCACGGAAAUACCCACCCAGGUAUUUGGUAUGCUAGUGUAGUGUUUUUGGGAACAAUUUAGUCAUCAAGAUGUCUGGUUAUGGUGUAGCUAAUACCAAAAUUUGUAGAAGUAUCUAAAUAAAAAUAAAAUGUGCUCUUUAUUUUGCUAAUAUUUUUUGUUCUAGUAAUUUCAUAGAAUUUAUAUUGGUACAGAGAUAGCUAUGUCUCAAGCCUAUAGUAAUUGCAAUUUUCUAAAUGGCUCAGCGUCUUUCCUUGGUCUGAGGAACAAACAUGGGGAUGAAACAAAAAUCUGGCAUCAGAAUCCAUAUGCUGGCUAUUUUUAACAUUGCUUUUUUGGGUUUCAGCUAUCAUAGUCUAGAGUACUUUUGCACGGUUAAUUAAGUUAAUAACAGUGGAAAGUUUUCCAAUCAGCAUAAAGGAAUUCCCACAAGAAAUUGUUUGUUUUAAUAGAUUUAAUCUCUAAAAUAAAUGAGGAAAAAUUUCAGCUCAUAAAUAAACAAUUUGUCACUACAUAUGAACAACCUCAGAAAUUUCCAGAAUUAAAAAUCACUCAAAUCAUCUCUAAAAAUUUUCAGUUCAUAAACAAAAUAAAUACCAGCAAGUGACAGAUCCGGGAGAGCAACAAUGGUUGGGCAAGUGCAGAUCCGAGAGAGCAAGUGCACCGAGAGAGCAAGUGCAGAUCCGAGAGAGCAAAGACGAAGUAGCAGCAGCUGGACGGAGUCGGAGUAGCAGCAGCUGGACGGAGUCGGAGCAGCAGCGGUUACAGCGGAGAAAGAGCAGCGGCAGUGGCUAGCACACCAAGAGCGACCAAGAGAGAGAUUUGCUGCAACUGGAUUGAGAAAAUUGAGGGGAAAGAGGGUGCUGCAGUGAACUGGAUUGAGAGUGAGGGUUGCAGUGAAGAGAAAAGUGAGGGCUGCAGGGUCACGAUUUUUUUGUUGUUUUUUAAUUCAUUUUUAGGUUUAGUUUGUAAAAUUUGGAAAACAUGUUUAACUUGUUUUCAGUUGUAUAGUUAUAAUAAUGAAUCCGGAUUUUAUGUUUUGUAAUUUAUUUUGUGAAACAAAUCUACCGAACAUGUUUUAUGUGUGUAUUAUAAAAAUGAAAACGAAAACAUGGCUUGCAAAACGGUACCGAACGGGCCCUAAGUUAUCUGACAUCAGAUGACCGCUGUCAUCUGACCAAACCCCAGCAACCAUGGGAAAAAUCACCUACUUGUUUUAGGAGCAGGAGCAGGAGCAGGAGGAGGAAAUUAAGUUAGGGAUUUGGAGUGAUAGGGAAAAAGCUGAUUGUUGAGAAAUAUAUAUACCUUUUGUAUGGUUGUGUUAAGGUCGCCCUUCCAAGCCCAACUUGCUUCACUCCGCCGCUGCACUUCGUGUAAUUUGGGUGUACUUAAAUUUCCUUCAGAGAAAAUCUUCAUAUCGGGGCAAUCAUCCACCACUAAUCUUUCCAAAGAUGGGAACUUGAAAGCACAAUUGCCAGAGCAGAAGCUUGUCAAACUUUUUAAGUCUAAAAGCUUCAACUCCUUCAAUUCUCUGAAAGUAAUAACCUCAUCUUUUGCCACAACAUCAUCCACCAGUACUAUUUCUGUUAUCAUAACGCAUGAUUUUAUCUUCAUAUAUCUAAGUCGCACCAGAGACUUUGCAAUUGAGGAUGUUAAUACGAUUUUCAAUCUUUCGCAACUGAAUACCACCAGAUUUGUAAGAUUCUGAAAGGAUGUCGACGAUGGCACUAGAUUGACCAAACGGUCACACCCCUUUACACGUAGAAUAACCAAGUUGUUCGUAACAGAGGACUCCCUUAUCAAAAUGUUCUCCAGAUGAUAACAAUUAUUUGCUUCACUUAUUUCUACUGCCAUACCAUUUUCAACCUUCUCUUUCGGCGACCGGCCACCAUAUCCUUGUAUUUGGAGGACUUUCAUUGUGUGAAGUCUCUGGAGGAAGUCAUCAAGUGAUACAAUAGUCGGCUCAUCAACCAACUCCACAAAAAGAUAUUUUAGUUUGCAAAGCAAGUCUUCAAAAAAUAGAUAUUUAUUUGUUCCUAUGUACUUUGCAUCAACUUUCAACUCUUCCAAAUUAGGGAAUACCUGGGAGAUCGAUCAGAACCAAAAAAAAAAAAAAUACAAGAUGAAUCAGUUGAUGAGAAUUAUAAGUUACCACUAAUUUAUACAAUAUAUUUUAUUCAAUAAAUCAAUAAAUACAAGAUAAACUUUCACAGUACGUACAUAAGAAUUGAAAAUUUGAUUAUAAAAUUCUUGUACGUACCCUUUCUGUCGAGAUAUUAGUAGUUUUUUCGUAUCUCACCAUGAAUUCAGGACAUGCAGAUAUCCAUAAUUCUUCCAAGGAUGGAAAUUCAAGAAUAUCAAGAUCUCCAGUGCAGAAGCUUGUGAACUUUUCAAGAUCAGACAUCCUCAGAGAUUGCAACUGGGGAAACGUUACAAUAUUAUUCUUCAUUUCUUCUUGGUUGUCCACGACUAUUAACUCUUCCAGGACAGGACAUUUGACUAUCAUAACGUGUUGGAGUCGAACAAAGCUACUAACUGUAGAAGAUGAAAAUAGACAUCUUAAAUUCAUACAGCUGUACAGGGUCAAGCGCGUUAAAUUUUGAAUACCACAAGACAUGACUGCAACUUGGUUCAGCCAAAUCCUCUCAACAUUUAUUGAAUACAACAUCAACUCCUCCAAAUUUGGUAAUGCAACCUGCACGAUCAAAAAAUUAACUUGUUAAUUACAAGCAACAAUUAUUAAUCACUCUUUGCCAUAUUUGUUACCAAACAGGAAUAUAACAAAGAAAAAAAAACAAAAAUUAUAGAGAAUUAAUAAGACGAUUGACUUAUUAAUAACUGACCUUCUCAGGGAAAAGCGUAUUAUAAAUUUGGACAUUGUCCUCCAAAAUGAUUUCAUGUGACUGCAAAUCAUUAUCUGAUUCCUGUUGUCUCUGUUGACGUUGCAGGUGUCUUGAUUUUAGAGCGUAAGCCUAAUUGUGAGCACAAUCUUAAUGCAUAGAUACAAGAUCUUUAAAAAUUAGUAUAAUAAACUUAGCACUAAAUUCAAAUUUCAUAUUUCGGAUUCCAUGAUUAAGAUUUUUUAAAUAAAAAUUUAAUAGAGUUAAUUUAAAAAUAAAAAUUAAAUAUGAAAAAUAAACUUGCAAUUAUGGAUUUAAUUUUGAUAAAUAAUGAAUGUUCUCUUUAUAUUUUUUUUAAAAGGUAAAAGAGCAUACAAAGCCCAAAUUCAUUUUUUUAGUCCCUUACUCUCCCUUGAUUCAAACUUGGGUGGUUGUAGGAGGACUGAAAAUAUAUAAGACAGUUAACUUCACUUUUUUUUUUCUUUUUUUUUUGUUGAGAGAAAAGAGAAGAAGGAUAUUACAAAGCAUGAAGCUCGUGCAAUAUAAGGGCAAUUGUGGUUUUUUCUUUAAAUUAAAAUGGUAAGAUUCUGAAGCUAAAAGAUUAAAAUAUUAAUUAAAUUGCAAACAUUAAAGAUUUUUUUUUUCCAAAAUUGGUUGCUUUGAAAAUGAGAAUAAUAUAAUAUUUGAAGACUUUUCAAAAUUAAUUACUGUGAUGCACUAGAAAUUUCUAGCUUUAGUCUAAUGUAUAAAUUGACAAAACGAUAUUAGAAUCCCAGGUGAAAAGAACCCUCUCAUACCAAUUAUUUAAAUUAGGAAUGAUCAUACCUCUGACUCUGCCGGAUUGAGGGCGAGCCAGAGACGCUUGAGAUGGGAAGAGCCCACUUUGACUAAUUCAUUACGAAAAUAAUCGACAUCUUGCUCUUGCAAUCCACAUAAUUGAAGGUCUUCAAUUCUCUGCAGUUGCACGAUCAGCGAAUCCUUCAAGCAAAUCUUGUUAUUUAGCUCGAGACUGAAUUCACGACACCCAAUGCCGGUGCUCUCCCAAUAGCCAUCAUCUCCAAUGCGUAUGCUGUACCUUUCCAGCUUCUCCAAGAGCAGGCCUCUGGGCAGAGUGCUGACGUCACGGGCGCGUAAUUCCAAAGAGGUCAAGUUGGGCAAAUGCUUCGACUCCUCAAGGCUUGCAUUCUUAAUCCCUUCUUCCACCUCCACCUCCCAUUUAUCAAAGCUUAUACGACCUAUAUAUAGUUCUUCUAAACGGGAUAAUUUUGACAGUAUAUUUGGUGGAAUAACUUCUAGGUCCUCACAAUCUCUCAAAUCAAGCAACUUUAGCCAAGUCAAUUCACCUACUUCUACCGGCAACUUCUUAAUAUCAGAAUCUCUUAGGCAAAGGAUUUCUAGUUUCUUCAAGUCUCCUACAACACUUAGAUCAGGCAGGUAGCACCAACACAAACUCAGUGUUCGAAGGUUUGACAGGAGACCAAGUGAUGAAGGCAGUGACCGUAGAUCCAUGUCAGUCAAGUUUACAACUCUGACCUGUAUCAUCCUCUCGAAAAAGUUGCUUGGAAUUGUUAAUGAUGAAGAUUCCCAACGACCAGCACUUAGAAACAGAAGUUCGAGUUGAGGACAUUCCAGUACUUCAGGAAGCAAAUUAGUCUUGAUACCAUGCAAGACGAUUGAAGUGCAAUGCUUUAUUGCACUUCCGUCCGACCAUUCCCUGCAACCAUCAACCUGCUCAUUUGUAGCAGUAAACACAUUUCGUUCAGUAGAUGCAAUUGAUAUGGCGACAUCGCGAACUACAUCAUGCAUAGAAAACAACUCUUCAUCCUUGCUUUCAUGGUCAAGCAACAUACAAGAAGCUUUGAGUGUGCGCACCAAUGUAUGUACUCGAUUUCGUGCUUCUUCAAUCUUAUUCACGCCUUGAAAUAAACCCAAUCCCAUACCACACAUUAACAAGUCAUCAAUAGAUGCUAUGGCUGUAUAUCCUAUUAGCAAAAAGAUGUUCUUGAGAUCAUCCCUUCCUAGUUUAUUGUAGCUCAACUCGAUAGCUUUAAAUGCGGCUGGCUGAACAUCCUUAAAAUUCGAUGAAGAAGGCCUUCUUAGCUGUUCCAAUGCAUCCUUCCAUUCACGUAUGCUGUUGCUCCUUAAUGCCCUUGCAACCGUCACAAUGGAAACUGGUAGACCUGCACAUUCCUUUGCCACAUCCCUUGCUACCUCUUUCAAUUCAUUACCUUCAACAUAAUCACCUGCCAUCUUCGUGAAUAGACUCCAAGCUUCAUCUUCUUUUAAAAAUCCAACUGGGAAAUUUUUUCGAGACUCCAUCUCUCCAGACAAUGCUUGUUCACUCCUUGCCGUGAACAGCACUUUAAUUCCAACAUCCAACAAAUCAAGAUUUUCCCAAAUAUUAUCCAAGAUUACAAGGAUCCUCUUCUCUUUCUUCAGUCGAUCAUAGAGUCUUCUUGCCCUACCCGAUUCACUCUCCUCAUCAAAUUUUAGACCUAGUUUAUCCGCGAUUUCUCCUUGAAUCUUUCUUACGUCUCGACUCUCAGACACCUCAGAAAAAACCACCUGAUCGAAAAGCUUGUCACACUCUGCUUUUCUGGCAACUUCUUUAGCUAGCGUCGUCUUUCCGAUUCCGCCCAUUCCAUAAAUCAAAAGCAUGUUGACAUUGGGAUUUUUUAAUGCAUCAAUUAUUUCAUUCAGAAUGGACGUUCUUGAUUCAAAGGCCUCGAAGUCUUUGUUAGGCAUAAGCAAGGUAUCCUCCGGAAUGAUGCUGUAGGAAAUACUAUUAACUGGUCUAGCGUCCAGGACUUUGACAACAGCCUCCUUCUGCCUCUCUGCUUCCUUGCUAAGUCGAGGGCGGGUCUUCAAAUUAGGACAUAACCCCUUGAAACAACGCUUAUUUGCAGUGGCUUCAUCUUCUGUAAAUUUAUCUGCCUCUUCAAUGACACUGUUGGCCGUUGCAAGCCAAUUCUCAACGUUCUCUUCAAUCUCUUCUCCUUUUCUUUUAGCCUCAUCAACCUGGUGCUCUGUACUCACCCUCUCAGACUUUAGUUUCGCAACUUCAGUGUUGAGAUUCUGUAAGUUGCUCGUGUACUUACUCUCACGCAAAUAGCUAAUUUGGCGAUAUGCGGGAGGAGCCAAGCACUUUACAACUUCUAAAACAAUAGUAAGAAUGAUUUCAGCCAUCUUCAGUCCUUUGUCCUUGUCUCUCUAUCUCUUUUUUUCUGAAUUUUGGAAAAACAAUUCAACAAGUGACCACAACAAGAUGGAACAAAAUAAAAAGGAAAAAAAAUACAAAGAGUGGAUGGAGAAUAAAACAGAGACAGCGGCACAGCUAGACGCAACUAGAUAGAGAACAGAGGAAAACCAAAUAACAAGACUUAAGAUUACAACAAACAGAGGCCAAGUAUUGUUGAGAUCAGAAGAUGGAAAAUUCAAAAGAGUUGAUGGCAGAUGCUGAAUAACAAAACAACAAUGAACGCAACAAACUGAAGCAAAGUGUGUUUGUGAUCGACAGACGAAAGUAAGGAAAGUGGUUGUUGAUUGAAAAUGAAUGAAUGCAAAGAAAGACUGAUAUUGAAAAUUGAUGUCCAUAGCGAAGGAAUAAUUGAACUUUCGCUGAAUUAUUGUUUGUGCCUUCUUUUACUGUUUAUUUGUGGGUCAUGUCUUUUGGAACUAAUCAUCUUAGGUUAUGCCUUAUAGCUUUAAGGCCGGUAAACCGGUGUCCGUUGGAUUAGCAUAUAGAAAUCCAACGGUGGAUAUAUAUACUUGGAGAAUAAAAUUCAAGAGCAAAGGGAGUGCUGGGCUGCAGUUUCUUAAGGAGAUUUAUAUAUCCUCCUCAAAAAUAAAUAUUUUAAGGUAGGUAUUUAGACUAUUUCAUCAUAAAAUAAAUGUAAUUAAUUUUCAUAAAUAUUUGAUAUCAAUAUUUAUUUAUUUUUUUAAUUACUGAUGACCUUUGAAUAUUCGAUACAUAUUAUUAAUUCAAAAAAAAAAUUGUGAUUAUUUAUUAAUGUUUGCGAUUACUUGUGAUGGUAAACAAAGUAGAUAUGGUAUAUUUUGAAGUUAAAUUAAAAAAAACAGAGCUUUUACCAUUACUUGCCUUAUCAUCUUUUAAAUUAGAAUUAUUAUUCUUCUAUUUUUCAAGUUGCCAACUCAUUGUCUUUUAUUGAAUUUAACGAUCAAUGAUCAUAAAAUUGUGUAAAAAUUUUAAGUCAAAACUUUAAAUUAAAAUAAUCUUUAAGUUAUUGAGAAAUAAUAACUUAAUAUAACAAAUAUUAUAUCCUAUACUUUAUUGCUACAAAAUUACGAAACUUUAUAUUAUGUUUUCAUAUUUCACCUUUAUAGUGACGACUCAUGCUUCUUCUCUAAUAAAUGCUAAAGUAUUGGCUUGAAUUUUUUAAUUAGUACAGUAGAACCUUAAGCUAUAUAUACUAUAAUGUCCCUCUUCUCUCACAGAUUAAACCAAUCAGAUCUCAGAGUGAGUUGAUACCAUGACUUUGCAUCAUUCAUGAUCAAAGGAGCAUCAUUACUAACUAAUAUAGGCUCGAACAAUAGGCAUGAUAAUAAUUUUGUUUAUCUACAAACACUAUUUAACUCUAUCUCUUUUCUCUCCCCCACGCGAAGACUACUCCUUUCUCUUUGGCUAAUUUUUAAAAACCUCCCCUGAGGUUUGGACUUGUUGCAAGUAGAUGGCGAGAAUUUGUUUAUUUGUAAAAAACCCCCUACCGUCAAUUAACUUUAACAUUGACCGUUAGUUGACUGUGCAAAGAUAAUAUUACCCUUAACAAUAGUUUGUAGACGGAAAUAACUAAAAAAAAAUUUAAAAUUAUUGGCUAUUUUAUCCUCUUUAAAUUAUUGAUAUUUUCUUAAAGUUCCUACAAGAAAGAUAAAAUUUAAAAUUUAAAAUUUAAAAAAUCCUCUUUAAAUUAUUGAUAUUUUCUUAAAGUUCCUACAAAAAAGAUAAAAUUAAAAACUUGAAAAUGAAAUAGUUAUAAUCUUUACCCAUAAUAUUGUAAAUCUUUAGAAUUGACAAAGAUAAAAUUGUCAAAAAAUAGGGUUUGUGCUUUUCGCGCCAAUAAUUUUAAUUUUUUUUUAGUUAUUUCCGUCUAUAAACUGUUGUUAAGGGUAAUAUUAUCUUUACACAGUCAACUAACGGUCAAUAUUAAAGUUAACUGACGAUAGAGGGUUUUUUUAUAAAUAAAUAAAUUUUCGCCAUCUACUUGCAACAAGCCCAAACCUAAAGGACGUUUUUAAAAAUUACCCUUUCUCUUUUGACAUUUUUUACGCGUUUCUCUUUUCUCUUCCCCCACGUGAACACUUUUGCCUUUUGCUCGUUCACGUGAAAGUCGGUUUAGAAUUUUGAUCUUAUUUCACAAAGCUAAUUUUUUAUCACAAGCAGGAGAGAAACGGCAUUUCUUAGCAGUAGUUCAUCACUGUAGUGGCGAGCUAGUGAGGAACAAAAUUACCAACAAUUAUAAAAAAAUAAUUAUAAAAAAAGAUCACAUGCUAUAAUUAAUCAUGACCAUUGACAACAUUACUCCCACCGAGCAAAAGUUAACAGCAUCUUCUCCCACAUUUAAAAAAAAAAUAGUAUUAUAUAACCCACCAAAAGUAUAAAGAGUCUUUCUUUAUUAAAAUUAAUAAAUUACUCUUUAUAUUGAGAAAUUAAAAUUUAAAAUAAAAAUAAUUGAUAUGUUUAUUAUUUAAAAUAAAAAUAAAAAUAAAAUUUACAAAAUCAUAUAUUUUUAAAAUUAAAGAAUAAGAAUUUAAUUUCUUAUGGAGAGUGUUGGAAAUCAAGUUCUUAUUGCUUAAACUCCUAAUUUUACCUCACAAAAAUUUUAUAAGUUCACUUUUAUCCUUAAUUAAAAUAUUAUUAUGUUAUUAUUAUGGUUAUUAUUCUUAUUUUUGUAGUAGUUGCUGCUGUUGUUGUUGAUGAUGAUAAUAGUUGAUAAUAAAAUUAAUAAUAAUAAUGAAAAUAAUAACUAUAAUUUUAACAGCUACAAUAAUAAUCAUUAAUAUUAUUGUUGUCGUUCUUAUUAUUAUUAAUAAAAAAUAAUUAUUUUGAAUAAUAAUAAUCACAAUUAUUAUAACAAACAACGACAAUAAUCAACUAAUGUCAUUGUAAUAACUUGUAACAAUUCAUUUUUUAUUUCAAGACAAAGUAACCAUAUCAAUAAUAAUAUAGGUUAUUUCGAUUCUAAUUCUUACAAGUAAAAUAAAUAAUUUAUUCUGAUUCUCAUUUUUCAUUUUGAUUUUAUUCUAUUCUGAUUCCAGUUGAUUCUGAUUCCAGCCAAUUCAAAUUACCAACUAGAAAAUGCAUUGUUACUACUUUAAUAAUAACUAAUGAUUCUCCUCACAAUUCUUAUAGGAUUAUCCUUAUUUUAAAAUAAUUUUUUAUUCAUAUUUAUCAUAAAUUAAUUAAAUUAUACCAAUGAAAAUUAAAAAAAAAAGAGAAAACAUAUGUUUCGGUUUGAAUAAAAAAUUAAUAAUAAAAUAUUUUCCUUAUAUAUUUUUAAUAUUUUUAUUAUAAUAAAUAUUUAUUUUAUAUUCUUAAAAUAAAUUAUUAAGUAAACGAUUCAUUAACUCAUUUUUUUCCUUUAAAUUUUUGUUAUUAAGAAGAUUUUUGGGUAUUGACCGUGAAGGGCUCAACUGAUCGCUAAUUUUGCAGCAAUUGUCUUUUCUUUUUCUUUUUUUUAAUUGUUUUGAAAAAAAUAUUCAGACUCAUUCUGCAAAGUACCUAAGGCCAAAGCGCCGAAAGUUAGGACACCCACAUGUGCUUUUAUUCACAAAUUCUAAAAUUAGGUGGGGUGUCCAUAACGUACGUUUAAUAUAAGAGAAAUGCUAAAGGUCGGGAAUGCUGAGAGAACACUGAGAGAAACGGCAGCUUGGGCUGCCGUUUCGUGUUCUCUCACCUCCCUACUAAGAAAACGAGCCUCCACGUGUUCUCUCAGCUCCCCACUACUUCAGCUCAAGUUACUUUUGUCAAAAGUUGGCGUUUGGCCCCACACUCAAAACACUUUUGCCAAGUGAAUUGUGCCCCCCACGUGAAAGUUUGAGUUAUUUCUUUGCUCAUGACCAAGUAAAGCUAAGUUAAGUUUGAGUUCUCUCCUUACUCCUUCACUCGUUCACUUCUCCUUCGUUUCUCGUUCACUUUUUUGCUCAUCAAAAACCAUUACUUCAGCUCAUCCAAUCAGUGAAUUAGUGGCCAUUACUUCAGCUAAUUCAUUUUCCGAUCUAGAUCUUGAAGCAACACCCAAUUGGUAAUUAUCUCAGCUUAAAGAAUAAUUUUUUAUGUGUUUAUUAUUUUUUUGUUAUAUCAUAAUAAUAGAAAUGUCCUUGCAUUUACUGAUUAAAUGAUAAUGUGUUUAAUUUAUAAUUUUUUAGAAAUCUUUUUAUUUAAAUGAUAUGUUUGAUUUAUAAUUUUUUAAUUUAAAUUUUGUUUGAACAUAGAAUUAUUUUUAAUUUAAAUUGUGUUCGAUUUAUAAUUUAUUUAAUUUAAAUUUUUAGAACUUUAAUGGAUUAAAUUAUUACUGGAAAAAUGUAUAAUAAUUUAUUCUUAAUUUAAAUGUUGUUUCCACAUUGAAUUUUUUAUUUAAAUUGUGUUCGAUUUAUCAUUUUUUAAUUUAAAUUGUUAGAACUUUAAUGGAUUAAAUUAUUGCUGAAAAAAUUUAUAAUAAUUUAUUCUUAAUUUAAAUUUUGUUUCCACAUUGAAUUUUUUUAUUUAAAUUGUGAUUUAUCAUUUUUAUUUAAAUUGUGUUCGAUUUAUUUAUUUUUAUUUAAAUUGUGUUCGAUUUAUCAUUUUUUAUUUAAAUUUUUAGAAUUUUAAUGGAUUAAAUUAUUACUGGAUGGUGUUUGUAUAAAUUGAUCUUACAUUUUGCUUAAUACGAAUAUUAAUUAUUUUGUUGAAAUUGAUAAUUUGAAACAUGAAGAUGGAGUCAAAGAUGCGCAAUCGGAAAAAUAUGAGCCGACUCUUGGGAUGUUAUUUGAUAGCCAUAAGAAAAUGUGGUAAUUUUCAAUAUACUUAAGUAUCGUCAUCAUAUACUUAAUUCUUUCAUUUUCAAUCUUUAUUAUUAUUAUUUUUAAUAUUGGGUUCCAUGAGGAUAUUAUAUGCAAUUUUCCAUGACAUAAAUCAAUACAAUAAUGGCAAUAAAAAACUUAUAACAAUAACUUGAAUCUUAUAUUUAGAGGGACAGUACAAUCAUAUAUGUCUACAAACCAUACAAAAUAAAUAAUUGUACAAAUUAAAACAACUUAUAAAUAAAACUUUAAUAUAAAGCAUAACACAAUAAUCAUCAAGGGAACGGUGAACAUGGAGGAACGCAAAUGGAUGUUUACACUGUGGGCAUGUUGGAUUCCUAACAUACGAGGCCCAUCGAAGGAUGCAAGCUGCACUGCACAGAACAAAGAAAGAACGUCCAUUAAUGCUACCAUAAACGUCCAUUAAUCAUACAAGAGAUGGUAAGCUGAAAACCCCACAUAUUAACUCAUAGUCCUACAUAGAACUCUAACCUAUAAUAUGAAGAUGAUCAACGAGCCUUCAUAUAUGUCACAGUUCCAAAACCAACAAGUCAUGAGGCUGAUUAUAUUAAGGAAACCUCUAACUAUGUGACAACACAAAUAGAUUAAUUCUUGCAACAACAUUUUUAAGUUUUUCAAAAUUUUCUCCUUUUUUACCAAAACAAAUGCCUAAGAAAACCAAAAAAUAAACAAGCAGAUUGUCUCUGUAAAUUGAAUUAACAAGUUCUAUUACUAAAAAAAGGGUAACAAGGAAAGAAAAAUCCAAAAAAUAAACAUAUUGAAAGUCCAUUUCAAUUGCAUGGCACAACAUUAAAUUGAAGAAUUGACUGUACAAAAAAGAUCCAACAAUAUUUAGGUAUGAAAAGGAAAUUGAAUCCAAACCACAAAACUAAAAGCAUACUUCACUCGUGUGUACAAACUACAUGCUGAUACUCAUUUACCAUAAAAUAUUGCAGCAUCGAUUACCGAAGAAGAAAACAAUUCAAAGAAUGCCCCCAAGGCAAGCUCUAUCAAAGUUACAUAUGCAACAGACAUAGUAUUAUAGCAGAGAAACUCCAAUAAACACUCAUCAUGAUGCUUGACAAGAGAAUUAUUCAACAACUAACAACUACAGGGCCUAAGCUCAACUUAAACAUAUACUUGCAUCAAAGCCAAGUCCACACUCCAUAUAUGCUUACAUAAACCAUAUUUUCUCAAUUCUAACUGCAUUUAACUUAAUUUAUUUUGAUUUAUUUAUUCACUGGAAAUUUAUUUUGAUUGCAAAUUCUUCUAUCAUCCACUAAAAUGAUUUAAAUACUAGAUACAUAAAUACACACAUAUGACGAGUACGAAGGGUGAGAGAGAGAGAGAAGAGCUGCAGUAACAGCAAGAAAGUUAAGAUUUGUGACCUCGAAUCCAAGGCCUAUUUCAGAUGUCCCUAAACACUCUUAACUUAUGAAAGGCGCUAAUAAGUAAUCUGCACAGGAAGAUAGGGGAUAAUAACAGAAUUCGUGAUGCAUAAAUUCCAUUCCGAAUAACAUAGCAAAAAGAUGAGAGAUUUGAUUAGAACAAACCAGUAAGCGUGCUCGCAACCUUUUACAAGAGCUGUUGCCUAAAGAACUGUCUUAACCAGAGAAACUAAAAGAUCAAGAGAAAGUAAAACGGCUGGAACGAAGCGAGUUGCUGCUGGAGUGAACAAAAGGAAAGGAGUUGGAGUUAAUGUGGGAGUGCUGGAGAAGGAGUUGAAAAUAGAAAGAAAAAGGAGUUGAAAGGGAGUGCUGGAACAGAUCUGUUCUGUUGAAAGCGAAGAAGGAAGUGGAAGAAGGAGGAAAAUGAUUUGAAAAGGAGCACUUUUUCUUUUUCACAUGAGACAGAUAUCUGUUACUCACGUGGAAGGGGGGGGGGGGGGACGAAACGGCAGCACAAGCUACCGUUCUCUCAGCGUUCUUUCAGGAUUCCCGAUGUUUAGCAGCGCUCUUAAUAUAAUUGAUGGUUAGGUAAAAGUCCUUCAUUAACCCAUUAAAUUUUAAUAUUAUAUUAUUUAUUUUUAUAUUAAAAAAUAAUUAAUGUAGGAAAAUUCUUAAAAGUUAACGGAGAAGGAAGAGAAAAAGAAAAAGUGAAAACAAAAGAAAAUAUAAAGAAAAAAAAUUAAACGAGACAAAAAUCUGUGGCGUGGAUCAUUCAUAUCUUUUGCCUUUUCUUUUGUAGAGGUACAUAACAUGGACUUCCCUGCGGUGCCACAGUGACAUGGUGCCACAGUUUUUUGUCUUUAUUCUGUGAAGCCGUUGGAUGGUUAAUCAUUCAAUCCAACGGUUUAAAUUAAUUAUUGGAGGAAGGCCGCCAGAACUGACAACCUUUGUAGCCGGUUUUGGGUGAGUGUAAUACCAUCUAAUAGUGAGCGUGCAUUUCAAGAUCUUUUGAACUACGAAAUUUCGUUUCAGCGAUUUCAUUUGAAAAUCAAUCUGUAGACAGAAAGUGAACGCACGAAAUUGGUAUUACUGGAUCGCAAUUAUUGGUGGAAUAAUAUCAAACGGUUGAUGUGUACAUGAAUAUGUCCGCGCAGUCCGCGCAGUUGUAGGGAGGUGAUGGUGAAAUAAAAAAUAAAAUUCCCGGCAUGUGCAUUCGAAGGAAUUUAUGAUGCUGAAAGUCUGGGCAUAUCGAAUGAUCCGACGUAGUAGGUAAUUCGAUAUAAACUUGCAAUUUGUUUUAGUUGGAAUAUUUAUAAAAGUCGUGUUUAGGGUUAGUUGAAUAGUUGGUGGAAGAGUUCAGUAAACAAGUAGUAAUGGGGAAAAUUUUCGAUUAAGUAUGUAAACAGGGGUCGUCAAAGAAUGUGAGGUUACUAGGGAGGACUGAUUUGAGGAAUCUCACUGCACUAAUUGUCGGAUUGAAGCCACAAGAGGGACUUAAAAGUGUUCGACGAUGAAAUGAAAUUUGUUAGUAAGUAAAUAUCUUUUGUAAGUAUCAAUUAGUUAUAUGGGUAAUUGAUGAGGACAUACUUUUAUGGCAUGUUCUUAUAAUGAAAUUGUUAACUUUGUUUUAUCUUCUGGUGACCAAUAAUGUAUGGAUGAGAUGUUAGUGUUCAAUUGUUAAUUUGACUGUUGGAAUCAAUUAGGUGGUUGAUGUAGACAUGAAUGUGUUUCUUAGAAAAUCGAGAAUGUUGAUGAGCAUUUAUUGUGUGAACCCCCUCGAAAUGAGUCUAUGAAAAUGAUUGAUUAACAUUGUAGGCGGUGGCAUGGUUGUUACAGAUGAGUCUAUUUAUAGAUUGUGAUCUUAUUGUUGUGGUUUUACUAUGCCCUGUAAUUAAAUUCUGUAAAAUCAGAAUGGUGCAGUUCGUUAGAAGCACUCAUUUAUAAUUUCACUGCAGCAAUGAAGGUAGGGGAGGUUCGCAAGCGAAAAUGUAGGGACGUAAACAGCUUGAACGAAGAUAUGGAAGGCAAUCGAACAAUAGAACGUAUUAGCCAUUACGGAUUCAUCAGUUAUUUGUAAGUAUUUUUACUAUCUGAAUAAAUAAAUUUUAACAAUGACGAGUGGAUUGGAAAUGACUUGAGUUACUUUCAGUGGUGCAACUGUGCGUAGAAUGAAGGCAACAGAUGCAAACACCAGCAUUACAAGAGAGGUGCGUUAAAUGGAAAUAAAAUUUAGUGUACUGCAACACCUUUUUAAUUGGCAAUAAGGUGUAUGUCCGUGUGUUUCUAUUAACUGCUUUGCAGGUUCGAAGGGAAAUUGCGACGUCAUUUAAAAAUUUACCACCAAAGACGAAAUGGAAGUACAAAGUCCGAGUCGAACAAGCAGUGAAAGGGGAAGCAACUAACACAUAUUUUACGCGAUGUGCACCAGACAGAUUGGCAUCAGCUCUUACAAAUCUAUCUGAUGAACAAAGAGAAGCUGUAUGUGAAAUGGGUAUGGGGAGCAUGCUUGAGUUGAAUAAUGGUAGGCUGAAAAGGAAGCUUUGUGGUUGGUUGGUAGAUAGGAUUGAUGUAUGUAGGCGCGUACUAGUUUUGAAUGGUAAUGAGGUAGAGCUCAAUGCUAAUAGCUUUGGUCAUGUCAUGGGAUUAAUAGAUGGGGGCAUGCCUUUAAGAUUAGAGGGUGACAUCAAAGAAGUUGAAUCAUAUGUACAGAUGUUCAGUGCAUCAUCUAGAGGAAUCAACAUCAAGAAAUUGGCAGAAAUGUUGAGUAAUUCGACGGCAGCCAAUGAUAGAUUCAAAGUCACAUUUAUGUUGUUUACUCUAUAUACUGUUCUAUGUCCCCCUGGUGGAGUACACAUAAGUUGUAAUUUCUUAUUUUCUUUGAAAGAUGUGAACUGUAUCCAGAAGAGGAAUUGGGCCACAUUUUGUUUUCAUAAAUUUCUUGAAGGCAUUACUAGGUACAAGGAAGAGAAAUUUGCAUACAUAGGUGGCUGUCUUUUGUACUUAGAGGUGAUAUCGCAUCUUGGAAUGAUAUAGUGUCAAUAUUUUCCUUCACUUUGUUCAGUUGAGUAACUAACUAUAAUUUGCAUUGUUGUUUUUGUUAAUUCCAGAUGCUUUAUUUUAAUUCUAUAGUGUAUGGAAAAGUACAAAGAGACAGGUCUAUGUGUCCCCUGGCCUUGUGGAACGUAGAUGAGAUAAAGCGGUUGAUGAAAUGGAUAGAGAAUAAAGGUGGUUAUAGUAGCGAUGAGGUCAUCUCAAAAAGGAAUUGUAAAUUUGUGGGAUUCUAUGAAAGCAAAUAAUAUACUUACGAUGAAAAACAUGCGAUCCGUGAAUACUGCUUUUCAAUAUGUCCUUGCUUUACAUUUAUUGUAGUUGGAUGUUACGUAUAAAUUUGGUUCAACACUUUACUUAUAACUUCGUACUUGUAAAAUUGUUUUACUAGAUACGAGUCUGUGCUGCAUCUCUAAUAAAGGCCAACUCAAGGUCAGAUGGAUGCAGUAUGCCUGUGGAAAAAGAUUUUAGAGACUCGGAUGUUAGACAGAUGACAACAGCCCCGGGAAUGACGAAGAUAAAGUCAUUUAGUCAAUUGGAUAAGGCAGUAGUGAUAUCAAGUAGGCCAUCAGGAUAUAUUGAAAAAUUAAAGACAUAUGGAUCGUGCCGCAACAACCAUGGCAAUAAUGCUAAGGGGAAGCACUGGAGUGAUGCAACCAAAGGAGAGGGAGUUUGCACCAACUAUGAGAGUAAGCAAUUGUACAAAAGUGCAGCAAGUGGCAGUAUAUACCAGAAUAAUGAAAUCAAGGAAAAAGAAGUUUGUGAAGAUGCACAACAUAUGGAUUUAAUUGACGUAGCAGAUUUUGUCAUGGAGACUCAGACGUCCCCACCAUGCAGUGAAAGCUUGCAUAGUAACAUAAGGAUUGAGGUUAUCUGUAACUAAUAAAAGUUAAAUCUGAAAUUUUCAUCUUCGUUUAGUUGUUUUUUGUUAACCGAAUGUAAUUUAUGUUUUAUAAUUUUGUAAUUAUUAUGAGGAAAAUAUGUUGCAGGAGCCUGCUAUGGUGCAGAAGUGUUCAGAACCGAAUAAAAAGAUUGGGAAUGUAGUCCAUCCAAAGUCACCACUUAAUCAGAUAGGUGCUGGCAGAGCACGUUAUCAGGUUGGACCAUAUGUGAUGCAAAGACCUUUGAGUACUGAUGACGAGAUAUUGAUUAACUUAUGCAUGGAUGAAAAUUUGAAUAAGGGGUAACGUAUUACUUAUGUCGUUGAAUUAGUACUGGCAUUCAUAUAAAAAGUUACUUGAUUGUGUUUGAGCUUCGAAUAAACGGACUUAAUUGUAGGAAAUCAAUAAUUAUGGAAAAAAAUGUCUGCAUGAUAGAUUUUCCGUUGCAGGGAAAUGGUUUUUAAGACGAACUUCAAUUGCAUCGGCAGAAAUGAUAUUAUGUCUCUAUCUCCUAGAAGUACAAUCAAUGUGAAGGUACAACCACCUUCUGUUAAGUGAUGUACUUGUAUGAAUAAUACAUACACAUGUUAUACUGAUUGCUCUUGGAAUUUAAUAGGGCUUGAUGUUUUUGUUAUUUGUUUAUAUGUUGAAUUAAGUCAAUACCCCUUACAUGAAAUUGUUAAUACUCGUAAUUUUCAGAUUGUUUCUGCUGUCUCAUAAUUGUUAUCUGCGAAAGCGAGUGUAAAUGUUGGAAAUAGUAAUUUCAGCCUUUUUCUGCCAGCGUAUUCUGCUGUAAGGACUUUGUGUUAUAUUGCAAUAUUGGAAUUUUAUCCCCUAAGGGGCAGUUUAACAUAAAAUUUCGUGUGUUCAUUCAAUAAGGUGCAUUUGUUUACUAUGCAUGUAAGUUGAGAUAUUGUUCUUGCAAUUACAUUUAACUAGAGCAUUACAAAUAUUUGUUAUUCGAGUUUGGCAACCCACUAUUUCCAUUGCCUAUAAUUUUUGUUUCGGUUGUGAUAGCGUUGAUGUUCUAUAAACUAUACAGUUGCACGAUAACAUCAGUGGGGACCCCACAGACCUUACUUUUGGUAUUAAACAAUUUAUCAGUGGUGAUUUAUACCUGGCGAAUAUUGGUUCGUGUAAACAAGUAAGCAUUUUUUACUUAAGCCAUCAGCAAACCUCGUUUUUAGUUAAUUUUGAUGUUAUCUGUCAGUUUAUUUCACCCUGGUAUUGCAAUCAUCAAUAAAUUUUUGUCCCGGUGAACCAUGGUUUUACACACUGGUACUUAUUGGUUGUAUUAAUAUACAAAAUGCUGGUGGAGAUAUGGGAUCCACUGCCCACUGUAAUGAAGUCACAAAUGUUCGUUGUUGAAUGCAAACGAGCGGUGAGUUACCAUUGUAGAUGCCAAUCGAGUGUACUUUGUUGGCAAAAAAAAAAAUACUUAUAAAUGAACCAUUGUUGUUGUAAAUAAUCCUCCUUUGUUUUAAAAGGAAGUGUCAAAUAUUACUAUUGUUAUUACUGCAAUCUAUCGAUUGACGGAUGUUCCUGCAGCUAAAAUUCAUUGAGAUGGCGUUGCAACAUUGUGGCUCAAAUUGUUUAUCGGGAAGGUUAAACAUGAGCGAGUUCGUAAUCCAGCUUUGUACCAGACAGGCCAGUAUACGUAACGAAUCUGAUUGUGCACUAUAUGUUAUGUUGAUGAUGGAGAGACAUAAAAUGUGGUCGUGCCUUUCUGAGGCAGAGGUGCGUAACAUUUUUAACUGUUCAAUGCUAUAACCCAGGCCGUUAAUAUUAUUUAUGUAUCGAUUCAAUUUUUGCUGCCUUGUACUUAUUGUGUUUGUUCAUUUCAUUUAGAUAAAAUUUGAUUCAGAUAGUGAGAGGGCACGCAUUCUGAUAGAUCUCAUGACAUACAGUUUCAACUGUUUGAAGGACAAAGUUCGUUUGAAGGCUGAGAAGCAUCGAUGGCGUGUUGACGAUGAAGCCCAUUCAAUUUAUGAAGCGAUUAAAAAGAAGCGCGUACGACAGCUUCGGAGUGCGAACCAAAUAGGGCAUGGUCGCCGCCAUUAGCUGCAUUUUCUUUGACGUUCUAUUGUAUAAGUGCAUCCAUGCUUUUCGGAAAGAAAAAAUUGCUAGGUUUGACAGUUGCAGUUCAUCAUUCCAAAAAGCACAAUCAACCACUGACAAUUGUGAGUGAUAAACAACUUAUGUUUUGUUGUUGGCAUAUAACAAUAAAGUUUCCAUCGUGGAUGCCACAGUGUCUCAGUACUGAACUUAAUCAUUUAUGAGUUUACAUUGCUGUUAAUUUUUAAUUUGUCAAGACGGUUGUUCCUAGAGUAUUAUAUCAGUACAUGCUGUUAGCUGAAAUAACAUAUUCUCUGAAUUCUGCAUUUUAUAUGAUACUGAUACUUUGGCCUAGACAAGUUACUGAAAUAUUCAUUUUAUGUUGUAGUCUUGAGGAAGAUGCUUUUUGUACUAAUUGAACUCAACGAUGGAUUGAAUUAAGUUACGCAAGUUGUGCUUAUUUAAGCCUGGCAUAGGUAUAAAAAUUAUUUCUCAACUGCCUCUUAAAAUUUUUUUUUUCCAAAAUUAACGGAUAUAGUGGGAGCAAAAAAAUAGUUGUAUUAAAUCCCCAACCUCUAGAUCUUUUUGGAGUAACGCCAAUAUUCUUUUACAGAUUCCAAAUGUGGGCGUAGUUAGUUGGUGUAAAAGAUGAGGUUGCAAUGCAGUUGGAUUCACUUGCAAAGGCACUUGUGUUUAGAGUUUGGUCGGUUGAUUGACUUACUGUACUGGCUGAAAAUUGCUAGAACCAUGACUCUGAUGUAGGAGAAAAUGGUCUACCAUUUUCUCCUAUUUGGUACCGCGACAAAAUGUUCAUGUAUCGUGUGGGUUGUUGCGGCACGUGGUUUGUGUCUGCUGCAUCUGUCGCAUUUGGUCCCAUUACAUUACUACCACAAAAAAAUUCCAUGCAAUGGCUUGAACAGUCAUCCAGCUGUUGUCUUGUCCCUCCUCUUUUUUUGCACUUUCUAACAUUGUGGCCUCGCUGACCACAUCUGCUACAUUUUCGUUGUUGUGGUUGUCCCAUCUUCGUUUUUUUUUUAUUGAACCUUUGGUAAGAACAACUUCCGGAUCUUGUACCACUGUCUCUCUCCUCUCUAAAGGUUGCCUUGCUGGUUCUUUGGUCUGAGACAUUGCCUGCAACUUCAAAGUCAACUGGUGAAUAUAAGUAAUUGCCACAUUGUAUGCGGCCAAACUUGAUCCAACGAAUCUUAGCAAACUUCGACAUGCUGCAUAUAUUUGGCCAAUACGAGCCUGCUCUGUCAUGUAAUGUGAUUUAUUACAACUUAUAUCAGACAAAGUGUGAGCUUUUAUCUUUGCAGUUUUACUCCAUCGAGAAAGAAUCAUCGAACUUGGAAUUUCUGUCAUAUUCUGAGCCUUGAACACAACAAAUGAAUGCGAGCAUGGAAUUCCAAUUGUCUCAAGCAACUUGCAGGUGCAGGAUAAGGUUUUGCUAGUCUCAUUAAUCACUACUUUCACCUAUUUCCCAACCGAUCCAAACCGCCUAACCCUGUACGUUGUUGACAUUAUAUCCCGAUCACACAUUUCUGCAGUUAACAACGCUUCCUUGUCGAUUUCUUCUUGUACGAGGCGAAACAUGGCCCUUGUGAACUUUUCAGCUGCUUGCUGCUCAUACAUCUUUAAAUGUGUAACCAAAACAGGACGUCCAUCAGAACUGUUAAAGUCAUCCUUCCCCUUUGCUUCCUUUUGUCAAUCCAUUAGUCGGUCCAUCUGUUUAACAAAUUCUAUCAAUCGGAGCCUUCUAUUCACGUAAUGGUUUAGAUACGCAUUCAUUCCUUCCGACCUUUGAGUGCUUCUCAUUCCCCCAAAAAACUUUCCCCGCAAAUAAGCCUCAGCCCACAUAUGUCUAUCUUCAAACAUCUUAACAACCCAUUCAUUUGCGGCAACAUCAUGGUUAUCGACCAUCAAUUUCCAUUUUCGGUCAAAUUCUUCUUUUGUGUAAGCGUUCAUCAUGCAGCGGCGGAAUUCUGUUGUAAAUUCAGGGUUUUGAAUAUUUGUUUGAGCAUUUCGGACCAAAUGCCAGCAACACAACCUGUGUGAAGCUUCUGGAAAUGUCUUGCUUAUUGCAUUUCGCAUUGCUUUGUCCCCGUCGGUUACAACUGUCCUCAGAUCCUUGUUGUUCAUGGUUGUCAUCAAUGUCUCUAACAACCAUGUGUACGUGUGUUCUGUCUCAUCUGACAAUAGAGCAAACCCGAAUACAAUUGUUCGCUGAUGGUGAUUUAUCCCCAAAGUAACCACGAGAGGCUUCCGAUAUGCAUUGGUCUUGUAAGUUUGAUAUUUUUUUUAAGAUUUUAAAGAAAUAUCAAUAAUUGAUCCUGGUCAAAAUAUUUGUUUUAAUUACUUAUGAAAUUGUAAAUAUUUGGAAUUGUAAAGGGCGAAAAUGUCAAAUAAAUAGAGUCAGUUCCCCUUACGCAUCAUAAGUUUCAGCCCUUGUACUUUAGUUGUGUCAGUCUAUAAAUUAUUAUUGGGGGUAAUAUUAUCUUUUGAAAGUCAACAGUUAGUCAAUAAAAAAUUUUAACUUACGAUACGGGAUCUUUUACAAAUAAAAUAAUUUGAACCCAUGUACUUGCAACAGCCUCCAACCUCAGGGGAGGUUUUAAAAAUUACCGUUAAUAAACUUUAGCAUUUUAGGGUGACCCUUAAACCUUUUGGAUCCGACUGUCGUGCAAUAGUUGCACGCUACCCCAAAUUUUGUAUUUUUUCAACUCAGCGAACGGAUCAAUGGGUAAAGGGUUCAACGGCUACAAUGUGUUUAACUGGUUCUAUUAACACUUAAGUCCCUACUGUUUAUUACAAAUUCAUAAAAGCUUUACGUUUUUAAAUAUUCACAUACAUAACUUGUGUUAACAUUUUUAAAGUUUGAUCCAUUGACUUAAUUUGGUAAAAAAAAUGAUUGAUGCCUUGAUCGUGUAAAUAUAAUAAUGUAAUAUCGCAUAAAAUGUUUAAACACCUUUUAUAUUAACCUUCAUAGUUUAUAAAAUUAUAAAAUAAAAAAUGGAUUGGGCCACAUUGCAACAGUAGUACCGUGCCACAGUUGUACCUGUCGUUGGAUCUAUUUAAAUGAGUAGGGUGUGUUUGGUACAUUAUAUCAUAUUAUAUUGUAUUGUAUUAUGUAAUGCACAUGUAUUAAAUUAUAUUAUAUUCUAUUACAUUAAUAGUAUAUUAUAAUAAUUAUAAUUAUAUUAUACAACGUUUGGUAAAUGGUAUUAUCAUGUAUUGCAUUAAUCUUAAGAAUUUAGUCAACUUAUAUUAUUCUAUAUUCAUUAUUAAUUAUAUAAAAUUUUAUUUUCAUAUAAAUUAUUGUUAAAUAAAUAUAAUAUCAUAUAGAAUAAUAUUAUAUUAUAAUAUUUUAAUCUUUUAAUUUAUUAUAAUAAAAUAAUCAAAAUGAUUAAAAUAUAUUCAAUGCUUAAUUAAGGUUAAAUAAUAAAAUUAACAAAAUAUAUUGAUGACGACGACAACGACAUUAAUAUUAAUAUAAUAAUAAAUAUAAUAAAAAUAAAGAAAUUUAUUAAUAUUAAAAUUAUUCAUAUAAUAUAAACAAUAAAAUCAUAAUAAAUUCAAUAUUAUUAAUAUAAUAAUAAUGACAUUAAUAAAUAGUAAUAAAAACAGGAGGAAACAGUUAAUGUUUUACUCAAAAGACAUUUUAUGAUUUUAUCCAGAGAAAAUUACCUAUAUCUACAAAUUUGUAACUUAUGGUAUGUAUUCAGUUUUCUUAUAAAGUGAAAGGUAAUAUUGUGUAAUUUUUGGAAAAAGACAAAAUUCAGUGAUACCGUUAAACUGUUACACGGUAGGCGGACCCUUGUCAUGUGCCUUAAUAUGACACCAACUUCAAGUGGUGCAUUACUAAUCCAAGGCGUCACAUUAAUACUUGCUUGCCACUUAUUAUUUGAUGCCAUUUGGUAUAAUGUGUACUUGGUAACAGAUGUUUAAUGCUUCAUCAACAUUUUGCACGUUGUGAUGACACCAUGUUCAAUUCACUUGUUGUAACACCACCCGUUUUUUGUUUCAUCUACUCUUGUGCAUUCCUGAUUUGCAACUCCUUUUGUUCCUUAUAAAACCACAACUAUUCAUGGACACUCCAUAUUUUUUACGUGAGUCACAUACAACGUUUUACACUUACUUACUGUUACGGUUUGAGGUUGUCAAUAAGUAAUAUUACAUUUUCGUUACAGCAUCGAUUACCAAACGGGCAGGUCGCAUAAGUGGCUUUCUGUUUCAGCUAUCAUCAAUCAUUCAGGUGCAUCAACAAAGGAUAUGGGUCAUUACAUAAUAUAAAUCAGUCUGUCCAAGGGAAUUCAAGGAAACCAGUUGCAAAUGUGUUUGUUCGAAGUUACAAAAGCACAUAAAUAUAUCACAGAAAACAUAUCCAAUGGAAAUAUUACACAUUAAUUCCAGCUCCAAUGGAAGUCCCGCAGCAUAUCGAACUCUAAUGACAUGAAUCGGCCCCAAUAACACCAAACACAUCUAGUUGACUGUUUCCCUAGUAACCCGAAUGUUAACAGUAGGAGACUGUAUUCGAAAGUUGAGAAUUUUGCGACAGAGUGUUUGCAAUCUGGCGCCUUGAACACUUCCGUGGCAGUGGUAUAUGAACUUGUCCAACACUUUACUAUGCCACAGGAAGUACUCCACCAGGCGUACGUCAUCUUUUCCGUCAGUAAAUGCUUUCAUCUUUAUUUUUUUGACGCAUUCACUCAAGCAAUGGGGCACAUUUUCUGUCUCCAGCCACCCAAGUUCGUGGUCGUUUACGUCGAACCAAUCUCCCUGAUAAGUUAAAACAGGCAAACCCAUGGUUAACAUAUUGAACCUAGUUCCUGAUGACUGCACAUGACUAUUGUCUUACUGACCUUCGUUAAUAUACAAGUACGCAAGUUGUAGGUGGCAGUGAGGAUAGUAUGUAGACCUUUCCAGCCACUUCGUCGAACUUCAACAUCCAAAAAGGUGAGGUUGUCAAACCAAAUCAGGGACUGCCUUUCGCAUGCCCGCUUAAGUGCUUGUGGUUUAAUUGGUUAUUACACAAACAACAACAAUAACAACGUUCUGUCACUUUCAAGUAACAAAUAAUUAACCAACUUAAGCCCUUUUGUUGAAAUGCAAAAUUUGGCCUGAUUGUCCAAGGCUUGCUGACAUUCCUUAACAGUUCAAGCAAAACAAUACAUCUCAGCCUUAUGAUCAAUACAAAAACCUAACAGUCAUAACAGAUGAAAAAAUUGUAUAUCAAUCUCUGUCUACCUUUCUCCCUGCAGCGCCGCUCUGUCAAAAUAAUACUAUGUACAUAUCACAUUCGGAUUGAGGACAGCGGCGCAGGGAGAGUUUCAUAAAUUAUAUAAAUUUAUGACAGUACAUGUCGUCAUUCAUCAUCCAUAUGUAACAUAGGUUAACAAUAUAUAAUUCAUUUCACAUCACCAAGUUCAAACAACACACAAACCUUUAUAUCAUCUUUUUGUGGUAAUUGUUUUGCUACUCUACAAGGACUCAACCACCACCAUUGUUUUUUGUUGGUGAAAUUUAGGAUCAUGUUUCUGACAUUUGCAAUUUGACAGUGGAAAUAAUGACAAUUUAAACUACUAUAUAAUCCAUUUACAUGCAAUUACUUACUUGGCCAAUUUAAAUGUCAAACCAAUCUUAAACUAAACUUUAUACUAAUUGCAUGUGUGUGAUCACGUUGUUACAUUGAUACAAUAUGUCACAUUGCAAAUGUUACCCCUUAUAUGCUAGUUUACAACCUAAAAUUACCCGGUACUUUUUUUAAAUGAAUAUUUAGAUGCUGGUAUAGUAUGGGAAUGCUUACCAAAAGAACACCACCGGAUAGGAUCAGACGAGCUGUUUUUGCGACACCCUCAAUGAGGUUGCGAGCACGUUGUGGAUCAACUGUAUCCGAUUCCCAAUGUUGAAGAUCUAAAGUUGCUUACUGGAUGGAUUGCAUCUCAUGUACCUCAUAUUCCAUCAACAUGUUAUCAACAAUAUGGAUUAGUUGGAGAUUUGGCGCCAUAAUGACAGCACAAUGGUGGUAUGACAUCCCUCGCAACGAGGUGAAGAGAACAACAAACGUCAGUGUGUUAAGAGUUGCCGACUGAAUGAUGAAGUUCGCUGGAGGAUCAUCUGGUUGUAUCAAAAUUGUCAGACAGAGUUCCGUCAGUGAAGGGCAACUACAAAACAGCUUCUCUUUAACUCGGUUUUCAAGAUGGGUAAUACAUAUUUGAAGAAUCUUCAGUUGGGGAAAACACACACCAUCCGGAGGAUCUUAUAAGCGAAAUGCAGUGUGUAGUCGAAGAACUUCAAGCGUCAUCGAGCUGUACACAUAUGCAGGCAACUGCAUGGGUGCGUACUGGAUAAUAUCGAUUUCCAUCUCCCGAACAUUCCGCAUUAUUACCUGAGAUACCCACAAAGGAAACCGAUCACUACGUAUAGCGUUGACACUCUGAAGAGAGAACGUAUGUAUUGAUACGGGGUCCGUUCCAGCCAUCACUGAUUCUAUGAAGUUGUUAAAUUCAUCCACCAGGUCAGGAUUGUCAGCAGCAGCCCCCAUGGGACCCCCAUCAUCAAAGCAGAGGUUGCGAACUGAGGUCCAUACAUGCCUCCAUCUUCGCGAAAGACUUGAAGUGGCCACUGCAUCUUCGAGUGGCAGAAAAUUUAGGAUAUUGGACAUCACAGAAUCAGGCAAUGCACUAAUCCUGUCUUCGGGUACUUUUUUUAGCACUCUUCCCCGUCGGAUCCGCGGAACCGAACCAGUUGAUCUCCUCAUCCUUAAGGCAACUCACCUUGGCCUGUGGGACCAUUAAAUACAUUUAAAUUCAUAAUAAUCUGCUACAAAAAUCAAACCAUUUACACAGACGUUAUUUAGAUGUACAAUGUAGGUUGUUAAAUUCACUUCCACACACAUGGUCAUAGUUAACAUUUAUAAAUAAUUUAAAGGUUUAAUUAAGCAGUUACAGUAUGAAUUGCAUUCAAGCAUAGAUUUUUUAAAAAUGAAAAUUUUAUUGACUCAUCCUGAAAAUUAUAUAAUCUAUUGAGGUCGUUGAUUAAUCAAUUAGAAUCAGGUGUACAGAGAUAAAAUAAUACACACAAAAGUCCAGACAUUUCACCAAUUAGCUAAUCCUUUUAGUAUUAUUCCCCAACUUAAAACGAUAUAUCCUAAAACCUUAUCCUUUGUAAGCAUCGCGAUGAAUUUCCCUAACAUAUAUCCAACACAAGCAUUCAAUGUUUAGGUUCAGACUCAUUAACAAAGAUCCACCAUUGCUAACUUAUCGUCGUCAAAAUAAAACAAAUAUGGCACAUUCGCGAAUGAACCAAACAAUUCACCAAAAGGAUAGAAAGUAGAAGGGUUCAGCUGUCUAACGAAAUAUUAGGGGCAAUAAUGGGGAAAAAACAAAAAAAAAAUUGAUGCAUUUGUUCUGGGAACUGUCGUCGUUAUGUAGUGAGUUAAUGCUUGUUUUGUUUGGUGGUUAUGUUAUUGGCCACUGGGCUGUACAUUCCCGGGAUGUGUGACUACAUUGAUCAUUGUCACUCUCGAGAUUGCGGCUUCAGUUCAAUCCGUUAUGAAUCCUUGUGCCAUUGUGGCAACUGGCAACUGCCAUGUGAAAUUGAAAUAUUUGCUUCAGACAAUUACUCGGUGCUUCAAACAAUAAUAUUGUGGGCCCAUUGUUUAGGUCAGUCGCUUUCUCACUUCCCUUGUCUUUCUGGAUUGAACACGUUUGGAUGGUCUUUCAGUUCAACCUUUUUCAUUGCCUCAUUUGUCUCUUGUGGUGCUUGUCAACUUUAGAUCCUUCCAUACUUGGCCGGACACACAAAUUUAAUUUUUUAGAUUGCAUGGGGCCAUGGAAGUAUGAUGACUUCAUUCGGCAUGUGCGCAAUGUGACAACAAGUUUUUUCAUUUUUCAAUUAUGUCCUUUUUUAUUUAAUAUUAUUUAACCAUAAGCUUAUUAUUAUAUUUGUUCUUUUAUAAUUAAAUAAUAAAUAAAAAUAAAAUAAACAUAUUCAGUAGUUAGCAUUACAAAUUGAGACAUUUUUAUUAUUAUUUAUUUUUGUUAUUUAAUAUUAUGUACACAUACAGUUAUUAUUUAAACUAAUGCUUUCAUCAAACAAAAUAAUGCAAAAUAAUAAACAAAUCAUUAGUAACAAGUGUUAACAAAUAAAAUUAUUCUUUUAAUUUACCCAUAGGCUUACAAUUAUAAAUAAGCUUAUUUGAAAACUAAAUAAUAAACAAUUUUAAUAGUGUGUUACAUAUUAUAUAUAUAUAUAUAUAUAUAUAUAUAUAUUAUAUAAAAAACCUCAUUUUAUUUUAAUUUAGUCAUGUAGGUGCAAUGGCCAAGUCCGAAUGUUCAUAUUUGACCUUUUUUUUUUGCUGCGAGUUUAUACGUGUUAAUAUAUAUGCGAAUUAUUAUUUAUAUUAAACUAUAUGUUUCUCUUUGUACAUAUUUAUUGAUAUAUAAAUUUUAUAUGUUUCUCUUUGUACAUUUGUCCCUGCUUUAAUUUAAUCUUUAUCUGAAGGUAUUAUUAUGAAGAUUCUAUUUAACUUAAUUUUGAUUCGUGUUUUUUUUUAAUUUAUAAAUAAUACCCAAUUAAUUAUUAACUACUUGUCCUUCAGCGGAUUAUGUAGACAGACAAAAGAAGAAAAGGAAUUUAGAGAAAUUAAUGUGCAUUGAGAUAACCGCUAAUGUAGGGACGAAAGAAUUAUGCACAUGACCUUCUUAAUGCAAGUAUGAACUUGGUGAAAAUUGAGAAACUUUUUUUAUGUUAUUAUUACUUAACUUUUUGAACGUGGUUUCUAAUAAUUCGCACAUUUGCUUUUGAUCUUCUUUUGUUUUUAUAGAUCUUUAACAAUAUAAUUUUACUUCUUAUUUUCAUGACUUCUUAUUUGAUUUAUUUUAUUUUUGCAGCAUACUUCUUUAGGGUCUGCCUACCGUGCAACAGUUACACGGUACCAUUGAAUUUUGUCUUUUUCCAACAAUCAUACUACACUACCCUAUAUUUAUAAGAAAACUGAAUAUAUACUAUAAGUUACAAAUCUUUAUAUAUAGGUCCUUAUCUCUGGAUAAAAUUAUAAAAUGACUUUUGAAAAAAAAUUUAAUUGUUAUUAUUAUUAUUUAUUAAUGUCAUUCUUAUUAUUAUUAUUAUUAUUAUUAAAAUUUAUUAUUUUAAUUGUUAUGAUUUUUUUAAUUGUUAUCAUUAUUAUUAUUUAAUAAUUUUAUUACCGUCACUAUUUUUAAAAUAUAUUAAAUUUAUUACUGAAUUAUUAUUGAAUUAUUAUUUUAUUAAUAUUAAUAAAUUUAUUAAUCUUAUUAUUGUAAUUAUUAUAUUUAUAUUAAUGUUGUUGUCGUCAUCGUCGUCAUCAUCAUUAAAUUUUAUAUAUUUUUUUUGUUUUGACUAUUAAAUAAUACCACUGUCAUUAUUAUUAUUUUACCUUAAUUAAGCAUUACAUAUAUUUUAAUUAUUUUUUAUUUUUAUUAUAAUAAAUAAAAAAUAUAAAAAUAAAUUAUAAUAUAAUAUUAUUUUAUUAUAUCAUAUAAUAUUUAUUUAAAAAUAAUUAAUAUGAAAACAAUUAUUUAAUAUCAUUAAUAAUAAAUUUAAAUAUUUUUAGUUAAAUAUUAGUACAAAAUUAAUGCAGUACAGGAUAAUACCAAUUACUAAAUGUUGCAUAAUUUUAUUAUAAUUAUUAUAAUAUACUGCUUAUAUAAUAUAAUAUAAUAUAAUAUAAUAUAAUAUAAUAUAAUAUAAUAUAAUAUAAUAUAAUAUAAUAUAAUAUAAUAUAAUAUAAUAUAAUAUAAUAUAAUAUAAUAUAAUAUAAUAUAAUAUAAUAAUAAUAUAAUAUAAUAUAAUAUAAUAUAAUAUAAUACAUGUGCAUUACAUAAUACAAUAUAAUAUAGUGUGUCAAACGGACCUUUAACUUUUUGAGUGAUGAUGGUCUAGAGGGAUGUAGAGAAAGUAAAAAUAAUCCUAGUAGAUCUUUUACAAUGGUUGAUUAGCUAUCAUCACAAAGUUUAGGCUAAUACAAUAAAAGUUAACGAACUACCUUAUAUUUAAAAGAGCAUUUGGAAAUCAAUAAAUUUACUAUUCAAUUAUUUUUAAUCAAGAAUAAAUAAUAAAUGAUCAUUACAACAAGAUUCACAAGCUCAAAUAUCUUAAAAAAUGAUAAUUCUCAAGAAAUAUGAAACUCAAAUGCUUUUGAAAUAUUCUUCAAAAAAUAAACUAACUUCCUUUUAUGUUAUUCUUUAUUUAUCUUUCUAUAACUUUGUUGGGCUAUGUAUAUAUUGAUAUUUUAUAGGUAAAUUAACAUAUUGUAUGUAUAAAUAAACUAACAUGUCAACUAAUGUUAAAAACAAAAAUGUAAUAAAAAAGUAAAGUUUUGUAAUAUUAAAAUAAUAAAAUUUUACAACCUAAGACUUUUUACAUGUUUUCUUAUUUUGAAAUUUCACCUUUUUUUAUUUUAUAAUUUUCUAAAGUAUAAAGGUUAAUAACCUAUAUUCUUAAAACAUAUUCAAUUUAUUUAUUUUACAGUAAAUAUAGAUUAUAUAACAAAAAAUAUUAUUUACAUUUAUCAAAUUUUCAUGUGUUUAAAAAUUUUAUGUGAUAUUACAUUAUUAUAUUUACACCAUCAAUUAUUUUUAUGAUCAAAUUAAGUCAAUGGAUCAAACUUUAAAAAUUUUAAAACAACAAAAAUUAUGUAAGUGAAUAUUUAAAACCUUUUAGCUUUUAUGAUUUUGUAAUAAACAGUAAGGACUUAAGUGUUAAUAACUAAUUGAACACAUCCUGUCUGUUGAACACUUUAACCAUUGAUCUUUUACAAUGGCUGAGUUGAAAAAAGACAAAAAAAUGGGAUACCGUGCAACUGUUGCACGGUAGGCAGACCCACUUCUUUAUGUUAUUUUGAGGACACUACACAAUACAGCUUUGAACUUAUGAAGAGUUUAGAUGAAGUUGUUGGCAUUUUGUUUAUUUUGUAUUGUAAAAAAUAAAUUAUAUGUAAUACUAUUAUGUUAUGGACUUCAAUCACUGAAGUGGAUUUAUUUUAAUUAUAUGUUACCUGUUUUGUAGUUUGUAAUUUAUGCAUUUGUUUGAGAGCUUCCAAAUUAAUUUAAAAAUAUAUUAUGUUACAAAAUUUUAAUUACUUACAAAAACCUAAUUCACAACAUACAUCUGCAAUUUUUUAAAAGAUAUGUAAUAAAAUAGUAGAAGACAACAUUUACGGCUUGUGGUUAAAAACUUUUCAGCAACAUGCAAAUAACUCAUGUCUAAAACUGUUUUCGUAUGAAUGGUUCCACCAAUUACCUAACCAUGAAAUACUACGAUACUUUUGAUAGUAAUAUUAUGAUUAAGGUGCAUGAUACGAUUAUAUAUAGCAAAAGCCACGCAUCCCGAAAGACAAAUCGAUGCACACAUUGAACAAUUGACAAAUUUGUAAGUGGACCAAUGUACUUAACGCAAAUAACGUGAUAUUUAACACAACACAAGAACUUGUUCUAAUGAUUACAAAAACAAUAGUGGCAACAUCCAAGGGAUAUCUUGUACGUACGCUUCAUUCGUCUACCAAAAAAGACUACAAUAAAGUACAAUAUAUAUAAGUCCACAUUUUCCCUACGUUCACAUAUACUACCAACGAAAGAGGCACACCCCAAAUGUUGAUUAAUGUAACGCUUCCCUAUGAAGCAAAAUCGGGUGAUGAACUCAAGUGGCGCAUUAGGCAGUUCCAUCAGCAGUCUCCACCGUUGUUCCAACGCCGUUAGAUUGGGAUCCAUGGCAAUGAUCGCCUCCCUGCUAGAAGUCAAUAGCGUUUAUACAGACAAAAAUGAAAAGAUCAAUGCCACUAUACAUUUUAAAAAACGAUGAAUUGAUUACCCCAACACGUGGAUAAAAUAAACCUAUGCUAGUUAACGAUAAUAACGACAUCCAAUUAAUUGAAAGCUUUGCAAUCACAGAAAUGCUUCGAAGAAAUUUUUUACCGUGGCCGGAGUUGGAUUUACUAGCUUGCAUGUGCGCUUCCCAUGUCCGUCGGCCUUACACACCGUACACCUGUACUUUUGCUUCACGCCCACAACUUGGGCACGUGGUAUAAUGGGUUGUACAGCCGUGGUUGCUGCAGGGUUUUGGUCAGAAUGGGCCACCGCAUCCUUGACCACCGGGACAUCCUCUCUGGUAUGGCACAACGUCGAGGGGGGCCCAAGUGUUGGAGAGUGAGCAGCGUUAACGGAAAACCGAACUAGAACAUGGAGACUGCAACUUCCCUUUAUCAUGGACAAGUGGAUAAUGUUUUUCAACGCAUCGUCCGUGUUGACGUCCACCAUCCGACCAUCCCACGGGAGAACGACUUUAGGAUGGAAAUAAUGAACCGCAGGAGAAUCUCUAGUCUGCAGCACGAGAGCUGCAAUAUUGCAAAAUCUGAGAAGAGUGUAGUGCAUGGGCCUGAUGGAUUUAAUCAUCAUGGCUGACCCCAUGUACUCCAAGACAAAGAUGAAUGGUGGAGGCAUUAUUGGCGUUACCGUCGCCAUGUAUUAGGGAAACUGAGAUGUAGGUGCGAACUAAAAAAAAUGAUGAUCAACUGCGAUGUUCGUACUAUGUGGUUAUGUAAAGGUCAUUCGUGAAUGGUGGCAAUAUACACAUUCGUUGAUAAUAAUACGCAUUACAGAUAAAAAAUUCAUCCAACUAUUUUGAAUUUAGUGGGAAUUCUUAACCAACGUAAGUAGUCCAUAAAUAUAUGGGUAUUUUAUAUGGCCAAUGAGACAUUAGAAGGUAAUUAUUUCUGUGUUUCGUUUAAAAAUUCCAACCUUAAAUUAACUCCCGCCUUUGAAAGAGGCUGGUUAUAGGCGACAAAAAUACUUCCUACUAUUUACAUACCUUGCCGUUGAAGAUUUUGCACUGACAAACUAACAGUGACAACUACUAUACUGUUUGCAGUGCUUUUAUGGUAACUCACGAUAACGAAGCUUCCUGUGGGGUCAAAUGCGCUGAAUGUUAUUAAUUGCCAAUAUUCACAGCAGUUGCAUUCUGUCAGGGAUAUAUUUUCCAGUCAGUGUCUUCUUGAUAAAGGAACAUGAGGCGGCGGGUUGUUUCCUGUGGAUGGCCAUGCAUUUAUGUAGUGGCCGCCGCUAAGCGAGGCCGUCUGUUGCACCGGUGAAAGGACACGACACAAAGAACAUCGCUUCACCCACGUGGCCACGUUUUCACAGAGGAUGACCGUGUUAUUAGCCUUUUUUAGUUCACUUUUGGAGUGCAUUGAAUCGACUUGACUAGCUAAGUGAUAAUCUGUAAGCUACUGACUGCAGCAUCAGCCGUUGGAUACGGUUGGAUGUGAAGUGAGAAACUAAACUAUAAAAUGGGAUGGUGGGAUGAGGGGAUACGUUUGUUAUGGAAUCUGUACCAUAGACAGGUCCACAUUGAAUAUGUUCGUGCCUCUUUCUUCGAUACCCCCAACACGUGGUAUGACUUAAAUCCACACACGUUCAAAAGUUAUCACGGCAUUUACAUCUACAGCCAAAAGUUCAAACUGGUUUAUGGGAAGUAAUCUGUCAAUUGGGAAGCUUCCUGUGGCCUUGCACACAUCGGGUUCAUUGACUACAGCAGUGGAAAACGAGAAGGGUAUUGACGGAAUAUAGAAUUUAUUUGAAUUAUUUGUGAUGAGACAGAAGCAUUUGCUUAUUAGUUAAAGUGACCGUUGAUAUCUUCCCGUUGUGAACCAUUACGUGGAAAUGUCCCAGCAAUGAAUGAGAGUUUAAAUACCGCCUUCUAUCGUUUUGCAUCUAUGAGGGUGCACAAUAUUCUUCCAAGAAAACCAUUUUUCGCAUGUCUUCGUCGACCAAUAGCACCAAUAACAUGAGUAACAACCACGACGGUGGAGAUCGUCGUAGGUGGAUUAAGUUGAAAAAUUGAUAUUGCAACUGUUAUAAUGGCCGGCGAGCUGUAAUACGGAUUUCUAAAUCGUCAAAGAACCCAUGACGUCUUUUAUUUUACUGCGACACCUGCAAGUUUUUGCAUUGGUGGACUCCGGAUAACGAUGAAUGACACAGUCUUCGUGAGUAUGUGCAGGAACGGACAGGAGCCUACCGUCUCAGUCGCUUACAUGUAGUGGCUUGCUUUGUUGGGAUCAUUAUCUCGAAUAUACUGGCAAGAGCGUUGGUUGUGCUAUACUUAUGGUGGUUUUCGGUGAGGACCUCGGCCGAUCCAGGAGUGACGAGCCAGUGGUUUUAGUUUCAGCAUGGGUAGCAGUAUGGUGGGUGUUAAAGUAUAAAUAGUUUCCAUGUAUAUGUUUUAAUUUAGAGCUGAUCCAGCAAUAAACAAGUGUCACCAGUAAAUUUACAUCGUUUUUUUCCAAGUAUAUAGUCAUUGUUUUUGUGCAUCGUGGCUUGAAAGUGGGGCUACAGUGUUUGUUUUAUUCACGUUAGGCGCAAAUCAUGCUAAUCAUCGUGUUUGCUAUGAUUAGUAAGGGGAUUGUUAGGGCUAAGAAAAAUGAAAUUAUUGACCUCCCUGUCAAAUAUUGUUACUAGCUCCCAUGCACUAUAUCGUUGAAGGCAUCUAUUUUAUUGUGCAUUAAGGUAUUGAAUGUGUUGAGAAACAUACACUGUUAAUUCAAGUCAGUUCCCCUUAGUUAGGAUAGAACGAAGCAUGGUUGCAAAUUGAAAAUAUGGUCGAAAAAGACGUCCUUUUAUUAAUCCACCAGGUGACAACAUUCUGGGCGAAGGGUCAUAUUUGUAAAAACCAAGCUGACAAAACAGGAAAACGCUAUUGAUGCAAGUCUGCAACACCAACAACUCAUUUUUUAACAAUCUAGAUGCUACCCCUUAUAUGCGAUUACGAGGACAAAAAGAAAUAAAUAAUAAGACCUUCGCUACCAUUAACGAGAAAAGGAAAAUGAGUUCGCUAUGUGAGCAUUUUUGAAAUAAGUGGCAGCAUUUAGAAUUGUGCAUCUUCAGUGUGGACGUUAAUGGUAGCGCAUGCGAUUGUAGACCAACCAUGCCAAGCCGAACAUUAUGGAUGCCUCAUCAGCCUCGAUGUGAAAAGUGAAAUUUGAAAGAAAGCCGUCCCAAGUGAGAAACACAUCAACGAAUGACGACGUAAACAGCACCUGGCACGUCCGCGAUUCAAGAUUGACCGCUAUGUGGAAGUUCAUGAUCAGGUGAGAAAUCUGUUCCACCUUGAGGAAAGGCAUCGUAAAAAACAAUGUCAUUUUACAGAAAAAAAAAUAUUUGAAUAACAGGAAAAAAAAUCCACACUUCCUAAUUGGAUGUGCCCUAGAGUUUGGAAGCCGUAAAUCGCGACAAAAUUGCCGCAAUUCAGCCCUUUUAAACUGAAACAACUACCGCCGGAUAACAGAUAUCCGUAUCGAAGAUGCACGUUAUAAAUGACCCACAAAAGAGGAAUGAGGUACUGAUUUAGAAAGCGAUAAUGGAGGUGCUGGGAUGAGAAACGACUGUUUGUACACCCAAAUGAAGCUGGGUCCCUCAAAAGAUACAUUUUGUGAACUAUAAUUAAUCGUGGACCAUGAUCAAACGGUGGUGCGACUGAUAGUAUAACCCCCUAAACCGAAGCUUCACCAUAAGUACAAUAACAUGGGGGGAACUGAAAUAAUAUGUUAAUAGUCCUCAUUAACAAAGUUGAACCAUGGAGAUGUAUAUUAAGUAUAUAACAAACGUUCAAAAGUUGUAUACUCAAGUGAACAGGUUGUACAAGUUUGGAAGAGGGUCACGCGGACGAUUGGAGGGACGUUAACGCAUGUAAGAGAAGUGGACCGGCCAUGGGAUCAUAAUAUCAGCACUGAAACAUUUUACCAUAUUUCCCAAUACAUUUAUCACAGUUGUAAAAAAACUAAGCAUCAAAGCAGGAAAGCAUCGAACUGAAAAGAUCAUGUGCAUAGAGAGACGCGUCGAACCUGUGAAUGCUCCUGUUAGUUGGAGUCCCGACCGGAGACGCGACGUGCUGUACACAGCAACAACUCCGGGAAGAUGACUUCGAACUAACAGAAGGAAAAGUGAGGCGAACUUGUCAAAAGCAAUGACAAUCUUGUCACUGACUAAAAUUAUAUGUGGACGAUAACCAGCGAGUGCUAGCAUCUUAGGCCGUGUUUGGACGUGUGCAAAAAGAGGGAAAUAACUUUUGUGUAAGUUUUAAUUAAUAGUAAACACAACCGUACAUAAAUACCGUAAUUUAUCAACCGGGCAAAGCUUACCUUACAUAUAAUGUAACAAAAAACCAAUGAAUAUAAGUCAUUGAUUUUGAUAUUCCUUAAAUCCAAUGGAAAAAAUUAAUUUUAACAUAAAACAAAAUACAGGUGAAAUAUAUAUUGAUAAAAGCUUUUAUUUAUAAUCAUAUAUUUACGUAAUUUUUCAAAUACGUCCUCAUUGAGUUUUUAUAAUGAAAUGGUUUUUUCAUUAAUCUUUUCUACAUUUAUUUUUAAACUGUAAACAUUUUUUACAAUAUUUUUAUAAAGAUUUAUAUGAUUAUUAUAUUCAUAAAGAUCCACAAAUUUUGAAUAUAUUUUUGCGCUUACAUUUAUAAUUUCUUGUCUCUCUGGAGACAUAAACUAAAAUUUUCUUCUAACACAUACACACAUUCAAUCUAUUUUCGUUCUUAAAUACAUAGCAUCAAUGCCAUCACACAUAUUUUGUAAUCUAUAUUUAGUAUCAUGAAUUAUAAUAGACAUUAUAUGUAAUGAAUAUCUUAUAAAUCUAAUGAAUUAUUAAAAAGAUGGUACAAUGAAUAAAUUACCAAAACCUCUAAUAAAAAGAUUACAAUUCUUUGAUCUUAUCAAUGAUUCAAACAUGUGGAGAAAUAAUCAAUUAAAUUGAAUGUUACUAUUUUUAUUAAAUAAAUUAGAAAAUAUAAAUAUUUCUAUAAAUGAUAUAGAAAUGGUAAACAAAAUAUUAGAAAUUCAUAAUUUCAAUGAAGGAAUAUAAAAUAAAAUAAAAAGUUAAGAGAUCAAGUGAUCAACUUAGUAAAGAAUUUAAUAAAGUUAAACAAUUCAUAAAAGACUUCAACAUUAAAAAUCAUGAUAUAUUAAACCAAGAGAUUAAUAAUAUAAUGAAUAAAAAUUCAAUAGAUAUAAAAUUUAACAAGUUAUAGAUUCAAUGAAAUAAAAUAAAUAAAAUCGUUGAGCAGUUUCAUACUAACUUUGCUAUAAAUAUAAAUGAAGAACUUCAAAAAAACUUCAAAUAUUGCUGCUUGGGUGCAAACAACCUGGAGUAUAAACAAUCUGGGGUAUAAUGUAAAACAUUAAAACUUAUUGACUUUUUUAAUAAUUAUUAUCUUUUCUAAGGGUUUAAGAAUUUAUAACUGUAACAUACAACUAAUGUAACAUGAGCUUUGCCUAUCAACCGUAUUAAACAUCCAUGGAAAUGUAUUGAAUGUUAUUAGUAAUCGUGAAUUAGUUGUAGACGAUGCGUGCAUGUAGGGAAUUAUGCACAUGGCUGGAUCUAGUAGUGGUAUGAUACCAGUGAGCUACCAUAGUUUUCUCCGUAAAGAUGUAAUAAUUAGAAUAGUUUGAAAGGAAUAUUUUUUUUUUCCCAUUAUAUGAUGUAGGUCCCCCACAUCUUAUAUUUGUAUGUAAACAUAGGGCAAAACGAUAACAUCACUUCAAGCAGCCAGUUUCAUAGAUUGAUAUUUCCAAUUUUUCUUUUAAGUUGACCUUAUAUUCGCACAGUAAUACACACAAUUACGAAUCUAAUUUUUGUGAUCAUAGUAUAAAUAAGUACCCGCGAGAAAUAUGUCUUGUACAGUAAAAUUACUGUUACAAAUAACAGACAAAUUUGUCACUUCAUUAUAGGUAUAACAUAGUACACUCAAUUUAUUUCGCCCAAACUAAUUUAAUUAUAGUGAGACAUUCUUAACUGUUGCAGAAUAAAGUAAUUUCAAUUUUCAACAAAAAUGUGUAUUUUUUAUUGAAUGUAAUGUAAUAUCUAUUUCCAAUAUUAAUCUCAUGUAAUAGUUUAAAAAUUAUGACAAUUUACCAUGAAAUAUAUUAGUUAUCACAAGUUUCUCUAUUACUUGUCAUCGUAUCAUUAAAUUAAAUAGGCAACAUUAUAUUAUUUAUUAAUUAAAUCCCAAAAUAGUUAUGGUGGUUUGAUGAAUAAAUUGUAAGGAUUGUUUACUUUUCUUGUUUUGUUUAAUUGAUGCACUGCUUUCUUUCUAAUUAUUUAACUAUCGAAUGUCAUGCUAUCUAAAGUCUAUAUGUAUUCAAAUGACGGGAAUCAAGACCUCUCAACAAAUUUCGAAUAUAUAAGAUUGAAACAGCACAAUGUGAAAUACUAAUGUUCAUUUUAUCCUGUAACAAUAUGAAGAAGUUGUACAAUUUAUUAGGAAUUGACCAUAGUUGUGGAACGAAUUGUAAAGCAUAAUCUGGGAAUAGUAAGGAGAUUGUUGUGACCAAUACAACAAAAAACAAAUCAAAUACUUAGUAAAAUGUUGUUACAAAAUAAUUACGUCCACUGUUAACUUGGAAUUCACAUGAUAUUCCCCUAAGUGUAUUGAUGGUAACAUAUGUUGCACGGCUUAUAAAACCCCCGAAGUUCACAAAUUACACUGCAUAGGCGUGAGACUGGGGCCUGACAUUUUGUAUUAUUGAUACGGGCUGGGAUAAACGUCCAUGUGACAAUUACGUCGUUGGUCCUUGAAGAUUAGGAUAUUUACUGACGAAGUGAUAUCAUGGUUUCCACCCAGUAGUAGGGAUUAGUUGGUUAGAACAGGGGAGCUAUUUGCCAUGAUGGUAGGUUUUUUCAGAACGCGAGGGAGUGUUGGUAAAAGUCUGGGAAAAAGGAUAGCUCAUCGAAGCUUCGUAGCGGACAAAAGCGGCGGCCAAGUACAGUUUCCCACGCAACCACUGACAAUGAAAGGAAAGAAAUUGCAAACUUCCGGCAUUUUAAUUUAUUUUUGUGGCAGUCGUUGCUUUGGAAGGUUAAUCCAUAAAAAUAAGGUGAAAUGAUGAACGACAUUUGCGCAGGAGAGGAAAUUUCUUUCCAAAAAUUUCAUCAUAGGGAGUUUCAUAAAUCUGUGCAUGAACAGGAUCCUGUAAAGACUACAUGUGAAACCCAUAUAUCGAUUCGAAGGAAUAACUUAGGAGUGGGAGCCAACAACACCACAGAGAAGGAGAGUAUGCUAAAUACAUACUUCACAGAGUGACACCAGGUAAACAUCAAAAUUAUAUCGUGCUCAUGUUUAUUAAUGACAAGUCUGUCUCACAUAUGUUCAUUCCGCUGGGCAAUGAAAUUGCAUGUGACGGAAAUGUAAUAAUCACUUUAAAACUGCUGUAUGGGUAGUUUAUUGUAGCACGAAUCAGGUUUGCAAUCGUACGGUAGACGCAUGUUUACAUUACAAAAAAUUGUUACGUUAGCUAUUACUUACAACUUCUCUGUUGAAUAACAAUGUGCAUUUCGUUUAAAUUUGUCAUAUUAAACUUGCAUUUAAAAUGUAUAUUUGGCCACACCAUUAAUUACUUGGGAAGAUGGCCAGUUAUGUGCAUUAUUUGAAGAAACUAUCCCGCAUUUCACAGUUUAGGCCGUCAUGGAAGAGCAUCAGCAUAUCAAAUUUUUCAUUUGCUCAUGCUUGUGGUGAUUUAAUAAACAGAUAAACCAAAUUCAAAGCAAGUCAUGGAAGAGGAUCAGCAGUCUGUUGUCAAAGGUAUAAAAGAGCCAAAGAAGCGCAGGCUUAUUAGUUCUACGAAUCACGCUGACCUCUUGAACUGUUCGCCAGAAUAUGUUCGUUCCUGUAGCUCAACAAAUAGACGAACGGCUAUAUUGGAUACUGACAUGGCCAAAUUGCAAAAGGCAUUAUAGUUUAAGAAUGAAAAAUAUAAUAGAAAAAUGUCCAAGGAGUUAUUUCCCAGUACAAAAGGCAAGGACGAACUGGUAGAUCAACAAUGUCGGGUGCUUGGCAAGGGUAACCCAAGUUGCACGGAACAUCUAAAAGGGAAUAAACAAACCCCUGUGUUUCUUAAAACACGUUGGCCAACAGGGUGGUACUCGGAUGAUGAACGAGACACGUUGGCAGACGUAAACGAUGAUCAACAACAAUUAGAAGGAUACUCGUCAGAAAAAGAGAAGGACAAUUUGUACGGAUUGGUAGAAAACCAAUUAGAUGAAGAUGUGGGUGACUGGUUCAUAUUUGAUGACAGUGUACAUCAUAGACUAGUAUUAUAUCACGGCCAGCGAUUUAAAGAUGUGACCCAGUUUAGGAACACUAUUCAAGUGUAUGCAAUUCGUGAACGGUUCAAGUUGUGCAUUAUGGAAAAUCGAUCUCACAUUGUCAGUUGCGAGUGUUCUGAUCUUUCUUGCGACUGGCAGGUUAAAGCAAUCAGAGAUGUCCGUGGUAAGGGUUUUGUUAUAACAGAAUUCUCACUAAAACACAAUUGCCCUCGACUUGACCACGCAUUCCACCCUGCAUCAAAGUGGAUUUCAGCAAUGUUUCUUCAUCGAUGGAAAGAACAGACAAGUAUCACCACAACAGAGGUCAAAAAUGAUAUUGAAUCCAUGUAUAGGAUUAAAUGCCCUGAGUGGAAGGUGUUUUGUGCAGCAAACAGAGCAAAACAGAUUUUGGGCCUGGAUUAUGACGAUGGUUAUGCAAUGCUGCAUCAGUUCAAAGAAGAAAUGAAAAGGAUCGAUAGGGACAACAUCGUGCUUCUAGAAACUGAGAGCCAUGAAUCACGAAAAGAAGAAAGGUUCAAGAGGGUGUUUGUAUGCUGUGAACGUACAUCCUAUGCAUUCAAGGUGCAUUGCCGAGGUAUCCUAGCUGUUGAUGGUUGGGAAAUUAACAAUCCGUGCAAUAGUGUCAUGCUGGUGGAAGCUGGACUUGAUGGGAAUAAUGGGAUCUUAACAGUUGCCUUCUGCGAAGUUCAAGUCGAAGACUUGGAUUCUUGGGUUUUUGUUUUAAAGAAUAUCAACAGCGCGCUGCGUUUGGAGAAUGGCAAAGGUCUAUGCAUAUUGGGUGAUGGAGACAACGGUGUUGAAUACGCUGUUGAAGAAUACCUUCCUAGAGCUGUGUACCGACAGUGCUGCCACAAGAUUUUCAACGAAAUGGUCCGGAGAUUCCCCACAGCACCUAAACAGCACUUGUUCUGGUCCGCUUGCCGCACCACGAGUGCUACAAGGUUCUAUAACUAUAUGGAAUUGAUAUAUCUUGGAAGUCAACAAUGCCAUGACUGGUUGAAGAAUUCAAAUUGAGAAAGGUGGGCACUAUUUUGUAUGCCUCAUUAGGUUAAGUGUACCUGUGUCACAUUAACGAUUACUGAGAAACUUCGCACUUCCUUUGACCACUAUUUGGAGAUGAGCAUUACUAGAAGAUUUGCGGCCAUUGCACGCUCAACGGCUGAAAUUUUCGAACGUAGAAGGAUGGCUGUCUGGAAAUAGUAUAGGGAGAAAAUAACGCCCACAGUUCAGGAUAUCAUUCACAACCGUUGUAUUGAUGGUCGGUGCUUCAUCGUGCGUAAGCAGACUGGCACAAUAUUGGAACUGACUGAUAGUUGUUCAUUAUGUUAUGAGCUAAACAUGGAUGCGAUGCCAUGUAGUUGCGGAUUAUGGCAGAUCUCAGGAAUUCCAUGUGCUCAUGCUUGUAGGGGAAUCAAAUAUAUGAGGCGCAAGAUUGAAGACUAUGUGGACAACACGAUGUCUAUACAAAAUUAUAUAUCCACUUAUGCGACAUGCAUGAUGCAAUUACCUCAAGAAUAUGCUUGGAAGUGGGACGCAGGUCACACCCUGCUUCCACCCAUCAGUUUGCCUCUCAAACCAAUUUCGGCCAAAGGCACCGAUGACUUGACAUCCAACAAACAUUUACUACACACGGCUGAUCAGUACCUCACACCUACACGUAACCUUCAGGUGCAUCUUUUCCUUAUACAACUUCUAUGUAUAUUUGCACUGCACAUCCUUAAACUAAUGUCACCUUUGCGAAAACUUAUAUUAACUCCUUCACUACAGUGGACACAGGAUAAGAAUUCGAGCAACUCUUCUGAACAUUCCAGCCUCCUCAGGCUCAUAUCCACCACCAGCUCUAAUACUAUUAGUAAGGAUCCGUUACUUUUUACUAUAUUUUGCAACAAACUCAUAAGUCAUUCACAAUUCCUUAGUGUCCAUGCUUAUGACAACUGCUCUUAACUCACUAAAUGAUUUUUACCUCAACAUUCUACCAAAUUCACAACUACCAUAUGUAUAUAAUGUGCUUAAUUGCAACUAAACUAUUUUCUGUUCGGCUGGUUCUUCUUUUAUCUAUGCCUAUGCAAAUAUUGUGACAGUGACAGAACCAAUGCUGCUCCUGACAUAAACAACUUUUCAUAUUCGCAUACUGCAAUGUAUCUGUUGCUAUUACUGCCAUCUUUAACUAAUGACCAAGAGCUUCAAGCAUGUGAGGGUGAAAUAAAACUUUUGCACAUUCGACUGACACCAUCCUUGUUGGAUGGUAGUGGUAUCCAAUUACUGUUAUAAAUGUGUCGAAUAUGAUUGUGCCAUGCUGAGAAUGACGUCAAUGUGAACUUUAUAAUUGCACUGUUUCUUAAUGACUAUUACUGCCUAUUACUUAAUUUUUUAUUUUUCCUUGGUUGUUUCAACUGGGAGCCCAAUACUUAAAAUUUGUGCUCUAUAAAAAUCGUUGCACACCAGUGCAAUUUCUUUUCCUUUAAAUAUAGAAAUUGUUUAUCUACAAAAGUUUCCAUAUUUUCACACAAUAUGAUCAAUUUAUUGUAUUGCAGGCCUCUGAUAACGGUUUCAAUUGGAUGGAGGACUUGCACUUCAACUUUUGGCCUGCAGACCACCAUUUUUGGAGAAUGGCGCCAAUGGUGUAUUAUAUAUGUAUUGGUUUGUAGUGGGAUGGUGCAUGUUUUGUAUUUGGCUUCUGGGAAGAUGGUUACUGGUACAUAAAAACUUUAACUCUCAUAUAACCAACUUUUGAUAUCCACCAUAACCAACGUUUUUUGUUUGUGAAUGCCGUUUAAUUAACUACGACCAGUUUAAUCUGCAUCUAUUCCCUGUAUGCUUUUGCACUCUUUGUUUGUUUGCUUGUGUCUAAUAACUGUAAUGUCUCAACUUUUGAUGCCGUAGCGUGUUCUAAAACAUCUAAAAUGUCAGCACUAUAGCCAUUAUUCUCUUCUUACUACCGUUACCUAUAAAAUAAAUCCCGAUUUUGCAUUGUCCAUCUCCAUAAUUCCUCCAACCCUUAGAAUGGUUGUUUUGUUUUUCAGAACUAAUUGCCGUUUUUCUUCCCUUACAAACUUUCUCUCUUCCCCUAUUGAGGACCACCUACACAAAUCUGUAGUUUGGAGACAACCAUUUCCUAUUAUCUACACAAUUGUCCUGAAUAAUUAUAACUGUCACUAAAUCGCCUCCUCUAUCAAUUUCCACGGUUCUAACAUAGUAGGAUCCUAGUGAUUAUGUUCAUAUUCUUUUCAUAUGUAAUCUUCUCCAGCUUUUAUAAUUCAUACUCAUUGUAUGUGCUUCACCCAACAUUGUCGUCGCUCUUGCUUUGCAAAUUCAACGUCAACUAUUGGAGAAUAGUAAUAGGCACUGGGGACAUACCCAUUCGGUGGAGCAUAUUAUGCUUCCAUUCAGUGAACCUCUUCCACGACCUUAACAUAACCCAAACACAAUCUUGUGAAAAUCCCCCAAACCAUCCCACUCUGGAACAAUUUCAGUCGGGGUAGUUUAGAUAUAUCCCCGCCAAUCACUGAAUUGCUCGGUAAUUAAAAUGCUGACAUGAUACCCUCUUAUAUUUGGAAUAAAUAGAUAUAUAUAUUAUGCAUAUUUAGGUACCUAAUCAAUUUCGAUGCCACCAACAAAUAGGAUACGGGAAAAUAAAAAAAUAACUAUAACGAUAGAUCAUCCAAUUUUACGACUCAGUUGUGGUGGCCAAAUGUUACCAUCCUCCAAAUAUCUCAAUAGAACUGCAAAUACAUCAAACAUGCUUAUUACAGUUUUACAAGGCCAAAAAUAAAAUUUCUAGGCCUUCAACACCCCCUUCCAGUGCCUUCUCUAGAACCAUUACGAAACUUCCAAUACCUUGUCAGCAACCAUCACCAGUGAUUACAUACCUCAUUCUUCUAAAUCCUAACACAACAUAAACAAACAAAAUACAAACAUGUUUAACCAUUGUAAACGUAAUAACUAACUUAUAUAACAAUAAAAAUUUACGCUAUAUAACUAUACAGCCUCCACAUCUGUUUCAAUCUAUGAUUCCUCGUCCACAAUCUUCACUUCUGCUGUACAGGUAGAUGCCACAGGUAUUAAAUAAAUACUAAUGAGACCACAAUUAAGUCAGUAGUACUUGCGUUUAACAAAUGAAUAUUUUAUAUUACAGUGUAAACCAUAUACCUCCACAACGAGCACACAUCCAUUAUUCAACUUUCACUACACAUCAUAGCCUCAACAUGCCUUGAUGAAUACACUACUUAUUGGACUCAAUGAAUUUAAAUAAUGUUGGUAUCAAUAACACCUCCACUAAUCAAUACAUAAACCAUAACUCACUUUACUAUCUUUUACUAACCAAAGCUCCAAUGCAAUAGUCCGCGUGUAUAUACCUAUAAACAAAUGAAUGCCCCCCAUCAAUUUUCGUUUCUUCAUCGAUUAUAAAGGCAUCCUACAGAAAAUUCGAACAAUUCACUUUUCUAACUUUUCCAUGCAAUCUCUUUCAAACCAAUCCUCUAUCUAACCAUAACUUUAAAUUUAUGCAAGUCUUUUCAUCUUAAAGCCGAUAAAUGUAUUAUGCGUGGCAAACAAAGACAAUUAUAUUAUACAUAUACUUAAAGUGAAUGACCAACCAAAGCACACGCCUCACUAACAAAGUGGUUACAGAUCGAACCACUAAUAUUAUGCCAUUUUUUCCAUUUGUUCUUCGGUGACUCUGUAUGUAUGUAAUUAACCAUUAUUUUUAUGCACCCACUGUCGAUAUUUACUAAUAUACAAUAAAAAAAUUACAUCUACACAAAGUAUGAGCCACCGAAAAUCAAAAGCAUCCAUUGAAACUAUGUUUCUUUCCUUAACAAUUAACCCAUAAAUAAGGUUUAACAUGUCAAUGAUUACCCCACUGCUCAAACCCCUUUACUGUAUUUAUUUCAACCCCUAUACUAUAUUUAUUUCAACCUGAGCAAACCCAGCCAUUCACCUCUUCGCAACCUAGGCAUUUCGAACACCACAUCUUCGAAAUCAACUACAAAAACGCAUUCACAAACAUGAAGCCUACCUAUGCAUGCGAAACGACUCUUCCAGUGCCUGCAAAAAUGCCAGAUUCAUAAUACCAACAAGGCCAUCUUCAAUAAUACAGACAUCAAUAGAAUAUAAUUUCAUAAAUCGGCAGCAACAUUUUUCUUACGGCAAAAUCAAAAUCACGACCACCAAAAAACACACAUUCAUUUACGAUUUAAGGAAAGAAUCUUUACCCUUCCUUGCCUAACGAAAUUUCCGGUUAUUCCCCUCUCUCGCAAAUGUCAGAUUUGAGAUUCAAAUUUGUUUCACAUCCUAUUCUUGUAUUUUUUUUUUUUCCAUGGACUUCAAGACCUUCAUUAGACAACCGGUUUAAACGGUUGUUGUUACUACCUGCGUCCGCUCUCCAAACUUUUAUUUAAACCGUUGGAUUGAACAUACUUAUAUCCAACGGCUUAACAGAAUAAAGACAAACCACAGUGGCACGGUGCCACUGUGGCACCACAGGAUGACCCACAUAACAUAGAGUAGAUAUUUUGAAGUGAAAAGCAGAGCCUUUACUGUUGCUUGCCUUAUCAUCUUUUAAAACUAGAGUUAUUAUUCUUAUAUUUUUAAGUAGCCAACGGAUAGUAGCCAACUCAUCUGUGUUCUCUAUUAUUGAAUUUAAAGAUCAAUGAUUUGGGUCUGCCUACCGUGCAACAGUUGCACGGUAUCCCAUUUUUUGUCUUUUUUCAACUCAGCCAAUGGAUCAAUGGUUAAAGUGUUUAACGGCCAGGAUGUGUUCAAUUGGUUAUUAACACUUAAAUCCUUACUGUUUAUUACAAAAUCAUAAAAGCUAAAAGUUUUUAAAUAUUCACUUACAUAAUUUUUUUUGUUUUAAAUUUUUUAAAGUUUGAUCCAUUGACUUAAUUUGAUCAUAAAAAUAAUUGAUGGUGUAAAUAUAAUAAUGUAAUAUCACAUAAAAUUUUUAAACACAUGAAAAUUUGAUAAAUGUAAAUAAUAUUUUUUGUUAUAUAAUAUAUAUUUAAUGUAAAAUAAAUAAAUUGAAUAUGUUUUAAGAAUAUAGGUUAUUAACCUUUAUACUUUAGAAAAUUAUAAAAUAAAAAAGGUGAAAUUUCAAAAUAAGAAACAUGUAAAAAGUCUUAGGUUGUAAAAUUUUAUUAUUUUAAUAUUACAAAACUUUACUUUUUUAUUACAUUUUUGUUUUUAGCAUUAGUUGACAUGUUAGUUUAUUUAUACAUACAAUAUGUUAAUUUACCUAUAAAAUAUCAAUAUAUAUAUAGCUCAACAAAGUUAUAGAAAGAUAAAUAAAGAAUAAUAUAAAAGGAAGUUAGUUUAUUUUUGAAGAAUAUUUCAAAAGCAUUUGAGCUUCAUAUUUCUUGAGAAUUAUCAUUUUUUAAGAUAUUUGAGCUUGUGAAUCUUGUUGUAAUGAUAAUUUAUUAUUUAUUCUUGAUUAAAAAUAAUUGAAUAGUAAAUUUAUUGAUUUCCAAAUGCUCUUUUAAAUAUAGGGUAGUUGGUUCAUUUUUAUUGUAUUAGCUUAAACUUUGUGUGAUAGCUAAUCAACCAUUGUAAAAGAUCUACUAGGAUUAUUUUUACUUUCUCUACAUCCCUCUAGACCAUCACCACUCAAAAAGUUAAAGGUCCAUUUGGCACACUAUAUUAUAUUGUAUUAUGUAAUACACAUGUAUUAUAUUAUAUUAUAUUACAUUAGUAGUAUAUUAUAAUAAUUAUAAUAAAAUUAUGCAACAUUUGGUAAUUGGUAUUAUCCUGUACUACAUUAAUUUUGUACUAAUAUUAAACUAAAAUUAUUUAAAUUUAUUAUUAAUUAUAUUAAAUUAUUAUUUUCAUAUUAAUUAUUUUUAAAUAAAUAUAAUAUAAUAUAAUAUAAUAAUAUUAUAGUAUAAUUUAUUUUUAUAUUUUUUAUUUAUUAUAAUAAAAAUAAAAAAUAAUUAAAAUAUAUGUAAUGCUUAAUUAAGGCAAAAUAAUAAUAAUGACAGUGGUAUUAUUUAAUAAUCAAAACAAAAAAAUUGUAAAGUUUAAUGAUGAUGACGAUGACGACGACGACAACAUUAAUAUAAAUAUAAUAAUUAGAAUAAUAAGAUUAAUAAAUUUAUUAAUAUUAAUAAAAUAAUAAUUCAGUAAUAAUUCAGUAAUAAAUUUAAUAUAUUUUAAAAAUAGUGAUGGUAAUAAAAUCAAUAAAUAAUAAUGUAAUGAUAACUAAUUAAAGUAAUCAUAACAAUUAAAAUAAUAAAUUUUAAUAAUAACAAUAGUAAUAAUGACAUUAAUAAAUAAUAAUAAUAACAAUUAAAUUUUUUUUCAAAAGUCAUUUUAUAAUUUUAUCCAGAGAAAAGGACCUAUAUAUAAAGAUUUGUAACUUAUAGUAUCUAUUCAGUUUUCUUAUAAAUAUAGGGUAGUGUAGUGUAAUUGUUGGAAAAAGACAAAAUUCAGUGAUACCGUAUAACUGUUGCACGGUAGGUAGACCCCAAUGAUUUAUGUUAAUAAAUAUUUUGUUAACUAUCAAAGUUUUUAUUUCAAAAUUACUGCUAUAAUUCAUUAAAUUUUCAAUUUUUCCUUUUUCUAUUCACACAACAGAUUGAUUUGCCCUCCAAAAAAAUGUAUUAGAUUGUUUAAUAUUGUAACAUUAAGAAACUUAUAAUAAAUUUUUUAAGAGAUAAAUAGAGAAUGUCAGUCUCGCAUCUACUCAAAAUUAAUAAAUAUACCACUAACUCCUUAUUAUUUUUAUAAUAAUUAAUAAUUUUCUUAGCAGUAUAAUUUUAUAGUAUUAUCCUUAUUUGUAAGUACAUUUUUAUUCAUUUUUAUUAUAAAUUAAGUAAAUCAUAUCAAUAAAAAUUAAAAGAACACAAUAUGGUUUGGUGUGAAUAAAAGAUUGAAAAUAAAAAUAUUUUUCUUAUUUUUUUUGUUAUUUUUAAAUGCUUUUCUUGUAAUAAAUGUACAUUUUAUAUUCUUAAGAUGAAUUUUGAGUAAAUGACUCAUUUACUCACUUUUUCUUUAAAUUUGUGUUAGUAGGAGGAUUUUUAGAUAUAUUGAAAAUUGUAAGGUAGUAAGUAAUAAUAUAAUAAUUUUAAUAGAGAAAAAUAAUUAAUUUUAAGACAUUUCAGAAGAUAUUUCAAUAUGCGGUGGACCACAUCCUUGAGUUUUCAUUGUCUCACUCAACUAAAAGGACAAAAUAUUGAGUCAUGAAGGACUCAAUUGAUUGUUAAUUUUACAGCAAUUACCUUUUUUUUUUCUUCUUUCUUUUUUGUUCUUAAUUAUUUUGAAAUGGUAGGUAGCAAUUGCUUACAUCAAAAUAUUUAGCCUCACUCGACAAAGUAUCUGAGGCCAAAAUGCCAAAAGAUGGGACACCCACAUGUGCAUCUAAUUACAAAAUCCAAAGUUAAUGAAAAAGAAAAAAAGAAAAAGUAUAAAUGAACGGUAUUCGCCUCACUUUCAAACAUGUUCAACAUGAAUUUCCUUUUACCAAAAGUAAAUUUCCUCUCGGAUUGUCCUUAUUACAUCAAACGAAUGAUGACGACAUUCUCUGUCCGUUUCUGACUCUUUGCUUUUCUCUCUCACAUCACGAGACACCUCGUUUCUAACUAGGGUACCACCAUCAUAUUUAACUGUUGGGUCUUCCUACUAUGCAGCUGGUGUAUGCAUGAUUCCUUGUGACAUGACAUACAGUCAAUUAAAUUCUGACAUGCUUGCAAUAAAGACUAUUAAAGUGACCGGUUAUUCCGGUUGAAUUCACAAGAUCUCUUGUUUGUGCGUUUAUGUUCCAAGUUGCUUACUAUGUGUUACAAGUUCUCUAAUUAGUCUGAUAUUAUCGCAACUGUUGCUCAAUAAUGUUACAUGUUUUAUAAUAUGUCACUGGUACGAUCGCUGUCACAAAUUUAGAACAAAAAGUUUCCAAUAAAAUAAGUUAUUUAAUUAAUAAAAUAAGAAUAAAAUGAAUUUGUAAAAAAAAUUUAAAUUAAAUUUUGAAUUAUUUUGACCAAAAUUUAAUUUUUUUAAUUUGUUUAAGAAAAUGCGUUGUAAUUGUCUUGUUUUAAUUGGAAAAUCAAUGAAAAAAUUAUGUAACAGACAAAAAAAAAAAAAAGCAAAACGGUUUGUUUUGUACGGAGGCCAUAGAUUCCAAUAUUUCCUUCACGAAAACUACAAAUAAUUAUCAAAGGCAUCAAUUUCUACACUCUCACCGAGCAAUACUUUUAGGUAGCGUUUAUUUUUUGGAUUGGAGUGGGAAUCCUGAGGAGUGGGAAUCAUAGGAUUGGGAGUGUGGAGUGGGAGUGUGGAGUGGGAGUGGGAGAAUGUUGUUUACUUACACUAGAAUGGAAGUAUAUAAUGGAGAUCAGAAUUCAAUUUAUGUGUUUACUUUAUCUUAGGUUGGGAAUAAAUAGUUUCAAAUUACAAUUUUAUCUUUAUUUAAAGAAUUAUAGUUUUUAAUUACAAAGCUAAUAAAAAAUAUAUUUAAUGAAUAAAUAUUUAUUUUAUUAUAUUUGUAAAUUUAUAAUAAUUAUUAAUAUUCUUAAUUAUGAACAUCACAUUUUUUUUAUUAAUUUUAAUUCUAAUAUAAAAUGAAAUGUUAUUUUAUUUAAUAUAAUUAUAUUAAAUUUAUUAUUAUAUAAACUAAUAAUAUAAUUUUAUUUAGUACAAAAUUAAUAUUUUCUUAGAAUAACCUAUUUAUUAUUAUUAAUAUUAAAUAAAUAUAAUACUAUUAUUUUUAAAAUAAAUACAAUAAUAUUAUAUUUAUUAAUUCUCUAUUAAUAUAAUAAUAUUAUUUUAAAAUAAUUUUAACUUAGAAUCAAUGCAAAUUAUUAUUUAGUUAAAUAUAAUAAUAUUAUUCAAAUAAAUAUAAUAUUAUUUAUUUUAUUUUAUUAAUUAUAAAUAUUAAAUUGAAUUAAAAUUUAAAAAAAAAUGUAGAAAAGGGAGAGGUGGGAGUGGAUUCCCACUCCCACUUCUCACUCCAAAAAUGGAUAGGGCCACAGAGUGGGAUUCUCAAUCCUUCACUAAAUAAGUGAAAUAAACACUAAAGUGUGAGAAAUUCACACUCCUCACUCCCACUUCAAAAAAUAAACACAACAUUAACCCAGAAGAAAGUGUAUAAACCAACCCCAAUCUGUCCAUCAAUGUCGUCAACCUCAUACAGCAUAAAGAAAAUCUGUCCAUUAAACCGCCAUUUAAACCGUCUUUAUUGAGCCAUUAGACUAUUCGUGUCAUCUUCCCAUCUCGUUGUAGUAUUUUGCCUUUCAAAUCUAGUUAUCCAUUGGGGAAAAUGGGGACCAAUCUGCAAGUCUUUAAAAUAAAAAAGAAACUUUAAUUGGGCACUAUGUUCACGGUGGUGGACCUAGCAUUAGCUAUUUGUAUUUUAAAAAUUAUUUUACACACUCUAAUUUUAAUAAGAAUAUAUAUUACAAAAUUACUUAUCAUAUAAGUUACUGGACAAUAUAUUAUAAGUCAACAUUAUAUAAUUACUUUGAACAUUUAUAUAGCCCAAUCCUAAUUCAAUUUAUUACUCUCAUGAUUAAAUAUAAAAAUUUUUAUUUCCAACUUCUUAAUUAAUAUGUAGAUGAAUAAUAAGGAAAUUAACUUUGAGAAAAAAUUAAAUACAAAAUAUGUGUAAUACUUUAAAAAAAAUAAACAAAAGUAUUGCACAAGAUUUUUUUUGGGGGGGGGGGGGCUUGGCCAUUCUUCUUCUUCUCCUUCUAUCUCUCUUUUUUUGUAGUAUUUAUGGAACAUUUUCUAUUGUUAUAUUCUCAUUGCAAGUUAUUUUGGGUGUAAAAUUCAAUAUUGAAAAUAAAUUAAAUAAAAAAUUAGUAACUAAAAUUAUGUUAAAUUAUUUUUUAACUUAAUUUUUAGUUAUAUUAUUAGUAUAUGUUAGAUCUCUUAAAAAUCGAGUGUUGAAUAAUUUUAUUAGUUUUUUAAACAAAUAAAGUUAAAUAACUUAAAAAAUUUAAGUAAGGAUAUUUUUAAAUUUUUAAACAGUAUACAAAGUAAAGUUUAUUUUCUUGUCAGUGGCAAAUGAUCACGACAAGAAAUCUGAAGUAGAAACAGCAGAGCUCAACAAAUCACUAAGAGAAAAUAAGACCAAUAACCAAGCAGAUAAAAGAAAAGCAAAAUAACCCAUCUCAAAAUCACCACAUGCACAAUUUAAGGGGUUUGUGACAUGGGUUUAAGCAUGAUUUAACAAGUGCCACCUGUGAAUUGUCAGAGAUUGUAUUUUCAUACACAUGUCAAAUUUUCAAGUCCAACAAAUUGUUAUCUUUCUAAAGAGGCUAAUAUAUUAUUAUCUAUGCAUAGCAUGCUAUAAACAAUUCAUAUUACUGGGCCUUUGUUUUGUGUACACAACAUAUGGACAGAGGAACAAAUGCCUGAGCUAAAAUCAUCAUAUUCCAAAAUAUUCUAUUAAAUCAGCACCACAAAACGCGAACGCUAAACAGAAUUGGAGCAAUUUACCAAAGCUAUUUGUCACGCAAAGCACUAGUACCUCAGAACCCAAUUUGCAAAAAAGCACCAAAAAUGAAAAAUAACAAAUGCCCAGAUGAAAAAUCAGGAAAAAAAAAAGCUCAAAUCCAAAUUACAACCCCAUAAGCUGAGUCGUUCUCUUCGAACUGAAUUAAAAAAAUUAAAAAAAAUUAAAUAGGGAGAUUGACCUCAAACUUUGGAAACAGAAGCGACAUCGAUCUGUUUCUUGUCUGGAGUGUCCAUUUCUAUAAUCUACUUUGUCCGUUUUCAGUCGCUCUGCCACAGAACUUCUUCCCUCUGAAGCUGCAGCUCACACACACUUGCAAAACGAAAGCAUUUUUUAUUGAUUGAGAGGCGGGAAGGCGGGAAAAUGAGAGAAAUUUGCAUUUGUUUUCUCUUGGUUUGGUCACACCUGUGCGGGCCCCAGCUCGACAAGCGGUAUUAUUACUAUUUGUAUAAUUUACAUGACGCGUGUCACGCAAUGACGAUAAAAAUAUAUAUAUAUAUAUUGUUAAUUUUUCACUUAACAUUGAAAUAUCAUAUAAUUUUUCUAAUUUUAUGGUUAUUUUCUCGCCCUUAUGCCACAUUCUUUUGAUCAAAUAAUACAGUAAAAUUUUUCUAUAAUCAUAAUAUUAGAGCCAAAUUAACUUUAUUUCUGUAAAGAGGCUAUAGCUUAAUAAAGGUAAAACUAUAAAAAAUAUUAUUUUGACUCAGUUAUCUUUAGUGCAAGUGAUAUAAAGUACAAAUAUAUGAUAAUUAAUUAAUGAACUAUGUCAAAUACAAUAUGCUGACAAUGAUAAAAAAGAUAGACAUAAUUUCAAGAAACUAAUACAUAUAUUUAUGUAGUGCUGGGAUUAUACAAAAUUAUCUUAAAAGUGUAAAUAGUAAAGUACUAUUCUGAUUAAUUUAAAAAAAAUAUUUUAUCUUAAUCUUUAAUGCAACAUAGCUUUUUUUUUUUUCUUAGCAACAAAGCAUUGUUCCAAAUAAUUAUUAUUGGAUUCAAAUCAUGUCCUAGGCAUUUUUUCUUCUAGUCGUCUUUAACUUUUAAUGAUUUAUUGGCAUGUGUCAAUCAUUAAUGAAAUUAAAUAACUAAGACUUUGUUUUAAUUAACGUUUACAUAAAUAGACAUCAAAACUCACAUGUGAUUCUUAUCAAAUUUUUUCCUGCAAAUUCUUUUCCUCUCAACUAUUCAUAUUUUGAUAUUAAUUUCCAGCAAAUUAUUAAAAAAAAGAAGAAGCGUAAAAUGGAGAAAAGUGAUUGACAAUAAGAUUUGCAUCUUUAUUUCAAAAUUUUCCUUUCUUUGCUAUUUUUGUGGGUUCUACAAUUGUUGUUUUCACUCUCAGCUGCAGUUCAAUGAACUCUAUUAAAUAAUUAGUUUUUAAACUACAAGUAGCUUUGGAACAGCUCUUAAAUUGAUAUAACUUCUAUUAUUAUGUAACUUAGCAAGGUCAGAUAUUUUAAUAAUAGCACAUCACUAUUGUUUCAUGUGAAUGAUGCAAUUGGAUUAGCCAAUACAUACCGUCAUCCCCGGGAGAUGCUAUGGCAAUAGCUUACUCUACCGUGCCAAUGUCAUUAGUAUUAAUCUGUCGAACCUAAGACCAGAUCUAAGUUGAUCUAGAUUCCCCAAGAUUGCACACCACACAGUGAUUAAUGAAUCAAGAACAAUAAACCAUCAAAGAAUCGCAAACUUACAUGUCGGGUUACAUGUAAUAAAUGUUUUAAUUAUUAGAUGAUUCAUAAUGUUAGACCAUUUUUUGUAUGUUUUGUAAUCUACGUUUGAUAAUUUAAUUAGCUGAUAAACACUUGAAUAAUAUUAUUUCAUUAACUAUGUCAUUGAUCCCCAGGAAAAAAAAAAAAAAAAAACCCAAUUUGGGAUGUUAUACAUUACUUUUUCAUUACUUCCCAUUUUAGAUUAAUAUUUAUCACAUAUAUUCUUAGCAACUUGUAACCCUUUUUGCUAAGGGUGAAAUGUGUUUGUUACCCCUUCUAUUUCUGAGAUUGUCCUUACAAUAAGGAUGCCGGCCACAAUGUCAAAAACUGCUAUCUCUAGGUGUAAAUUCCUUAUAAAAUUCUUUUUUAAUUGAAAUUACUUAAAUAAUUGAAGAUAAAUUAAUUUUUUAUUUCAUUCAAAUAAAAAAAAUCAAUUAAACACUUCAAUAAGCUAUCCUUUUAAUUUUUUUUUACACCCAUCCAGUUUCAUAAUUUAUAUUUAUAAUUUAAAUUUUAAUGGGAAUAUUUUUUUGAAAAAUUUUAAGAAUUAAGAAUUAUGGGGAUAAAAAUUAUGUAAUAAGACCAAAAUAAUUUAAAAUUUUAAAAUUUGCAUGUAUUAUAAACAAAAACUUGAAAGAAAUACUCUUUUCAGGGUGAAAUUUAAUGAGAAAAAGAUUAAUUUUAAUUUAUGAAUUAGUAUUUUAUAAGUUAAACUGAGGUAUUUCAAGAAAUAGAAUUCAAAAGGCAUGGGAACGAGGGCCUUGGGUUUCAUUUUGUUUUGUAUGAAUUGGGAAAAAUACACGGACAGACAAAGGGAGCAGUCAUUAUAAUGCUGUGGAGCUUGUCGGAGAUUCCCUGCCCAUUUGUAGCUUAGAAUCCUGGGGUUUUGUUCAUGUCUUUUCUCUUUCCCACUUUCUCAUAUUGCUGUCUCAUAAGAGAAAUAGUCAUACAUAGUUGGUUAGGCCUCCAGUCCAUUAACUUAAUAAUGAAUUUUAUGAAAAUUGAUUAUCUCAUUGGAAUUACAUAGAUAUUGGAAAACAUUACUCCAGCCCCACCAUCCCAACCAUUUACUUAGUUCAUCAGUAAAAGCUGGAUUUUCCAUUUGUUCUUGAGAUUCAAAUUAAGGCAGCAAGUUGCUCAUUCAAUAUUAUCUAUGUAAUCCUGUAAAAGUGAAGGGCGUUUAGAUGUGGAAAAACCUUACUCCUGCCGCAACACCUCAAACAGAUUGUGAUCAGACAAGACUUAGUUCAUCAUUAGCGGUAGUUGGAGCUUCCAUUUGUUCUAGAGAUUCAAAGGCAGCAAGCUGCUUCCUCAGUGCUACUAAUUCUUCCCCGGCAUUGCAUAUGUAGCCUGAGGCUUGUCUGCCAGACAAAGUUGCUCCUUCCAUACUAUCUAUGUAAUCCUGUGAGAGUGAAACCAUUUAGAAGACAUAUCUCUUUUUUUUUUUCAAUAUUUGGAAUGAAACAAUUAUAUACAGUUACCUGUUUUGUAUAUGAGCUGGCGAGGAAGAAGUUCUUCACUGGUAUCUUUUGAUCAGGUCUGAAGGGGUCUUUACCAGGUCCCUCACCUCACAAAGAUUGCCGGAUUUUGACGACAGAUAACCAAAUAACUUCUAAACCUUGGGAUGAUGGAAAUAGAGCUCAAACCUAAUAAAAGGAACCGUGAAUGGAUAGUAUGGACUCAUGUAUAUUAUCCAGAAAGUUGCAUGACCUUUUUUGGUACUCAGGUCACUAAAAAAUGUGAGAUAAACAUCUAGGAUAAGAAAAGCAAAAAAGCAUAACCUAAUACGUAUUAUAUGAAUUGAAGGUGUCACUGAACGCUACCAACCUGCUUUGCCACUCUCCUUCUGAUUUCAUCAUUUGGUAAGGGCAUAUAAGGAUCUCCAGGCGUCAAAAUGCAUCUGAAAUAUAAUAUGGCUAUAGUAAGUAACACAGAAUACAAAGACACUUAGCAAAAGGAAGUCAAUCAGAUUCCAUGCACAAAAAAUAACUAAUAAUGACGAGGAUAAGAAAUUUUUCUUGCUGGAGCAACGAACCUUGCCCUUCUCUGUAGUAGUCUUCUGGUGAAGUGAGUGCUAGAUCUGCAAAGCAAGAUAAAUCUGCAUCUGGAGUAUAUGAAAGGUUAUCUAACCCCACAGCUUGCCUCAAUUGUCUACAUGUUCAAAACAAGGAUCUGUUAAAAAAUGGAAAUUUCUUCAAUGCAUUAGUAAAGGGAAGUGAAGUGAAAGCUGAUUUCUUAGGCCUUCACAGAGCAUCAUGUGUUUGAAUUCCGGUAACCUCACAAAAAAUUAGAGCAUCACCUUGACCGUUCUAGGUCUUGCAACUCAGUAACCCAACCAUUGCAUCUAAGCUGCACUGUGACAACAGGAACUCCAACUAGCUCAUAAAUAUUGUUGAAAAUUUUCAUUUCCCUCCACGAUGAUGGAGGCAAACUUUUAAUUCCAGGGACAUCACAUGCAGCCAUUAAAUAAGAAGUUGAAUAAAGAAAAAUCGUUCAACUAAAUGAUUCAGGAGUUAAAAAAAAAAAUGUAGAAGUAGAAAUAAAUAACGAAGAUUUAACCAUAAACCUGCAACAUAUGCAUCAGCUUGCACAACCUUCUUGUCAGUGGCCUGAAAUAGAAUGAGAAAUUGAAAGACAGUAAGCAUUAAAGAAUAAACUCAAAGAAGCUGCUUCUAACAGAUGAUAUAAACAGUAAAUUUACAAAUGUCAGAUCAUUGCAUUAGCUCUAUGCCUCCAUCAGAGGGAAUAUUAAUAGAUGCAUAAAAAAAUAAUUAGAGCCACAUGUUAAACAAUUUACCUUAGAAGUAGCAAGUGCUUUGACAAAUUUUUCCCCGUUAGCAGAUUUAUCAUAAAGUAUCUCUCUGCAUCCCCACCUAAGAUGGAACCUGUUCUCACAAGAACAGAUCCCAAGGUUGGGAAAAUCAGUUCAUCAUAGGAGAAAACAAAGAAGAUUAACAAAUCACUACAAUGGUGUGAACCCGUAAAUACAAACGUACCUGCCCCCUUUAUCUGUGAUAUAUUUUCUUAUGGGCCCACUCAAAUAAACAUCCGGAGAACCCUUGAGCAUCAGCAAUAGGGAAGCCUCGGUCUUAGUCGCAAACAGUGCAAAUAUAGUGAGCAUACAACGAGCACUGAUGUUAUCACAAUCAAUAAACCCAAGGGCAUACGCAACAGGAUCCCACAUUCUUUGGAACCCUUGGACAAAAACCAAUCAGAGAAGCUUAUCUGUAAGAAGAAAUGAAGUUUUAGGUAAAAUGACAAUCUGUAAGAACAGGGAUUGAAAUUCAACAAACAAGAAAAUAUGAUGUCAUUCUUACACUAUCCAAAUCUCAUAUGUCCUUCAAGGCUCCAUCAGGAUCAACAAGUGCCUUUACAACAGCACUCAGAGCAAGAGCAAGAGCAUUUCUUGCUUUAUCAUAAGUCUGCACUUGAGCAAUUUAUGAGGCAAAGUACAUCAAAAGAGAAUCCAAAAGAGGCAAGAAGCUUCAACAUGAAAAAAGGAGUACUGCCUCAUCAUACUGCUUUGCAAUCACAGUGCAAAAGAUAACAUCAACAAAAUCAAAUUCUAGCAUAAAUCCAUAUGCACUACCUUAAGCUGAUUUGUAGACAAAAGACCCGUUUGGGGCAGCUGCGCGGUUGCAGCGCAGCUGUCCCAAACGGGUCCAAUCAGAAACCCAAAAUCAAGUUCUGGAGUUGAAAAUCAAAAUCAUGAACCAAAUCAGAGUUAUUAUUGAAUUAGACAAUCCAUAAACCAAUAGAAGGUAAAACAAAAAGGAAUAAAAAUUCUUCUAAAUUCUUUCACCAUCAACAAAAUCAGUAAAACACAUACUAAUUCAAAAUGACAUAAAGUUUGUGAAUUGAAAUAAUGCCAACUCCUAAGAAAAAUUAUGACUGCUGAUAUUUUUUCCGAAAUGCUGAUAAAAGCUUCUGCUAUUUACUUUGAAAAAAUAGAGGUUAGAAGCCAAUUUACUUGAAAUUUUGAGUUUAGGCAAGAGGAUGAAUGGCAAAAGUGAAACAAUUUAGGGAAAAAUGUACUUCAGAGGCCAAUGAAAGCAUUCAGAAGAUUGAAAUCUAAAUAAGCAAAACCCCGUGGCCUUGAUCCAACAAAUCCACUGCUGUUGACAUGCCUGCAAGCCCAGCUCCAAUAAUAGCCACUUUCAGCUUUGGUCCUCUAUAAUGUUCCGGUUCUGGUAGAAACAAACCCUUGGGAGCUGCCAAGUAUACCAUCCAAUUAUCCACAGCGAUAAUGGAAAUAUAUAUGUGUUUAAAGGUACUAAAUUCCUAAACAUGAAAUGUAUCCAAAGAGAGACACAAAGCAGAAUUGUGAAACCCAAUAAAUUUUAAGAAUACAAAAUACUCGGUCUGUUCCUCAAUUCCUUUAAUAAAAUUUCCACUAGAGGCUCCGGAAGCCACUCAAUAACACUCCAAAGCCAGAUUUUAAACGUUCUCUUUAUCUUUAACUACAAUCCACAAACAAUUCUGCCACAAAUUCAAUUCAAAAUUGUUCAAGUGCACCGCCACUUCUCCAUCAAUUCCCUCAAAAAUUCAUAAUUGGCAAACACUACAAACCAAAAAGAGCUUCCAGCAAUAAACGCAUAAAAAUCCACCAAGCAACAUAAAACAAAAUACCCAGAAACCAGAAAAGCCAAAAGAUCAAUGCUUGGCAAACAAGCCAAUCAAAUAAAACAAAAAGAAGAGAAAUUUACCAUUAACGCUCAUAUCAGAAACAUUAGUGUCCAAAGAAGCCCGUACACGGAAUCUUGGAUCCUUCACUUGAACCCGAGACCAUGUAACGCCAGUAACUGAAGUUGCAGGAAACAGAACUGAAGAACCCAUAUUGCAAAUCCUGAGCUGAAAUCAAAGAAAUUCAAUUGGAACUCAAUUCAGCUCAACCGAGCGGAGCUCUCUUUUGCUUCAAUAACAAAGUGUUUUUCUUUCAUAUCAACAAAGAUUUGUCAACAUCAACAAAAUUUAACUAAGAAACUAAAAAUAAUGCGGUAUCUUUGAGUUUAAGAAUCUAACAAAGAUUUGUCGACAUCAGGGAACUGUUUCGGAGAGGUUGGCCAAGUGCAUUUUUGUUUUUUUCUUGUUUUGCCCUUUUCAUUAAUGCACAACAUUAGUCCACGUGAAGAGCACAAAAUGCUGGUGGCUUUGUCACUAACGAUAAUGGAUGGAGUGUCCAAAGCAACCAACUAAAUUUUAAAGAGAGGGAAUGAUAAGUAAUAUCUUAAUGGGGUGAUUAAUUAAUUUAUUAUCAAGCAAUUGUAUUUAUUUAUUUAAAAGAUAUCCUUAUCUUUGUACAAGGUUUGAGGAAAGACGACGAUGUUGUGUUGUCACAUAUUUUUACGUUUCUCCAUAAUUCACUGCAACAUCAACUGGGCCACCACCUCUUGCCUCUCCCGGUUCCCCUCAAUUUUCUUAUUCAAUGUCCACCGUUGAUUGUACAUUUAUUGAAAUUCUGUGGUUAUUGUUUUUUUGCAUACAUUUAAUUCCACACGGUCUAUGAAUAGAGCAGGUGCAUCGUAGUUGUGGCCUUAACUGUUAUUGGUAACUCAAUAGCUAAUUCUAAUGUUUCAUCAAGCAGUUUAGAGAUAACCUCUCUCGCUGAACUCCCCGGAGUAACGCAAUCCAGUUUUCCAGUGCAAUCAUCAGACAGUUGAACAGCUUCUGAAUUCCCUUUGCUUUUCUUGUUUUCUUUUCCAUGUAAAGGGAGCUCAGGCUUCAAUAUAUCUGGGGAUUGAGUACUAAUGAUAAAGACAACAUACGAUAGAGGACACAAAUUGUUAUUAAAGAAUGACGCACUUUUCAACUGAGUACAGUAAAGCAAGAAUGGGUAAUUAGUUUUACCUGCAACGUGAAAAUCUAGACUCCCGACGGUAACCGAUCUUUGGUGAAGCAAAUAAAGAAGAAGGCGAAGUAAAAUUCACUGAGUUGAAUGAGCAAUCAUUACGUAUGGACUUGAUUUGUUCAAUGGGUGAAAGACUGCUGAUAUAAUUAAAGACUGGAGAAUCCUGCACGUUGACAAGCAUCAUUUUUAAUAUAACAUAGAGUCUUAAAAACCUAGUCAGUGGCAAAUGAUCACGACAAGCAAACUGAAGUACAAACAGCAGAGCUCAACAAAUCAUUAAGAGAAAAUAAGACCAUUAACCAAGCAGAUAAAAGAAACGCAAAAUAACCCAUCUCAAAUCACCGCAUGCACAAUUUAAGGGGGUUGUGACAUGGGUUUAAGCAUGAUUUAACAAGUGCCACCAGUGAAUUCUCAGAGAUUGAAUUUUCAUACACAUGCAAAUUUCCAAGUCCAACGAAUUGUUGUCUUUCUGAAGAUAUUAACGUUGCAUAGCAUGCUAUAAAUAAAUCAUAUUAUUAGGGCCUUUCUUUGCUGUACACAACAUAUGUACAGAGGAACAAAUCCAUGAGCUGAAAUCAUCAUAUUCCAAAAUAUUCUACCCAAUCAACACUACAAAACCCUAACGCUAAACAGAAUUGGAGCAAUGUACGAAAGCUAUUUGUCACACAAAGCACUGGUACCUCAGAACCCAAUUUUCAAAAAAGCAACAAAAAUGAAAAAUAGCAAGUGCCCAGAUGCAAAAUCAGGAAAAAAAUGCUCAAAUCCAAACUACAACCCCAUAAGCUGAGAUUGACCUCAAACUUGGAAACGGAAGCGACAGUGAUCUGUUUCUUGUCUGAAGUGUCCAUUUCUCUCGCUCCGCCACAAAGCCUCUUCACUCUGAAGCUGAAACUCACCACGCACUUGCAAAACGAAAGCAUUUGAUUGAUUGAGAGGCGGGAAGGCGGGAAAACGAGAGAAAUUUGCUUUUGUUUUUUCUUCGUUUGGUCAUACAUCUGCAGGCCCCAGGUUGACAAGCGUUAUUACUACUACUUGCAUUAUUUGAAGGACGCGUGUCAUGCAACGAUGAUGGAAAAAGUGGUGCAAAACUUCAAUGGUCACGAAAUGACGAUAAAACAAAAAUAUAUGGUUAAUUUUUCACUUAACAUUGGAAUAUCAUAUAAUUUUAUGGUCAUUUUCUCGCUGUUACGCCACAUUCUUUUGAUAAAAUAAUAUGGUUAAACUUUUCUAUAAUCAUGAUAUUAGAACCCAAUUAACUUUAUUUCUAUAAAGUGGUUAUAGCUUAAUAAAGGUAAAAUUGUAAAAAAUAUUAUUUUGACUUAAUUAUCUUUAGUGCAAGUGAUAUAAAAAAUAAAUAUAUGAUAAUUAAUUAAUAAAUUAUGUCAAAUAUAAUAUAUGGACAAUGAUAAAAAAGAUAGACAUAAUUUCAAAAAACUAAUAUAUAUGUUUUUGUAGUGCUGGGAUUAUACAAAGUUAUCUUAAAAGUGUAAAGAGUAAAGUAUUAGAUUGGAUUGAAUUAUAUAUAGUGCUGACUUAUGUUUGGUAUGAUAUUGUAUUAGAUUAUGUUAAAUUAAAUUUACAUGAAAUUAAAUAGUAUUUACAUUAAUAUUUGAAUUUAAAUAUCAACUAUUUAUAGAUAUUUAACAAUAAAUAUUAUAAUUAAUUAAAAACAGCACUAAUAAGGGGUGUGUGUGUGUGUGUGUAUUCAUUUAGUUAUUGGGUAGUCAUAAUUAUAAUAAAGAAAUAUAAACUAUUUAAAUUAUAGGUUAUUUCAAAGAGUAAUGAGAGAUAUCAUUUCAUUAAAUAAAAUAAAUAAAACUAUUCAAAUAAUAAAUUAAUUAAUAAAUUUUAAGUAAAUCAUGAAUAAAAAAGAAAUUACUUAAUUAAAAACAAUAAAUAAAUAAAUAAUUUUUAAGUUAUAAAUAAAAUUGUGUAAUAAAUUAUGGAAGAUAUUAUAAAUACACAAAUAUUUUUUUCACAUUAUCUAGUCCCAACUAAACCCACAUAAAAAUUAGAAUUAGCAAUCCCAUGAAUUUAGGAUUAAAAUUUGAAUUUAGUCCAUUAAUCCAAUCCAAGUGAGCAUGCCAAACAUAGUAUUAAUAUUUUAUCCCAAUAAUAAGUCCAAUCCUACACUAAAUCCUACCUCCCAAACAUAACCUUAAGAAUCUAUUGACAUGUGUCAUUAAUGAAAUUAAAUGGCUAAAAUUUUGUUUUAAUUAAUUUUUACCUAAAUAGACAUCAAAACUCAUGUGUGACUCUUGUUAAUCUUUUUCUUACAAUUUCUUUUCCUCUUAAUUCUUUAUAUUUUGACACCGAUUUCUAGCAAAUUAUUAAAAAAAAGAAAAGGAGCACAAAUUGGAGAAAAGUGAUUGACAACAAGGUUUGCAUCUUAAUUUCAAAAUUUUCCUUUCUUUGUUGUUGUUUUUUUUUUUUUUGGGUUCUAUAAUUGUUGUUUUCACUCUCACUUACAAUUCAAUGAACUAAAUUAGUAUUGCUACUUAUAAACUGCUAUUACCGGGCAUAUAAUUUUAUUGCUACAAUUUUACUGCUGUUUAGCUAUUUUUCUGAGUUUUUAGUUGUUGUUCUAUUGUCUCUUUGGGGUUUGCAACUGAUGUUUGCUGUUUUUCUAUGAAACAAUUAAAUUCUUUUGCUGCUACAUUUUUUGUUGUUCUAUUAUGGCCGGGACGUAUGUGAAAGGGAAAGAAUCUACCCAAAAAAAAAAAUGACAAAGAGUCACAUGUGAGUUUAGAUGUAUUUUUAAGUAAAAAUUAAUUAAAACAAAAUCUUGGCCCAUUAAAUAACUUAAUAUAAUCAAUUUGUUCUUAAUAACUUAAUAUUAUUUAAUCUAUAGAAGCAAGAUCCUCGAAGACAAAACCUAUAAAUAAUUUAAUAUAAUGAAUUGAUUCUUAAUCUACUCCAAAUUGAGACUACAAUUUUUUACUUAAAAAUUGGCUAGCUAACUUUACCUUGAUGGGCUGACUAUCGCCCAUACAUAUUUCUUCAAAUUUAUUAAUAUUUUUGUGCAUAGCAAUUAGGGUUACGUGACAACGAAUUCUCCUUUUAGUAUAUAAAAAGUAUACUCACAAGUAGUGUAGUGUUCCCCUCCUAAAGGGCAUAGCUCACUGACUUUUAGUCUCUUUCUUCAGUUGACGACUCCAGUUAGACUCUUCAAUGAGAUUAAAGAUUGAAUAUAUCAAAAAUAUUAGCAAUAUUUGUGCUUAUAUUUAACAAAACUAGAGUAAUAUAUUGAUUAAUCUACAUAAUUUUAGGCGGGUUCUUAGGUAAUGUUACAAUUACAUAGAUUAUUUUCACAGUAUAAGCCAAAUCUUAAGAAUUAAUUACUUGAAUAAAAGGAAUAAAGGAUGAUCGAUAAAAGUAAAACAAAGAAAAUAAAUUAUGCCGUUAAAUUGGGAUAUUUGGCUGCCUUAAUCGCUAGAGAUGCUUCUCCAAAACCCGCGUGUAAACAAAACACAUAUUUUUAACAUAACAAUAGCCCAAGCACAUAAACAAGAGUGAAAGCCGAGGAAUCAAUUUCAUUACUGUUCACUAGUAUUUUCAAUUUCAUUAUUUCAUUAACUGUCAUUGAUAAAAAAAAAAAAAAAAACUCAAUUUGAGAUGUUAUACAUUACUUUUCAUUACUUCCCAUUUCAAACAUAUUUAUCAUAUAUAGUCUUAGUAGCUUGUAACCCUUUCUGGUAAGGGUAAAAUAUUUCUUACCCCUUUGAUUUCUGAGAUUGUCCUCACAAUAAUGAUGCUGGCCCCAAUUUCUAAAACUACUAUCUCUAUGAGUAAAUUCCUUAUAAAUUUUCUUUUAAUUGAAAAUAUUUAAACAAUUGAAGAUAAAUUAAUUUAUUUUUUUAUUCGAAUGAAAAUUCAAUUAAACACUUAAAUAAGCUAUUCCUUUAACAAUUCUUUUCACACCCAUCAUGUUUCGUAAUUUAUAUUUAUAUUUAUAUUUUAAAAUUUAAUUGAAAAUACUUUUUGAGAAACUUUUAAGAAUUAAGAAUCAUGGAGAAAAAAAUGAUUUAAUAUGAAGAAAAUAGUUUAAAAUCUUAAGAUUUGUAUGUUUUAUAAAUAAAAACUUGAAAAAAUACUCUUUCCGAGAAAAGAUUUAAUCAGAAAAUGAUUAAUUUUUAAUUUAUGAAUUAAUAUUUUAUAAAUUAAACUAGGGGUAUUUUAAGGAAUAUAAUUAAAAAAGAGUGUCAUAAGGAUAUUUAGGGGUGUUAGAAGCCAUACUCAUUUACAUAAGCCAUGGGAGUUAGGGUAUUGGGUUUCUUUUUGUUUUGUAUGAAUUGGGAAAAAUACAGAGACAGACAAAGGGAACAGUCAUUACAAAGCUGUGAAGCGUGUGGGAGAUACCCAUUUGUAGCUUAAACUCCUAGGGUAUUGUUUCUGUCUUUCUCUUUCUCACUUUCUCAUGCAGCAGAUGUACAUAUCAUGAAAUAGCCAUACAUAGUUGGUUAGGCCUCCAGUCCAUUAACUUAAUAAUGAAUUUUAUGAAAAUUGAUUAUCUCAUUGGAAUUACAUGGAUAUUGGAAAGCAUUACUCCAGCCCCACCAUCCCAACAAUUUACUAAGUUCAUCAGUAAAAGCUGGAUUUUCCAUUUGUUCUUGAGAUUCAAAUUAAGGCAGCAGAUUGCUCAUCCCAUACUAUCCAUGUAAUCUUGUAAAAGUGAAGGGCGUUUAGAUGUGGAAAAACCUUACUCCUGCCGCAACGCCUCAAACAGAUUGUGAUCAGACAAGACUUAGGUCAUCAUUAGUAGUAGUUGGAACUUCCAUUUGUUCUUGAGAUUCAAAGGCAGCAAGCUGCUUCCUCAGUGCUACUAAUUCUUCCCUGGCAUUGCAUAUGUACGCUGAGGCUUGUCUACCAGACAAACUUGCUCCUUCCAUGAUAUCUAUGUAAUCCUGUGAGAGUGAAACCAUUUAGGACACAUAUCUCUUUUUUUCUAUUGAUCGUGACAUAUUUGGAAUGAAACAAUUAUAAACAGUGACCUGUUUUGUAUAUGAGCCAGCAAGGAACAAGUUCUUCACUUGUGUCUUUUGAUCAGGUCUGAAGGGGUCUUUACCAGGUCCCUCAUGGUACAAAGACUGCCCGAUUUUGACAACAGAUGACCAAAUAACUUCUAAACCUUGGGACAAUGGAAAUAGAGCUAAAACCUGAUAAAAGGAACCGUGAAUGGAUAAUAUGAACAGAUGUAUAUCAUCCAGAAAGUUGCAUGACCUUUUGCAGGGCUCAAAGUCACUAAAAAAUGUGAGAUAUACAUCUAGGAUAAGAAAAACGAAAAAGCGUAACCUAAUAUGUAUUAUAUGAAUUGAAGGUGUCACUGAACACUACCAACCUGCUUUGCCACUCUCCUAAUGAUUUCAUCAUUUGGUAAGGGCAUGUAAGGAUCGCCGGGCGUUAAAACGCAUCUGAAAGAUAAUUCAGUUAUAGUAAGCAACACAGAAUACAAAGACACUUGGCAAAAGGAAGUCAACCAGAUUCCAUGACACAAAAUGAAACUAAUAAUGGCGAAACUUCUCUGUAGUAGUCUUCUGGUGAAGUGAGUGCCAGAUCUGCAAAGCAAGAGAAAUCAGCAUGUGGAGUAUACAAAAGAUCAUCUAAUCCCAGAGCUUGCCUCAAUUGCCUACAUGUUCAAAACAAGGAUCCGUUAAAAAAUGGAAAUUUGUUCAAUGCAUUAGCAAAGGGAAGUGAAGUGAAAGCUGAUUUCUUAGGCCUUUAAAGAGCUUCUUUUGAUUGAAUUCCUGUAACCUCACAAAAGAUUAGAGCAUCACCUUGACCGUUCUAGGUCUUGCAACUCAGUAACCCAACCAUUGUAUCUAAGCUGCACUGUCACAACAGGCACUCCAACUAGCUCAUAAAUAUUGUUGAAAAACUUCAUUUCCCUCCACGAUGAUGGAAGUAAUCGUUUAAUUCCAGGGACAUCACAUGCUGCCAUUAAAUAGGAAGUUGAAUAAAGGUAAAACAUUCACCUAAAUGAUUCAGGAGAACAAAAAAGCACAAGUAGGAAUAAAUAAGGAGGAUUUAACCACAAACCUGUAACAUAUGCUUCAGCUUGCACAACCUUCUUGUCAGUGGCCUGAAACAGAACCAGAACCUCUAAGACCAUAAGCAUUAAAUAAUAAACGCAAAGUAGCUGCUUCUAACAGAUGAUAUAAACAACUGAUUUACAAAUGUCUGGUCAUUGCAUUACCUCCAUCAGAGGGAUUAUCAAUAGACGAGUAAAAAAAUAAAUAACUAAACUAGCUUUUGCCGCCUAAUUAGAACCAUGUGAGAAACAAUUACCUUAGACAUGGCAAGUCCUUUGACAUAUGUUUCUCCAUUAGCAGAUUUAUCAUAAAGUAUCUCUCUGCAUCCCCACCUAAGAUGGAACCUGUUCUAGCAAAAACAGACCCCAAGGUUAGGAAAAUCAGUAGGAGAAAACAAACAAGAUUAACAAAUCACUGCAAUGAUGUGAACCUGUAAAUAGAAAUUUACCUGCCCCCUUUAUCUGUGAUAUGUUUUCGUAUGGGCGCACUCAAAUAAGCGUCUGGAGAACCCUUGAGCAUCCGCAAUAGGGCAUAAGCAACAGGAUCCCACAUUCUCUGAAUACUCGUCCGUGUCCCACCUUUGGACAAAAACCAAUCAGAGAAGCUUAUCUGUAAGAAGAAAUGAAGUUUUAGGUAAGAUAACAAUUUGUAGGAACAAGGAUUGAUAUUAAAACAAACUAGAAAAUAAGAUGUCAUUCUUACACUAUCCAAAUCUCCUACGUCCUUCAAGGCUCCAUCAGGAUCAACGAGUGCCCUUACAACAGGACUCAGAGCAAGAGCAAGAGCAUUUCUUGCUUUAUCGUAAGUCUGCACUUGAGCAAUACAUGAGGCAAAGUACAUCAAAAAAGAAUCCAAAAGAGGCAAGAAGCUUCAACAUGAAAGAAGAAAUACUGUCUUAUCAUACCGCUAACUAAUCAGAGUGCAAAAGAUUACAUCAACAUAAUCAAAAUGGAACAUAAAUCCAUAUGCACUACCUUAAGCUAAUUUGUAGACAAAAAUGCGCGAAUCCCAUGUAAGGGAGCUCCGACUGGAAACCGGAAAUCAUGUUCUGGAGUUAAAAAUCAAAAUCAUGAACUUAAUCAGAGUUAUUAUUGGACUAGACAAUCCACAAACCAAUUUCAGAGUGUCCAACCACCAAACAUAACUAUCAGUAGUCUUAAGUGAUCAAGAAAUAACCAUACCACCAAUUUCACCACCCUUAUUCACAAAUGUAUGAGUAUGAUCCUUCAUGAGUAAAUUUUUUUGUGUCCGCACUGACCUGUAGACAUCCAUGAAAAACUAUCAGAUUAUAAACACAGGGUCAAUUUAAAGAGGAGCUAUGAUUCUGAUCCAUCAUGAUAUUUGAAGAACAUUUUCAUAUUUUCCUACAACGAGUAAACUAUAACCAGUUAUCAUCACUAUAGAUGGCAUGGUCAAGAGAAAUUAUAGUUCUUGUUUCAAGAAUCUCAAAUCAUAAUUCCUUUGCAUGGCUAGUGUGCUUUUAUAAUCAUUCAAACACACUUAUCCACAACUAAGCAAGCUUUACCUUUUUCAUCAAUCGGAACAGAUUAUUGUAGCAUCCAAAGAAAAUGUGCAGGCCCAUUUCAAUAUGGUUUCCAUGUUUAUCAAUAAAUGAACCCACUUUACCACCAAUGAAAGACCUUGACUCAUAUAUAUCCACCUGGAAGGGGGGGGAAUCUUCUAAUUUCUUUCACCAUCAACAAAAUCAGUAAAACACAUACUAAUUCAAAAUGAAAUAAACUUUGUGAAUUGAAAUAAUGCCUGCUCUAAAGAAAAUGAUAACUGCUAUUCAUUUUUCCGAACUGCUGAUAAAAGCUUCUGCUAUUUACUUUGAAAAAAUUGAGUAACUUCAAAUUUUCAGUUUAGGCAAGAGGAUGAAUGGUAAAAGUGAGACAUUUUAGGGGAAAAGAAAAUACUUGAGAGGCCAAUGAAACAUUGAAAGAUUGAAAUCUAAAUGAGCAAAACCUCAUGGCCUUGAUCCAACAAUUCCCCUGCUGUUGACAUGCCUGCAAGCCCAGCUCCAAUAAUAGCCACUUUCAGCUUUGGUCCUCUAUAAUGUGCCGGUUCUGGUGGAAACAAACACUUGGGAGCUGCCAAGUAUACCAUUCAAUUAUCCACAGGGAUAUUGGAAAAACAUACAUGUUUGAAAGUACUAAACAUCAAAUGUCUCCCGAAAAAAAUACAAAGCACAAUUGCAUAAGCAUUUCAUUUCCCAAUAAAUUUCAAGAAUACAAAAUACUUGGUCUGUUCUUGAGUUCCUUCAAGAAAAUUUCCACUAGAGAGCACGCAAGCCACUCAAUAACACUCCAAAGUCAGAUUUUAAACGUUAUCUUGAUCUAUAAGUACAAUCCAUGAACCAUUCUGCCACAAAUUCAAUUAAAAAUUAUUCAAGUAAAAUGCCAAAUUCUCCAUCAAUAGCCUCAAAAAUUCAUAACUAGCAAACACUACAGAACAAAAAGAGCUCCCAGCAAUAAACACAUAAAAAUCCCACCAAGCAACAUAAAUCAAAAUACCCAGAAACCAGAAAACCCAAAAGAUCAAUACUUGGUAAACAAACAAAUCAAAUCAAAUAAAACAAAAAGAAGAGAAAUUUACCAUUAACACUCAUAUCAGAAACGUAAGUAUCCAAAGAAGCCCGUACACAGAAUCUUGGAACCUUCACUUGAACCCGAGACCAACAAACACCAGUAACUGAAGUUGCAGGAAAAAGAAGUGAAGAACCCAUAUUGAAAUAAAAGAAUCCAAACCCAAAGUCCCACAUCUAAAUAUGAUGGAUCCACUCCAUGCGGCAAUAUGAAAUUUAAGCUCUCUUUUCUUAUGUCACCCAAGGCAUUGGCAGGAUGGCCAAACACCUGAGUUCAAGUCUACAAUAGAGAAUCGAAAUUUUCCUUUGUAAAUGUUCAUAAGUAUUUACCACAGAUAUUCAAGUUAUUCUUGAUAGAUCCCCUACUAUAUAUGCUAUAAUAUUUCUCUUCUUUUAAUUUAAAAGUAAAUCAUUCAUAAUAUCGGACUUGUAAAGAAAUAAAAUUUUCGGUAAUUAACUGACAAAACAAAAAAAGAUGGAUUAUGCGAAAGAAGUUAAUAUGGAGUAAGUCGAGCACUUGACAAUCAAAGUAAUUUACUCGAGGUUGAGUAAGGAUAGUACGAUACUUUCUCAAGUUUUCUGAGGACAUUCACGUGACAUUGGACUAUUGAUUAUAGUUAGAGAGAAGUCCAAGGAUGUAAGUGAUGAUGAUAGAUUCACAAUUCUUUUGAAGAAAAUAUUUUAUAUAAACUUAAUUAUAUGGUAUAAAAUGAUUGGCCUUAAUAAAAUUAAAAAAUAAUACACGCCUGGGUCAUGUAAUAUUUUCAACCAACUAAUUUACAUGCAAAAUUAAACUUUAUGAGUACAUUUAUUUGCUAGCAGAAACUCUGCCAAAUUUUCCGAAAUGUGAAAGUGAACACUUUUAACAACGUCACAAAAUGCAUGUGAUAAUGAAACAAUGUGCCAUCCUUAAACUAAUAUUAUUAGAAACUAUAAGUGAAAGUUUUCAGAAAACAUAUGAUAAAUUUUUCUCGGAAUUUGUUUUCUCCUUUGUUUUGAUUUAUGUGAGAGAUAGUUGUAAAGCGUAAAAUUUUAAAAUCCGUAACAAAACAAAAACUUACAUGGGUUGGGCGCACCAUGUGCAUACCAAAUUAGAAUAAUUGACGAAUCGUAAUAAAAAAUUUAUAUAUAAUAAUUGAAUGAGAUCCAUGGUUCACAAUUGCAAAUUAAAGGUUGGUUUUAUAAUAAAAAUCUUUUUUUGCAUACCAAGUUAGAAAAGAUUAUAAGUAAAUUAAGAUUUUCAAAAUUUGACUAGUAUUAUAUUACGUACGUCAAUAUAAUAUAAAUUUGUUAUAUAUAUAUAUAUUUUACUCUGCAACCAAUGCUUUCAAAAACUUUUUACUUGUAUGUUUGAACAACUUUUAUCGCUUUCUAUUUAUAUACGAUCUCAUUUAUGUUUACAUAAAUUUUCAUAUGUACCCAAAUUAAGCAUUAAAUACACACACUUUGGUAAGACACAUUUCUAGUAUCAGACAAUGAUAUUAUAUUGAAUGUAAUGCUUCAAUGAAUUUUAUUACUAUAUACUAAAAUACUCAACGAUAUUCAUUAAAAAAAAAAAAGAAAUUGCAUGAUUAGAAUGAUUAAAGUUCAUUUAAUGACGAGUUUCAUCAUUGACUGUGUCGAAACACAACAGCAAUCCACAAUACACUCAACACGAGAGGCGCACACAAGCAUGCAUGAAUCUUCCACCAUUAAACCUGAAAUCAUAAAAUGAAAGAAACAAGGUGAGUGUUGUUUUACGGUCUGAAAGCCGAUUCGAAAUAAUAAUAAUAAUAGACCUUUGUUAAUAGUUACUACUAGUGGUCACUGCCUUGUCCAUCUUCCUUCUCUGUAUCAUCGUCCACUUCCAAGCCGCUGUCAUCUGACCAAACCCCAGCAACCAUCGCGGGAAAAAUCACCUAUUUGGAGUGAGAGGGAAAAAGCUGAUUGUUGAGAAAUAUAUGUAUCUUUUGUAUGGUUGUGUUAAGGUCACCCAUGCAAGCAGAACGUGCUUCAGUCCCCCAUGCUUUACUCCCCCACUGCACUUCGUGUAAUUUGGGUGUACUUAAAUUUCCUUCAGAGAAAAUCUUCAUAUCGAGGCAAUCACCCACCACUAAUCUUUCCAAAGAUGGGAACUUGAAAGCACAAUUGCCAGAGCAGAAGCUUGUCAAACUUUUUAAGUCUAAAAGCUUCAACUCCUUCAAUUCUCUGAAAGUAAUAACCUCAUCUUUUGCUACAACAUCAUCCACCAGUACUAUUUCUGUUAUCUUAUCGCAUGAUUCUAUCUCCAUAUAUCUAAGUCGCACCAGAGUCUUUGCAAUUGAGGAUGUUAAUACGAUUUUCAAUCCUUUGCAACACGAUACCACCAGAUUUGUAAGAUUCUGAAAGGACGUCGACGAUGGCACUAGAUUGACCAAACGGUCACACCCCUUUACACGUAGAAAAACCAAGUUGUUCGUAACAGAGGACUCCUCUAUCAAAAUGUGCUCCAGUUGAUAUUUUGCUUCUCUUAUUUCUACCCUCAUCCCAUUUUCAACCUGCUCUUUCGGCAACCAAGCACCAUGUCCUCCUAUUUCGAGGACUUUCAUUGUGUGAAGUCUCUGGAGGAAGUCACCAAGUGAUAAAAUUGUCCGCUCAUCAACCAACUCCACGUAAAGAUAUUUUAGUUUGCAAAGCAAGUCUUCAGAAAAUAGAUAUUUAUUUGUUACCACGUGCUUUGCAUCAACUUUCAACUUUUCCAAAUUAGGGAAUACCUGGGAGAUUGAUCAGAGCCCAAAAAAAAAAAAAAAAAAAAAAAAAAUACAAGAUGAAUCAGUUGAUGAGAAUUAUAAGUUACCACUAAUUUAUACCAUAUAUUUUAUUCAAUAAAUCUUUACCUUUAAAAAAAAUAGUAAUAAUAAUACGCCUAGCUAACAUCUAGAAUAAUUAUGAAUGAAUACUAUACACUAAUCUAUAAGAGAGUUCCGUUGCUGACAAUUUGACUUUUAGUAAGAAACCAAGCGAUAAAGGCAAAGGCAAUAUAACUCUUAAGCUUUAUGAUAUAAACUUUCACAGUACAUACAUAAGAAUUGAAAAUUUGAUUAUAAAAUUCUUGUACGUACCCUUUCCGUCAAGAUAUUAGUAGUUCUUUUGCAUCUCGCCAUGAAUUCAGGACAUCCAGAUAUCUCUAAUUCUUUCAAGGAUGGAAAUUCAAGAUUAUCAAGAUCUCCAGUACAGAAGCUUGUGAACUUUUCAAGAUCAGACAUCCUCAGAUAUUGCAACUGAGGAAACGUUACAAUAUUAUUCUUCAUUUCUUCCUGGUUGUCCACGACUAUUAACUCUUCCAAGACGCGACAUCUGACUAUCUGAAUGCGUUGGAGUCGAACCAAGCUACUAACAGUAGCAGAUGAAAAUAGACAACUUAAAUUCUCACAGACAGACAAGGUCAAGUGCGUUAAAUUCUGAAUACCACAAGACAUGACUGUAACUUGGCUCGGCCAAAUCCUCUCAACAUUUAUUGAAUCCAACGUCAACUUCUCUAACUCUGGUAACCGAUCCUGCUCGAUCAAAAAAUUAACUUGUUAAUUGCAAGUAAACGAUCAUUGAUUAUAAAAUUCUUGUACGUACCCUUUCCGUCAAGAUAUUAGUAGUUCUUUUGUAUCUCGCCAUGAAUUCAGCACAUCCAGAUAUCACUAAUUCUUUCAAGGAUGGAAAUUCAAGAAUAUCAAGAUCUCCAGUGCAGAAGCUUGUGAACUUUUCAAGAUCAGCCAUCAUCAGAUAUCGCAACUGAGGAAACAUUACAAUAUUAUUCUUCAUUUCUUCUUCGUUGUCCACGACUAUUAACUCUUCCAAGACAGGACAUUCGACUAUCUUAAUGUGUUGGAGUCGAACCAAGCUACUAACAGUAGAAGAUGAAAAUAGACAUCUUAAAUUCUCACAGACACACAAGGUCAAGUGUGUUAAAUUCUGAAUACCACAAGACAUGACUGUAACUUGGUUUUGCCAAAUCCUCUCAACAUUUAUUGACUCCAACGUCAACUCCUCUAACUCUGGUAACCGAACCUGCUCGAUCAAAAAAUUAACUCAUUAAUUACAAGCAACAAUGAUUUCUGUUGAUGGACAAAUCAAUAAAAUUACUCUUUCUCUGGUUAUAGUUCUUUUCAGUUUUUCAUACAAACAACCGUUAAUCAAGUUUUCCAAAUUAUUCCUUACUAAAUGUAUAGAUUUAGACGGCGGCUAAUAUAGUUCAUAUUGUAAAUAUUCUUUGAUUGUAACGAAUUUUGUAAUAUUAAAUUUUGGUUGAUUCGCAAUAGGACCUACUAUCCAGCGCGAGCAGUUCUCGGGGAUUUAACUACUGGCACCUCGAUUAUAUAAAAAUUUAGAAUAUUUUCAAAGGAAAUCAAAUAAUUCCCCCUUGCAAAUAGUAAUUAUCAUCAAUUGCCGGGGGUUCACAUAUAAUUCUAAGAAAUUAGGCGAGAAGAGUCUCAUCAACAAUCAAUCAGCAAAUAUCACGUUUGGCAGAUCAUCAUGAUUUCCUCAGAUGCUAGAGAAUCAACGUGAUUUCUGCUCAUGCAGGAGUGGACACAUUAUCUUAGAGCAUCCCUCACUGAGAUCUUUUAAAAAAUUUAUAUUAUAAAGUGAACAACAUAUUUAGUAUAGAUUUAGACGGCGGCUAAUAUAAUUUAUAUGUAUUCUAAUGACGUAUAUUAAAGAAAAUGACUAACCAUAAUUUCAAUCAACUUAUUAGUCUAUAUAUAUAUAUAUAUAUAUAUAUAUAUAUAUAUAUAUAAAAGUGACUACAACAUAUUUAGUAUUCCAUGACAUGAUGUUUAUAAUAAUAAUUAUUAUUAAUUCACUUUUUGUGUCAAGAACCUUUUCUUUCUCUAAGAAUGAAUUUCUUACACCCUACUAUACUACGGAUGAAAAAUUUAGAAUCAUUGUGAAAUAUGAUUAUUAAUCACUCUUUGCCAUAUUUGCUACCAAACAAGAAUGCAACAAAGAAAAAAAAAAUUAUAGAGAAUUAAUAAGACCAUUGACUUAUCAAUAACUGACCUUCUCAGCGAAAAGUGUAUUAGAAAUUUGGACAUUGUCCUCCAAAAUGAUUUCAUGUGACCGCAAAUCAUUAGCUGAUUCCUCCUGUCUCUGCUAACAUUGCAGGUGUAUUGAUUUUAGAGUGUAAGCUUAAUUGUGAGCACAACCUUAAUGCAUAGAUACAAGAUCUUUAAAAAUUAGUACAAUAAACUUAGCACUAAAUCUGAAUUUGAUAUUUUGGAUUCCAUGAUUAAGAUUUUUUUAAAAUGAAAAUUUAAUAGAGUUAAUUUAAAAAUAAAAAUUAAAUAUGAAAAAUUAGAGUUGCAAUUAUGGAUUUAAUUUUGAUAAAUAAUGAAUGUUCUCUUAAUAUUUUUUUUUUAAAGGUAAAAGAGCGUACAAAGCCCAAAUUCAUUUUUUUAGUCCCUUACUCUCCCAUAAUUCAAACUUGGGUGGUUGUAGGAGGACUGAAAAUAUAUAAGACAGUUAACUUCACUUUUUUUUUUUUCUUUUUUUUUUUUGAGAGAAAAGAGAAGAAGGAUAUUACAAAGCAUGAAGCUCGUGCAAUAUAAGGGCAAUGAUGGUUUUUUCUUUAAAUUAAAAUAGUAAGAUUUUGAAGCUAAAAGAUUAAAAUAUUAAUUAAAUUGCAAACAUUAAAGAUUUUUUUUUUUCAAAUGGUUGCUUUGAAAAUGAGAAUAAUAUAAUAUUUGAAGACUUUUCAAAAUUAAUUACUGUGAUAGAUGCACUAGAAGUUUCUAGCUCUAGUCUAAUGUAUAAAUUGACAAAACGAUAUUAGAAUCCCAGGUGAAAAGAACCCUCUCACACCAAUUAUUUAAAUUAGGAAUGAUCAUACCUCUGACUCUGCCGAACUGAGGGCGGGGUCUAAACCCACCAUAAAGAGACGCUUGAGAUGGGAAGAGCCCACUUUGACUAAUUCAUUACGAAAAUAAUCGACAUCUUGCUCUUGCAAUCCCCAUAACUCAAGGUCUUCAAUUCUCUGCAGUUGCACGAUCAGCGAAUCCUUCAAGCAAAUCUUGUUAUUUAGCUCGACUCUGAAUUCACGACACGGAAUGCUGGUGAUCCCCCAAUACUCAAGAUCUCCAAUGCGUAUGCUGUACCUUUCCAGCUUCUCCAAGAACAGGCCUCUGGGCAGAGUGCUGACGUCAUGGGUGUCUAAUUCCAAAGAGGUCAAGUUGGGCAAAUGCUUCAACUCCUCAAGGCUUGCAUUCUUAACCCCUUCCACCUCCACCUCCCAA
rnacentral:lncRNA from 1 species